rnacentral:lncRNA from 1 species
GCUAGCUGGCUUACCAUAAGAUCACUGCUGAGUUCUCUAUAAAUACUUGCUACCCCUGUCACUACAAAUACAUAAAACCUUCUCUAACCUAAUUAUUUCAUAGCAUUAGUUUUCACUAGCCAUGGAAAUGUUCACAAAGCAACUCACCCAUAUUGAUCUUGGGAGAGGAUUGGAGCUACCACAGUACAAUUCUAACCUAAAACCCCUGCAACAUAUUCAAGGGACCUUAGAAUUGUCCACCAUAGUUGAGUCAGCUGCUGGAACCCGUUUACCGGACCCGGUGACAAUUCACUGCUCAGCCAUAAGAGGAAGCCUUGUAUUUAAAACAGGUUGGUAUGCUAUUGCUCGCGAUAUUGGCCUCAAAAGUGGAGACACUGUGACUUUCUAUCAGGAGGUUAACGGAGGAGCACAGUUCAAAUUGAAAGUGAGAAAUUUUCGUUAAAGUAAAGAAGAAAUGUGAUGGAAACAGUGUCUUCCAUACAUGCAUGAACGUCCGAGUGCACGUCCUUCUGUUUCUUCUUUGUUCUAUCUAUCUUCGUGUCUAGUUUCUUUCCGGUGUCAGCAGUUGAGAAAACUUUUCUCAAAAUUAUCUCCUGCAAUCUUCGUGUCUAGUUUUUUCAAUUCCUUGCAUGUGUGAGGAAAUUAUGAAUAAUUAAUUUCUUCUUUAGAUGAAAGAGUUUGUCUGUGAUUGUAAUAUGUAUUUUGAGCUUUAAUUUUGUGAUUUUUUGGUAAUAAAAUUAUUAUGUGUUGUGAAUUACUUUAAAAACUUCAAUGAGAUGUGAUUUGAUUCAUCAGCUAAUUAAACUGAAAUUAUAUGAGAAGCAAAUCAUUUUUCAGAGUAAUUUAAUUAUGUUUUUCCAAAAGAAGAAGAAAUAGUGCAUGAGGUAGUGUUAUUGAAGCUUAACUCUCAACCAAUUUAAUUUUGAAUGAUGGAAUCAUUAAAAAAUAUUAAUAAAAAAGCUUGCAAAACCACAAAAAAAUAGCAAAAAAAAAAAAGAAUGAAGAUAAAAUUUGAGAGAAAAAACCUAAGGAGGAUGAAAUUAUAAAAAAAAUAAAAAUGAUUCAAAAAAAAUAAAUAGCAAUUAAAAGAACGAGGACAAAAUUUGAAAGAUUAAAAAUCAUAAGCGGUGAAAUUGAAAAAUAUUUGUAAUUUGAUAAAUUAUUUAAAAAAUGGUAGAGGGUGAUAUUAAAAAAAAAACUAUAGAGGGCUAACCCAACAGAACAAAAAAAAAACAAAAAAAAAAAAGAAGAUAAAAUAAGAAAACAUCAGCUUUAAAAAAAAGAGAAAAAAAAACCUACAAACUCGAGUAAAUCUUCUAAACAUGGUCUAAUCUCUAAAACUAAAUGAAGAAGAUAAGAUGAGAAGCCCAAGCUCGACGCUAGGGGGCAUAACGAAUCAUUUUGCAAGUCAAUCCUAAGGUCUAGAAACACAUGGACCAAAAGGAGGUCUGGUAGCAAGCACUAGUGAUCCUUAGUCGUGAAAUCCCUUAAACACUUUUUUAACCUACAAAUAUCAUUUUUCUUCGUAACCAAAAGCCGAAGCUAAAGUUACAUGCCCAAUCAAGCUCUUUCUAAUAAAAGGCAGGCAAUUUGGAUCGGUAAGCAAUUUUUUCCAAUGUGAAACAAACCGCCUAUUUUUUAUACAAAUAAAACAAAUGCUUUGAAGACUACUUCUCUAAAACCAUCAAAUUAAAACUUGAACCCUACUAACCAACAAAACACGAAACAAAAGGUCACUUCAUUUUUUUUCCCAAAACAACAAAACAAAGAUUUUCAAUAAAAAUGAAAACCUAUCCAUAGGAAUCGCUUGAAUUCUUUUUGGAAUAAGUUUGCUUGAAACUAAUGUCAAAAUGAUUUUUGUGUUUGGAAUGGCUUUGAAAUUCCAGAAAUUUUCCUAUAAAAAUAAUUCAUUAUAAAUAAUCAAAUCUUAUUUCGUAUAGCAUCGUCCCUAAAAAAAACUUGAAACUAAACACCUGUGGACAUGAUCAGUUUGGGGGGCAAUCCAAGAAACAUGAUAGGGUUGGCUUCACGAUUCCCUUUCUAAGAAAAUAGAGAAUGUGAAGCAAAACUGAUAAUCUUUGAGAUAAAGGUUUUUAGGCUAAGAGGUAUGCUGAUAUCAUCUGAGAAUUGCCCUUCCUAAAGGUUAAGAUUGUUGCUUCCUAAUUUUUUACCCCAUUUUUGAAGUAUUUCAAGAAAAACAAAAAAUAGCAAAAAAACCUAAAAAAUAUGUUAUUGAUGUCCUUGCGCCACCUACAACGUUUUUUUCUAUGUGUUUAGUUGUUAACGUGCUUUUUAAAUCGACGUUGAUGUCGCUCUUUUUCAAAAAAAUACAAAAUACAAAAAUAAGAAAAAUCAAAAUCUGCAAGUGACCAAAUAUGAAAAGAAUAAAGUUGAGGGAUCAAUUUGUUUUAAGGAUUGCUUGGUCACCAAGUUUGCUUGGAGACCAAGAAAUUAAAAAUAACAAACUUUUUUUUUUAUCUAAAAGUAAGUGGUGGUUACACACAUAUGGAGGAGGCAAAAAUUAAGGAGAAACUUGAGGGAAACCAAAACAAUUCACACAUACUCUCCAACACCUACACGACACAAAAAAAAAACUCUAAACCUAUUAUACCCAGACCAGCCACCAGCCAGACAAGAGGUAAAGAAAAAGUAAAAAACUUGCCAAAGAUGACCAUAGGUCCCCUAUCCAGCCUUGGAUCAUCCACCAUUGUCAAUGACCUUAGCUAGACACAACAACCACUAAACUAACCACCAUCUUCCCCAACAACCUGCAUCCAUUCUAGUCGACCAACACCUUUAAGCCACCACACCUUCGGUCGUAACCUACACCCACAACCUUCUAUCCCACCGAGAACAAGAACAGCCAUUUGUCCUAAAAUCUCCUAUAACCAGCCACCCUCACUCUAUACCAACAGCAGCCGCCCCCCACAAACCAAUUUCAACCUUUCCUUCUCCUUCUCCUUCUCCAUAGAUUCCAGUCGUGGCCAACACAACAUCUCUCAUAACCCACUCUCUCCUAUCGAAUCAACCACCCAUAAACUCACCCAACUAACCCAGCUCCACCAUCAGCCACGACUAGCCUUCCAAUCGACAGCCUUGUGUCCCUCUCUCAACCUCAACACCACCAAUGGUGGUGGGUUUCCCCAAGUUAGCCACCAAUCCACCCUCAAACUUCACAAAACAGCUCUGAAGCACGUCUCAUCUCCUGUCUGUAGCCUUAAUCUUUCAAUAUGAAAAACAAUUAGGAGGGUAGUAGUGGGUUGGUUUGAGGUUGGGGAGGAGGAUUGUGCAAUCUAUUCAGAUUUUUCGAAAGAAAACACAUGUUCAUGAAAAUGGACAUGACGAGAGACUUAAAUGUGUUGGGAUGCAAUGUCAAAACAGUAACCUAGGUGAGAUGAACUAUAACCAAAAAACACACAUUGAGAGGAACAAAAAUCAAAUUUAUGAUUAUGAUAGGGGCACAUAAACGCAAAGCAGAGACAUCCAAAAAUACACAAAAAAUAAUAAUCCAUAUACCAUUGAAAUAGACAAUCAAAAGGAGAUUUAUUUGUGAGGACAAGAGUAGGCAUGCGAUUGAUAAAAUAAAUAGAAGUUUCAAAAGCUUAAUUCCAAAAUCUUAAUGGUGCUUUACACUAUCCUAGAAGAGUAAGUCUAGUUUCCAUAAUAUGCCUAUGACGACGUUCUAUUGUGCCAUUUUGUUCAUGAGUGUGAGGACAAAUCAGACGGUGAUGAAUACCAAUGGUCUGAAAGAAAAUGGAUAAUUUUUGUAUUCACCGCCCCAAUCAAUUUGAACAGAUUUAAUUUUUAGCGAAAAUUGACGCUCAAUGAGAGUCUGAAAUUGAUGAAAAACAAAGUAAACAUCAGACUUGGCAACGAGAGGGUAAUACCAUAUAUAUUUUAUGUAUGCUGAUUAGUACUUAAAAGUGCAUUUUUAUCAAGGUUGUAUAUCAUCAUAUUGCACUUAAAGUAUCAUUAAAUUCCCCAACUUAAGCAUGUUUUAUAAUAACAAGUCUGAUAAUAUAAGAUAUCUUUAAUUUAUGGUAAAUGCUCAUUUCAAAUACAGGCAUGUUUCACAAUUCAAAGGAUUGAUUGAUUUGUUUAACUAUUGAAAUUGAGAAGACAAAGAGAGGGCUAAGCUUAAAGAAGAGAUGCUGGUUCAAUUCAAACUGAAACACCAUUUGGUUAUUGGAUCAUAACUGGAGCUGUAGAACUUGGAUCUAGGUCUGGUUUAUAUGGAUGGAAAGCUAAGACACAUGCCUAAAACUUUUAUGAAGAGUCCAAGAUUCAAAACAGCCGUUUUGAAGUUCAAAUUGUAGCAACAAAAGAGAAGUCGGAAUCUAUCCUGUAGCCUAGACACUGGUUAGUGUUCAGCCCAUAUCUCGAGUUCUAGAAGUCUAAAUGAACUCAUUCUUAUUUUGUUGGAAAGCUGAAACAAAUGCCCAGAACUUUGAUGAAGAUUAUCUAUUCAAAUUAUGACGUUAGCAAUGAUGUUUUGUUCAGACAAGAAGAUAAUGGUUGUCACCAAGUCAAGAGGUGGCCACCCACUCAAUAAUUAGUCAUCAAAUCAAUAGUUCCGAAUUUUUGCCUAUAAAAGGAGACAUUUGCCAUACAUUUAGACAUCUUGGUGUUUAGAUCAAGAUCACUCUCUCUCUUUGUAUUUUGUAAUGUUCAAUUUUUAUUUUAUGUUAUAUUAAUCUCUUGUUUAUGCUUUUCAUUUCCUUUACUAUACUUAGUUAACUUAUAUCAUGUUUAUGUUCUUAUAUUGUUUAUUUAUGUUUUUUUUCUUCAUUAUGUUUAGCUAAGUUAAUUUUAUCAAGGUGAAAAGGGUACACUAAUGGUGUAAGAAUAAGUAUAAUAUAAACUCAACAUGGACUUUAAUGUUUGAUACUAACAUGUUUUGUAUUUGUUAUCUUACUCAUUCUUAAUACCUUGCUUGUUAAAUGGUUAAUCUAGAUUUGUGUUGUACAACCCUUGGUACAACAAAUACUUGGCACUUUCAUAGCCUACUAUAUGGUAUAACCAACACUUGUGCUAUGAAAGGAACUUGAUUUGUUGUUAACAUAAAUUACACCAUGAAUACCUGAUCACAUUUACAAGUAUUGGCAUUACUUAAAUAAGAUAAUUAAUAUAAUCAUGUUAAUAAUUUAUAAUCCGAUUGGAACCUCCUUUGUGUGUGGUUUCUAGUUGAGUACUAAAAGGAGUUUAUACUAUACUUAUUUGAAAUACCAUUAGUGGAUCCUCUAACCUUGACAAUUGUUUUAUCUUUGAUUAAUAAUCACAUCAACAUCACAUCUCAAAAGUUCUCUUCAACUCCUUUUCAUUUGUUGUGUAUAAUUUUAUAUAGUUCACCUCCCUGUGGUUCGACCCCGAUCUUGUCGAGUUAUUUAUUACUUCGACACUCCUGCACUUGGGAUAAAACAUCAAUCUUUUGAUCGUGUCAUAUGCAUCAACAGAGAUAACACAAUAACAAAAACCAUCAGAUGAAAAAAAGGGAGCAAGACCUCAAACAUCACGUAGGUCCUAAAGACAAACGCGACGACUUUCCUAAUGGACAAUUUGACUUUGAAAAUUAAGACGUUUGUUAUUACAAGUAAUCUUAUUUUGUGAAACUAGAAAUUUGAAAAUACAAGAAGUAGGAUGACCUAGUCGACGAUGUCAUAGAUCAGCAAAAGCAUACAUGCAAGGAGAUCAAUAAGCUUGAGGAACUGACAUGACAAAAGACCUGGUCAAAGCAUAGAGACCAUCUCUACUCUGACCGGAAAGGGGUACUACCUUAGUGUUUAGAUCCUUGACAUAAAAAAAUAGGUGAAAUUCAAAAUAAACAUUGUUAUCAAGAUAAAAUUUCUGAACAGAAAGCAGAGGUUUCGUAAUAUGUGGAACAUGAACAUUAGACAAAGUGAAAGUAUAAUAUGGUGUAUGUAUUUUAUUAUGCCCAAUAAUAGAUAUGGGAAGUCCCUUACCAUUACCGAGAUAUGGUUCGGACCUUGUCAGAUUUGCAAGAUCAGGUGUGACGUGUUGAUUAGCACUAGUGUCCGGAAGCCAAUCGGUAGUACCUAUUGAGGAAGCAUUACUCAACGCUAGAUUCGGACUAGGCUGUUGUCCAUAUCCAAGGUUCUGAAGCUGAGGACAGUGAGGGGCGGUAUGAUUGAAAGCUUGGCAUAAUUGGCAACGUGGGCGCAGGAUGCCCUCUAUUUCACUGCCAAUUGUCCUACCUCCCGUCAUUGCUAGAAAGUCCAUUGAAGCUGUAAAAAUAAGACCUGGAAGUAGCAGACUUGUUCCCUCUAUUGUUGCCAUUGUUGGGACGCCACCCUUCAUGAAAUUUGCCCCUAUUUUGGUGUCAAUUUCCAGAAGGCUGACGUUCAGCAACAAGAGCUGAAGGUGGUGUGGGCAAUAGAUGGGCAUUGAUGGCAACAGAUCCUAUAGAUUGAAGGGAGGUCUUGUGAAGAAAUUCAUGCGUGAGAAGGUGACUAUGAAGAUUGGCAUACGAGAGAGGUUUUGCCUUGGUCACAAGGCUUGUUACUAAGUCCUUAAACUCACUACCAGAAAUUCGCUAAAUAGCAACGGAUUUACCUUCUGUCCGUAAUUCAGUCGGUAACUACCGACGGAAAAGUUUUCGAAUUAAAAAAAAAGGCGGGACGCUGACGUGGAGGUUUUGGUGGGUUAUUUUUUCCGAUGGAUUCAAAACGACAGCCCGUACAGUGACGUGACCGGUUCGCCGUUUAAAUUGCCGACGGAAUCACUGAGGGAUUUGAAAUGGCAGAUCCGUAAGGUGACAUGUCGAUUUUUCUGUCAUAAUCACCGACGGCAUCACCGACGGAUUUUCCGUCGGUGAAACCGUCGGAAAAAGUUAAUAUAUGUCAGCUCUGCCGACCCUCUCCUCCCCUAUUUCUCCUUCUUCUUUCUAAUCCCAACUCUCCCCAUCUACAAACAACCAGCCCCCCCUCCCCCCCCAAACAAAAAUCUCCCUCAUAUCAGCACAACAAGUUAUAUUUCUUGAAGUUUUGUGGUCACAGCAUCCGUGUUCUGAUUUACCGACGGAUUUUAUCAAUUUUUUUAAGUAAUUUAUCUUUUAAAAUUUUAACAUUUAAUUAAAUGUCAAUUUUAUUGUUUUUUUAGUAUAUGUAUUUUGUUAGUAGAUGUACAUGUUUUAUUGUUAUUUCUCAAACAAACUUGUAGUAUAUGAAUGUAUAAUUCUAUACCUGUUAUGGUUUGUUUUAGAUUUUGUAAGAUUGUAUUUGUUUGUAAAUUGUUAAAACUUUAUGGAACUAUCGAAGUACAUGUGCUGUUUUGAAAUAAUUAAUAGCUUGCUUAAUGGGUCCGUUUAAAGUUUUAUCAAUGGUAUUGCGGAGUGGUAAUUUCUGUAAAUUUAUAUAUUUUAAUUUGUAUGGACGUUGAUAAAUGAUAAUGAAUAUUUAAUAUUUAUGAGAAGUUGUGAUUGGUCUGUUGGAUAAUCUUGAGGUAAAGUAAUAUUUUUGCAAGUUUAUUUACCUAACUUAGUUAAUUAAUACAUGAUGUCAUCAUAAUUUUAUAGAGGUUCGAUAUAAGUCAUGGAUGAUCGUUCAUGGAUGUAUCGAGAUUCACCCCAAGGAUUGCAGAUGAUGGAUUAUUGUAACGGGGUUCAGGGUUUUAUUAAUUUUGCAACAUCUAUUCCCAGAAAUUUUACUGGAGGCGGUAUUAGGUGUCCAUGCAGGAAGUGUCAGAAUAAAAAGUAUCUGCAUCCAGAUGUUGUAAUGAUGCAUCUUCUACACAAAGGGUUUAUGGAGAAUUACCAGUGUUGGUAUGCACAUGGAGAAGUAUUUGUUAGUAAGAGGAGAAUGAAAGAAACGGUGGUUGGGUCUACUUCUAGUGCUAACAACGUGCAUGAAGCGGCAAAUGACAACACUAAUCCUUACAGAAAUAUGGUUAUGGAUGCAAUGAGAAUGAAUCAAGGUAAUGUCAGUCAAUGUCCAAUCGUAGAAGAAGAACCUAAUGCAGAUGCAGCUAGAUUUUUUGAUUUGUUGAAAGAUUCUGACGAACCAUUAUGGGAUGGCUGCACGAACCACAGUAAAUUAUCGGCCGUAGCACAGGUGUUCACCAUCAAGUCAGAUCACGGGUUGAGUGAGGCCGGGUAUGACAAGAUUAUUGAAUGGGCAAGAAGCAUUUUACCUGAAGGGAACAGACUGAAAGAGAACUUUUAUGCUGCGAAGUCCAUGAUGAAACCCCUCGGUUUAGGAUACCAGAAAAUUGACAUGUGCCCUAACUUCUGCAUGUUAUACUACCUUGAAAAUGCUGAGAUGACCGAGUGCAUGACAUGCGGGCAUUCCCGUUACAAACCUAGAACUGGCAGGGGAAAGACUCUAGUGGCAUAUAAAAAACUUAGAUACUUCCCGAUCACACCUAUACUGCAGAUGUUAUUCAUGUCACCAAGGACUGCUGAGCACAUGACAUGGCACCAAGCACAUGAUGCGGUUGAUGGAGUGAUGGUGCAUCCUUCUGACGGCGAAGCGUGGAAACUCUUUAACAGUGUGCAUCCUCACUUUUCAGCUGAAUCAAGAAAUGUGCGUCUUGGGUUGUGUACAGACAGAUUCAACCCAUUUGGGUCAUUUGCUGCUCCUUAUUCUUGUUAGCCGGUCAUACUCACAGUUUAUAACUUGCCACCGGGAAUGUGUAUGAGGCCGGAGUUCAUGUUUUUAUCUACUGUCAUACCCGGUCCAACCAGCCCGGGGCGGAAUAUAGAUGUUUGUCUUCGACCAUUGAUUGAUGAGUUGGCGCAGUUGUAGUCCUCCGGAGCUCUGACUUAUGAUAUAUCGAGGAAACAAAAUUUCCUUAUGAGGGCGGCUUUGAUAUGGACUAUCAAUGAUUUUCCAGCUUAUGGAAUGCUUUCUGGUUAGAGCACGCAUGGGAAACUCGCAUGUCCAUACUGCAUGGAAAACAACAAGGCAUUCACGCUAGCAAACGAAGGUCAAGCUUCUUUUUUUGACUGUCACCGUUGCUUCUUGCCACUUAAUUACAGGUACAGAAAGAACAUAAAAGAUUUCUUUGUUGGCAGAGUUGAAAAAGAUGUUGCAUCCCCGCGUCUUUCUGGUGAAGAAUUGCAUGAUAUUGUCUCAGAGUAUGGUGACAUUGUGUUUGGCCUUCAAUCAGGUAAGCAAAAGUUUCCUGGUUUUGGUUUGACCCAUAAUUGGGUAAAGCGAAAUAUCUUUUGGGAGCUUUCUUAUUGGAAGACCAAUCUGCUCUGCCAUAACCUUGACGUCAUGCACAUCGAAAAGAACAUGUUUGAGAACAUUUUCAACACCGUCAUGGAUGUGAAGGGGAAGACAAAAGACAACAUCAAGGCUAGAUUGGAUAUAGCUUUAUACUGUAACCGUAAAAAUAUGGAGUUGGUUUAUGAUGAGUCACAGGUCGCAAAACCAAGAGCAAGCUUCGUGUUAGAGAAAAACACACAACUGCUAGUCUACAAAUGGCUUAAGAGUCUGUGUUUUCCGGAUGGACAUGCAUCGAACAUAUCAAGGCUGGUUAAUAUAGAGGACUGCAGAUUGUAUGGAAUGAAGAGUCAUGACUGCCACGUGUUUAUGCAAACACUCAUCCCAUUAGCUUUUCGUGAUUUGUUGCCAAAGGGAAUAUGGGAUGCACUCACGGAGAUCAGUCAUUUCUUCAGAGAUAUAUGCUCCAGCAAGUUGAAUGUUGAUCACAUUGAGAGGCUUCAAACGAAUAUCGUCGAGACACUAUGCAAACUUGAGAUGAUAUUCCCUCCAUCAUUUUUUGACUCCAUGGAGCAUCUCCCUAUACAUCUACCGUUCGAGGCAAAAGCUGGAGGACCGGUCCAAUAUAGAUGGAUGCACCCAUUCGAACGGUUAGAUAUUAUAGUUGCAAUGUAAUUCAUAUAUGAAAGUAUUUUAUAUGUUUUUCUUAAUUGAAAAUACUUGAUUAAUAUUUCAAUGCAGGUACUUGUUUAAUCUCAAGAAAAAGGUUAAGAACAAGGCGCAUGUUGAGGCUUCGAUAUGUGAGGCCUAUAUUGUUGAGGAGAUCUCAACAUUUAUCUCGUACUAUUUCGAACCUCAUCUGAGAACGAGAAUCAAUCACGUUCCACGGCAUGAUGAUGGCGGUGAAGUGCCUUCCAGUGGGAACUUGUCAAUAUUCUCCAAUACUGGACGACCCACACCUAAAAAUGCCGUAAGAGGAAGAUAUUUGUCGGAAAUAGAGUUCAAACAAGCACACAACUAUGUUCUAUUUAGCUGUGAUGAGCUGAGACCUUUUAUUCAGUAAGUUUAUACUAAUUAAACUUUGUUAGUAAUAUACUGUUAAUUAUAUAUUGUAAUAUCAUACACUCGUUAUCACUUGUAGGCAACAUUGACAAUAUUUGCUCUCCAAUAACUCACAGCUGACCGAAUCCCAGAUCUUUCAAUUACAAGAUGAACAGUUUGCCACGUGGUUCAUAACACAUGUAAGCACUAUCGCAAACUCAUUCUAACUUGCAAAAUUAUUGUACGUAUGCAUGUCAUUACGAGAUUCUCUCGUUCAUUUACUGUUUAUUGAUGUACAUUACAUACAAGGUUUAUCAAAUGGGAAGGAGUGCGCCUAAGUCAUUGUCUUCACUAAGUCUGGGGCCUGAAAGAAAAUGUAAGUGCUACAACGGGUAUUUUGUCAAUGGAUAUGUUUUCCAUACUGAAGAAUACGGGCAAGGAAGAAAGACAUACAACAGCGGUGUUUGUGUUAAGAGAUCCACUAGUAGGGAGUUAGAAGUUGACUACUAUGGUAGAUUAGAAGAGGUCGUCGAACUGCAAUAUCAUAAUGAGCAGAAUAGAGUGUUUUUAUUCAAAUGCUAUUGGUAUGACACGACUGACAGAGGAAUCAGAGUUGAUCCGCACUAUGGUCUGGUCGAAAUCAACUCAAAAGCUAGACUCCGCAACGUAAAUGAUGUCUUUGUUUUCACAAAGCAAUGUCAACAAGUUUAUUACACAUACACCCCUUCAUUUAGAAAGGAUCGAUCAAGAGUGGAUUGGUUGUCCGUUUCAAAAACGAAACCCCGAGGUCAUGUCGAGGUUGUUCAGGAUGAGAACGAAGACACAAGUGUGCGAGAUGAAGUAUUUCAAGUUAGUGAGUUGGUUGAACCAUAUCGAGUUGCUCCUUCGAUUGAAUAGGAAGAAAAUUCAAAUUUUCAUGUUUUCGAUGAUAGUCUUGUUGAUGUUGAUGCAGAGGAGUUGAAUUUUGUUUUGAGCUCUAGCGGACAAGCAAAUGUCGAUGAAGAAGAUGAUAUCCAUAUUGAAGAUUGCGAUGAAGGUGAUGACAAUUCAAUUGAUGACGAAGAAGAAGAAAAUUCUGACUAACUAUCAAAAUGAAGCCCUGUGUAAAACCCUUUUUUUCAUGUAAUUUAGAUUAUGGAUGAUAUAUUUUGUAACACGAAAUAUUUAUUACUUGAAAUAAUUACUUGAAAUGCCACAAUCACGAAAUAAUUACUUGAAAUAAUUAUAGAUCAUGGAUGAUAUAUUUUGUAACACGAAAUAAUUACUUGAAAUGCCAAAAUCACCGACGUCCAUACCGACGGAAUAAGUCCGUCGGCAUUUCACAGAGAGUUUGAAAAUAAUUACUUGAAAUGCCACAAUCACCGACGUCCAUACCGACGGAUAUAAGUCCGUCAGCAUUUCACAGAGAGUUUGAAAAUAAUUACUUGAAAUGCCACAAUCAUCGACGUCCAUACCGACGGAUAUAAGUCCGUCGGUAUUUCACAACUUGAAAUGCCACAAUCAUCGACCCUAAUACCGAUGGAUAUAAAUCCGUCGGCAUUUCACAGAGAGUUCGAAAAUAAUUACUUGAAAUGCCACAGUCACCGACGUCAAUACCGACGGAUAUAAGUCCGUCGGUAAGUUGUCGGAGGGUCAAGUUUACCGACAAAAUUACCGACGGACCGCGCGAAUUCCAAAGGGUUGUGCAUUAAAUGCAUCUCUGACCGCGUCAUCUUGCCGACGGAAUUACCGACGGAACACGAAAAAUAUGGAGGGUCAUUAAAAAUUUUGGUGCGAAAUUCAAAAUUUACCGACGAAUGUUUGACACUUCACCGACGGAAUAAAUUAAAAUAAUAAUUAAUUUUAUAGCCGUCGGUGAAUCUGUCGGUAAAACUGCCAUAUAAGUUCCCCCGACCGCCGCUUCAGCUCAUUUUUUCUUCUCCUCAGUUUUUCACCAAUUCUUUUCCUUUCCAUUCUUCAAAGGUUUCACCAGCAAUCUCUAGCAACUUUUCUCGUGAAUCUCCACCAGUUUAAAAGGUAUGUGUUUCUUCUAUUUCAUUUUACUUUAAGGGUUUUUUUUUUUUGCUAUUUUUUUUUGUUAUGUUUUUUGUUUUGGUGUAUUUUUUAUAAUGUAGAUAAAGUCUAUAGUUUUUUUUUUUUUGAAUUUAUUGAAUAUUUUUUAUUAUUGUAUUGGCAUAAUUAUUAUUAGUUAAUUUGUUGAAUAUUUAUUGUUAAUGUUGAAUUUACCAUAGAAUUAGUAAUUGAAUAUGUUGGAAUAAUUAUUAAUUUUACUCUAUUAUUGCAUGAUUUGUGUUUAAUUUUUUCCAUUUAUUUUGAUUGUUAUUCUAGAUUUUUUUUAAUUUAUUGUUUUGUUGUAUUGGCAUAAUUAUUGAAUAAUUUUUUGAACUGUAAUUGUUAAUGUUGAAUUUACCUUAGUAUUAGUAAUUGAAUAUUUUGGAAUAAUUGUUAAUUUUACUUUAUUAUUGCAUGAUUUAUGUUUAAUUUUUUCCAUUAAUUUUAAUUGUUAGUCUAUAGUAUUUUUUUUUAACAUUUGAAUUUAAUUAUAUAAUUAUUUGUAUAAAAUUGUGGAGAUGCGCAGAAUGAAAACCAGAGCUGGUCACUCACGUACGGUCGCAGCUAGUUCGUCUAGCAGCGAUGAUGAUAUUUCCUUAGGUGCCUCUCAAGAAGAGGCACCUACACCACCUGCGCCGUCAACCGAUGUUGCCUCUUCCAGCGCUACUUCACAGCGCAGAGGCGGGGUGCCUUCGCAGCGGAAUCAAUUUACCCGCAAGUACGAGGCACAGUGGAAGGACGACCUUUCAAUGUAAGUUUGUUAAGGUUUUAUUUUUUAAAAAACAAAUUACAACAUAAUUUAUGAAGUAAUCACUAUUUAAUUUAUUUCAUUUAUUUUCAGGUUCACAAACAUUGAGGUCGCCCGAGUAAUAUCAUCGGCGUUUAAAUCGUCGAUGGAGAUUCCAUUGUUUCAUUGGAGUCAGAUAUCCAAGCAUCCUGAAUGGAUGCCUCAAAUCAAUGCAUGGUUUGACAGAUUUCAGGUUGGUGUUAAUUUAUAAUUUUCAGCUUAUUUCUAAUAAAUUAUUAAUAUAAUUGUAAAUAAAUUAUUAUUUUUAUUUAAACUUGUUUAUUUAUACACAGCACAAAUUCUGCUGGGACAGUGAGCAUAACACUGUUGUGAGGUGUGGGAAAAUCACGUGGCAACUAGGUAAGAUCGAAAACAAUACAAGAUUUUUUUUAGAUAAAAAUUUAUGUUUCGAAAUGUAAUUUUUGGUUGCGUGAAGUAGGUUACAUGAUUUUUGGUAUGAAGCACAAAAAAGGGCAAAAAAAACCGCGAGGGAUAGGGGUUUCCAAGGCUGGAACGAUGUUGCGGUUUGGAGGGAUUUCAAACCGAUAUACAUCCCGGAAGAUAUAUGGCCGCACUAUCUUGAGCACGUGACGUCUGAGCGGUUCACACGACGCUCACAGUCCGGUGCUGGCAACCAGAAUCGGCCAAUUCAUGGCUCGGUGACAACGCACACUGGCGGCUCCGUUCCAUUUGCUGCACAUGCGAAACGGAUGGUAAGAUUAAUUUAAAUGAAAUAUAUCGUUAAAUUAAGUUGUUGUUAAUAUAUCUUUUUUCAUUAUAGGCUGCGUCUCUUGGACGUGAGCCGAGCCCGAUGGAGCUGUUUGUGGAGACGCACGUGCGGAGUCAAGAUCGCCAAAAGGGGGCGCAACAGUUCGUUGAUAACCGUGCUCAACAUUUCGUGGUAUGUUUGUUCAACCAUUUUAUUUUGUAAGUUAUUAUGUUUAUUGAAUUGAAUAUGAUGAUUACUUUUUUUAUUUUCAGGAGACCUAUAAUAAUCGGUUGAGGGAGAGAUACGGGGAUGAUAUUUUGACCCAUCCGAAAUUCGAUCCGGAUUUGUGGAUGGAGGUUGGAUCGUCAAGUGGACCCGAUAAAAAUCGGGUUUACGGGCUCUCCAACACUACGGCCGACAACUUGCGGUCCACCCGUAGUGUUUCAACCGUUGGGAGCUCUCAAUCAAUAUCAAUCUCCCAAUCUAAGGAGUUCGUGGCCUUGCAGCAACACACGGCUCAGCUCACCGACAAAUACGACCACCUAUCAGCGGAGUACGCACAACUCAAAGCGUCUCAUGCACAAUAAAGAGCGGAGUCUGAGCAAAUCAAAGCGUCUCAAGCACAACAAAAAGCGGCUUAUGAACAGCUUUGCGAAAUGGUCAUGAACAUGGCAACACAUAGUGGAACAUGUGCGCCUAAUCCUUUUUGGCCGUAUAACCACCAGCCUCCUCCUCCAGGAUCUCCUCCUCCUCCUCCAGCUCCACCUUUAUAUUAAUUUGUAAUAAACAUUAUUUACCUUUAAAACUUCAUUUAAUAUUUUUUUUUGAAACAUAUUCAGUUUGUAAUGAAUAUUAUUUAACUUUGAUUUUUUUUUAUGUCUAAUAUAAAUUUUAUUUGCAUAAUUGGUUUUUAUUACCAUUAUUUUAUAUAAUUUUAUAUUAUAUAUUCUAAAUAAUUUUUUAAAAACAAAUUUAGAAAAAACUAUUACCAAGGGUUUACCGACGGAAUUAAUCCGUCGGCAUCUGACAGNNNNNNNNNNNNNNNNNNNNNNNNNNNNNNNNNNNNNNNNNNNNNNNNNNNNNNNNNNNNNNNNNNNNNNNNNNNNNNNNNNNNNNNNNNNNNNNNNNNNNNNNNNNNNNNNNNNNNNNNNNNNNNNNNNNNNNNNNNNNNNNNNNNNNNNNNNNNNNNNNNNNNNNNNNNNNNNNNNNNNNNNNNNNNNNNNNNNNNNNNNNNNNNNNNNNNNNNNNNNNNNNNNNNNNNNNNNNNNNNNNNNNNNNNNNNNNNNNNNNNNNNNNNNNNNNNNNNNNNNNNNNNNNNNNNNNNNNNNNNNNNNNNNNNNNNNNNNNNNNNNNNNNNNNNNNNNNNNNNNNNNNNNNNNNNNNNNNNNNNNNNNNNNNNNNNNNNNNNNNNNNNNNNNNNNNNNNNNNNNNNNNNNNNNNNNNNNNNNNNNNNNNNNNNNNNNNNNNNNNNNNNNNNNNNNNNNNNNNNNNNNNNNNNNNNNNNNNNNNNNNNNNNNNNNNNNNNNNNNNNNNNNNNNNNNNNNNNNNNNNNNNNNNNNNNNNNNNNNNNNNNNNNNNNNNNNNNNNNNNNNNNNNNNNNNNNNNNNNNNNNNNNNNNNNNNNNNNNNNNNNNNNNNNNNNNNNNNNNNNNNNNNNNNNNNNNNNNNNNNNNNNNNNNNNNNNNNNNNNNNNNNNNNNNNNNNNNNNNNNNNNNNNNNNNNNNNNNNNNNNNNNNNNNNNNNNNNNNNNNNNNNNNNNNNNNNNNNNNNNNNNNNNNNNNNNNNNNNNNNNNNNNNNNNNNNNNNNNNNNNNNNNNNNNNNNNNNNNNNNNNNNNNNNNNNNNNNNNNNNNNNNNNNNNNNNNNNNNNNNNNNNNNNNNNNNNNNNNNNNNNNNNNNNNNNNNNNNNNNNNNNNNNNNNNNNNNNNNNNNNNNNGGAUUGGAGCUACCACAGUACAAUUCGAACCUAAAACCCUGCAACAUAUUCAAGGGACCUUAGAAUUGUCCACCAUAGUUGAGUCAGCUGCAGGAACCGCGUUUACCGGACCCGGUGACAAUUCACUGCUCAGCCAUAAGAGGAAGCCUUGUAUUUAAAACAGGUUGGUAUGAUAUUGUUCGCGAUAUUGGCCUCAAAAGUGGAGACACUGUGACUUUCUAUCAGGAGGUUAACGGAGGAGCACAGUUCAAAUUGAAAGUGAGAAAUUUUCGUUAAAGUAAAGAAGAAAUGUGAUGGAAACAGUGUCUUCCAUACAUGCAUGAACGUCCGAGUGCACGUCCUUCUGUUUCUUCUUUGUUCUAUCUAUCUUCGUGUCUAGUUUCUUUCCGGUGUCAGCAGUUGAGAAAACUUUUCUCAAAAUUAUCUCCUGCAAUCUUCGUGUCUAGUUUUUUCAAUUCCUUGCAUGUGUGAGGAAAUUAUGAAUAAUUAAUUUCUUCUUUAGAUGAAAGAGUUUGUCUGUGAUUGUAAUAUGUAUUUUGAGCUUUAAUUUUGUGAUUUUUUGGUAAUAAAAUUAUUAUGUGUUGUGAAUUACUUUAAAAACUUCAAUGAGAUGUGAUUUGAUUCAUCAGCUAAUUAAACUGAAAUUAUAUGAGAAGCAAAUCAUUUUUAAGAGUAAUUUAAUUAUGUUUUUCCAAAAGAAGAAGAAAUAGUGCAUGAGGUAGUGUUAUUGAAGCUUAACUCUCAACCAAUUUAAGUUUGAAUGAUGUAAUCAUUAAAAAAUAUUAAUAAAAAAAACUUGCAAAAGCACAAAAAAAUAGCAAAAAAAAAAAAGAAUGAAGAUAAAAUUUGAGAGAAAAAACCUAAGGAGGAUGAAAUUAUAAAAAAAAAAAUGAUUCAAAAAAAAAAUAGCAAUUAAAAGAACGAGGACAAAAUUUGAAAGAUUAAAAAUCAUAAGCGGUGAAAUUGAAAAAUAUUUGUAAUUUGAUAAAUUAUUUAAAAAAUGGUAGAUGGUGAUAUUAAAAAAAAAAAAACUAUAGAGGGCUAACCUAAUAGAAUCAAACCACAAAAAAAAACAAAAAAAAAAAGAAGAUAAAAUAAGAAAACAUCAGCUUUAAAAAAAAGAGAAAAAAAAACCUACAAACUCGAGUAAAUCUUCUAAACUUGGUCUAAUCUCUAAAACUAAAUGAAGAAGAUGAGAUGAGAAGCCCAAGCUCGAUGCUAGGGGGCAUAACGAAUCAUUUUGCAAGUCAAUCCUAAGGUCUAGAAACACAUGGACCAAAAGGAGGUCUGGUAGCAAGCACUAGUGAUCCUUAGUCGUGAAAUCCCUUAAACACUUUUUUAACCUACAAAUAUCAUUUUUCUUCGUAACCAAAAGCCGAAGCUAAAGUUACAUGCCCAAUCAAGCUCUUUCUAAUAAAAGGCAGGCAAUUUGGAUCGGUAAGCAAUGUUUUCCAAUGUGAAAGAAACCGCCUAUUUUUUAUACAAAUAAAACAAAUGCUUUGAAGACUACUUCUCUAAAACCAUCAAAUUAAAACUUGAACCCUACUAACCAACAAAACACGAAACAAAAGGUCACUUCAUUUUUUUUCCCAAAACAACAAAACAAAGAUUUUCAAUAAAAAUGAAAACCUAUCCAGAGGAAUCGCUUGAAUUCUUUUUGGAAUAAGUUUGCUUGAAACUAAUGUCAAAAUGAUUUUUGUGUUUGGAAUGGCUUUGAAAUUCCAGAAAUUUUCCUAUAAAAAAAAUUCAUUAUAAAUAAUCAAAUCUUAUUUCGUAUAGCAUCGUCCCUAAAAAAAACUCGAAACUAAACACCUGUGGACAUGAUCAGUUUGGGGGGCAAUCCAAGAAACAUGGUAGGGUUGGCUUCACGAUUCCCUUUCUAAGAAAAUAGAGAAUGUGAAGCAAAACUGAUAAUCUUUGAGAUAAAGGUUUUUAGGCUAAGAGGAAUGCUGAUAAAUCAUCUGACAAUUGCCCUUCCUAAAGGUUAAGANNNNNNNNNNNNNNNNNNNNNNNNNNNNNNNNNNNNNNNNNNNNNNNNNNNNNNNNNNNNNNNNNNNNNNNNNNNNNNNNNNNNNNNNNNNNNNNNNNNNNNNNNNNNNNNNNNNNNNNNNNNNNNNNNNNNNNNNNNNNNNNNNNNNNNNNNNNNNNNNNNNNNNNNNNNNNNNNNNNNNNNNNNNNNNNNNNNNNNNNNNNNNNNNNNNNNNNNNNNNNNNNNNNNNNNNNNNNNNNNNNNNNNNNNNNNNNNNNNNNNNNNNNNNNNNNNNNNNNNNNNNNNNNNNNNNNNNNNNNNNNNNNNNNNNNNNNNNNNNNNNNNNNNNNNNNNNNNNNNNNNNNNNNNNNNNNNNNNNNNNNNNNNNNNNNNNNNNNNNNNNNNNNNNNNNNNNNNNNNNNNNNNNNCAGAUAAGAUAAAUAGGGGAGGAGUCAACCUUUGGAGGCAAGGAAACCCAAUGUAGAUACAAAAAUCGCUCAGACGGGGCUAUAAUGCCCAGGACGCCAUGUUUUAAACCAUAUAAUGACUUGUGCAAUCUACACACAUGAGAUGGAAGAGUAGGGUCAACAAACCUAGAGGUUGUUUCAUGUAGACCUCUUCAAUAAGAACGCCAUUGAGAAAGGCAAUAUGAAUAUCAAGCUGAUGAAUCUUCCAAUUACAUGAAACCGCAAUGAAAAAGACUAAUCUGACGGUGGCCUGCUUAAUAACUGGGCUGAAAGUUUCAGAAUAAUCAAUGCCUUCCUGUUGAGUAAAGCCUCUAGCAACUAGACGGGCUUUAUAACGGUCAAUGCUGCCAUCAAUACGACGUUUGAUCCGAUAUAUCCAUCGGCUGCCAACAACAUUCAUCGAAGGAUGAAAGGGCACUAGGGACCAAGUGUGAUUGGAACGAAAAGCCUUGAUCUCAUCACACAUAGCAUCAUGCCAAGCAACAUAUUUAUCUGCAUCAGAGAAGGCAAUAGGUUUAGAGAAAGGAGAGAGCAAUACCCAGGUGGCAGCUGUAUCAGCUGCAGCAGAGGCCACCAUAUUUGCGGUUUUGGGCUGCCGCGGUCUAAGGACCAUAGGGUGGCGGCUGAGCAACGGUGGCGACGCAGAAAAGGUAGGUGUCGUGCUGCAGUGGAUAAGUAGAGAGAUCAACCACUAGAUUCAGACCAGGUGAAGAAGCCGGGGAAGAAGCUGCCGCAAGCAGAGGGCUGGCAACAGAGAUAGAGUCUGCAAAAGCUGGGUGAUUGGCAAAAUAAGGGGAAGCAGAUGAGGAACCAGAUGGUGUCCCAGUACUAGCAGAGACAUUGUGCUGGAGUGCAGGGAAAACUGAUCUACAACCUGUACCUGCAACAAAAUGGUGAGAUAAAGAUGCAUGUGGUGAUCGGCAAGGGAAAGGUGGAGGCUGUGGUGUUUUGGUAGGAGGUGAAUGCAGGGCAGAGGCAAAGGCGGGAUGGGGUGUGUUAUGAUCGGUGAACAAUGGGGAGUGGGUCAGAUUUGGGAGGAUGGUAGCAGGGGAUGGUGUGUGGUUUUGAGCUGAGACCUGUGCAAUCUGUUCAGAAUUAUCAAACGGGAAAACAUGUUUAUGAAAACGAACAUGACGGGAGAUAUACAUGCGAUGAGAUUUGUUGUAACCCAUUUUUGGGUCCCCACAAAAUAUAUAUAAAAAUAUAUAGCCAAAUGAGGUUAGAAAAAUAACAGGAGGCAGAAGCGCUCAAAAAAUGGUUGGAAAAUUGGUCAAUAAGGUUAAAAAUACACAAAAAAUGAUAAGCAGGAGGCCGUUGAAACAAACAAUCAAAUGGAGAUUGAUUGCAAGAACAAGAGGAGAAAAGCCCNNNNNNNNNNNNNNNNNNNNNNNNNNNNNNNNNNNNNNNNNNNNNNNNNNNNNNNNNNNNNNNNNNNNNNNNNNNNNNNNNNNNNNNNNNNNNNNNNNNNUUUAAAUGAAUUUAUAGGAGAUUUGAUUGUAAGAAAAAUUGAUUUUUAAGUCAAUUUGGGCUUUAAUUAGAAGAAAUUUAAGUUCUAGGGCCAAAAUAUAUUUUUUAGGAAUUUAUUAGGUCAAAUCAGGGGCUUAAUUGCAUAAAUAUUGAAGUUUAAGGGCCAAUUGGGGACUUAAUUGAGAAAAUUCGAAACCAGGGACCAAAUUGAAAGAGGCGCGUAAAUGGAGGGGCGGAGACCGAAAUUGACAGGGAUGCAAUUGAAGAGAAAAAAGAUGAUUAAGGGCUGAUUUGGAAUUUGGCGCGUUUUGGCGCCACAUUCAAAUGAAACGGCGCGUUUUCUCCAAAACGACGCCGUUUCAUACAUUCAAAAAAAAAAAAAAAAAAAAAGAGAAAGAGCAGAACGGUGUCGUUUUGAACGACACUGUUCAUCUUCUUCCCCCGAUCACGCAGCGGGGAAGAAGGAAAAAGGUUUGCUUUAAUUUGAAUUUCUGCCGGCCACUCUCUCGCCUGGAGCCCACCGACCGGACACAAUGGCCGACCACCCACCGCGCACUUGCCAGAAAACCGGGGAAGGGGGCCGAACCUUGGCAGUCGUGCCCAAUGGCCGACCGGCCGGUUGCUCCCCAUGCCACAGCAAAGCCACGCCCUGGGCUCUAUAAAUAGAACCCCAAGAACGCUGGAGGGAGGGGAACAGACGGGGGAAAGAAGGAGAAAACGAAAAAACAGAGGAGAGAGAGAGGAACGGAAAAAACCGAAAGAGAGAGAAAGGGGAGAGGGAGAAGAGAACCGAAAGAAGGGGGAAAGAAAACCAAAGAAGGAGAAGAAAAGGGAAGGAAACAGAGGAGAAGGAAAGAGGAAGAAUCCCUCUUUCCGCCGCUUGAGACAGCAGCGCCGCUGCUUGGAGUCGCCGCCAGGGAGCAGCGACACCGCUACCAACCUCCACCACAGAACCGCCAGAAACGCAGCCAGCCACCGCUUCCGCCUCCGCGCCAGGUAACUUUUCUUCCCCUUCUCCCUCGCGUUUAUUUUCUCGUUUCGUUCCCUGCAUGCAGAACGAGUAGCGUUCUGCAUGCAGGGGUGGGGGGAAAAUAAUUCCCCCCCCCGCCCCGUUUUGGCUUGGGCCAGGCGGAUCCUGGCCCAGCCCUGUCUUCUGGGCCGGGCCUGGCCCAGAAGAUAAUGUGUUUUUUGUUUUGGGCCGAGAUCGGCCCAACAAUUUUGGGCUGAGUCCGGCCCAGUCGGUUGGGCCGGACCAGCCCAGCCCAUUUAAUAUUAUAUAUUAUAUUAUAUAUAUUAUAUUUUGUAUUAUUUAUAUAGAUAUAUAUAUAUAUGAAAAAAUUACAAAAAUUCUUCAAAAAUUAUUUCAAAAAUAUGUGAUUUUCUGUAAUUUUAUUACUGUAUUUUGAUUAAUAUUGGUUGGUAUUUUAUACUGAAAAGAUACAAAUCCGGUAUUAACAUACCCGGUUUUCAUCAAACAUCAAAGAUUUUCAAAAUAAAAAAUGUCUUUUGCUUUCAAAAUUUUUCUAAAAUAUCUUUGAAAAUAUUGUUGAUUUUUCUGCAUUUGCUUUAUCAAGUAGAUUAAUAUUUUGGUGGUAUUUUUAUACCGCAAGGAUACAAACCCAGUAUUAAAAAAUAACCUCGAUUUGCGGUCAAACCGUACAAANNNNNNNNNNNNNNNNNNNNNNNNNNNNNNNNNNNNNNNNNNNNNNNNNNNNNNNNNNNNNNNNNNNNNNNNNNNNNNNNNNNNNNNNNNNNNNNNNNNNNNNNNNNNNNNNNNNNNNNNNNNNNNNNNNNNNNNNNNNNNNNNNNNNNNNNNNNNNNNNNNNNNNNNNNNNNNNNNNNNNNNNNNNNNNNNNNNNNNNNNNNNNNNNNNNNNNNNNNNNNNNNNNNNNNNNNNNNNNNNNNNNNNNNNNNNNNNNNNNNNNNNNNNNNNNNNNNNNNNNNNNNNNNNNNNNNNNNNNNNNNNNNNNNNNNNNNNNNNNNNNNNNNNNNNNNNNNNNNNNNNNNNNNNNNNNNNNNNNNNNNNNNNNNNNNNNNNNNNNNNNNNNNNNNNNNNNNNNNNNNNNNNNNNNNNNNNNNNNNNNNNNNNNNNNNNNNNNNNNNNNNNNNNNNNNNNNNNNNNNNNNNNNNNNNNNNNNNNNNNNNNNNNNNNNNNNNNNNNNNNNNNNNNNNNNNNNNNNNNNNNNNNNNNNNNNNNNNNNNNNNNNNNNNUCCCUUUACGCAACCAGUCCCCGUACCCGAUCUCUGAGACCAGUUAGGGUUCCUAGUGACCAAAAUACUAGGUGGCGACUCCCACACCAUUUUUCACUGCUAAGAGACAACGAAUUCCUUGUCUCCCUACGUUGACCAUAUAUAUAUCCCCCAUAUUACAUUUUUUGUGGGUGGACGAUCGCCGCGACGUCGCUCACGUGCGACAGAAUGGCGACUCCACUGGGGACCUUGUGGACUUAGCUUUGUUUUUGUCUAAUUUGUUUUUGUUUUCGUGUGUUUAUUGUUAAUAUGCCUUUCCUUUUGUUAUCCGCUUAUAUGCUUCAAAUAUUUUUACACAUAUUGUUCAUGCAUUUGUAUAGAACUGUCUCAUACAUCUUAUAGAACUGUCUCAUGCAUCACAUACUUUGAUUAUUGAGAAGCACACACAAGCUUUAAGUUAAGUGGGGGACUAGCAGCUUACCUUACGACUGUUAGUCAAGGUUUAAGUUUGUGUAAACCCCAACUCUUUGCUGAGUGCUUAGACUGGUAAUAGUUGGUACAUGUGACCAUCUCAUUGCCUACAAGCCCCCAUAUUGCCUCCACGAGGGCAAUCACUGGGACAGCAAGAGACCCUUUUUAGAGACUGAAUAGCCAACCUACCCUCGUCAAGCACAAAAGAAUUAGAACCGGCUAUAGGGUGUAUGCUCCAUAAAAUAUAUUUUUGCAUAAGACAAAACCUAACCAUAAGGCCUUUGGUUUUCAGGUCUUUUCAGCUCACAUUAUAUAUGCAUCAUGCAUUGUUCUUUAUCAUACAUACAUUCAUUUACAUUUUUUCCACGCACGCCAGAUCGUGAAACAUAGGUCCCACAUCCGAAGUCCACCACACCCGGUCUAGAUCAAGAAUGGAGAACGAAGAAAGAGCUCACUUAGAGUCACACUACCAGACCGAGUUGGAAUCUGUGAAAAAUGAAGUUUCUCGACUGACCAAUCUGCUUGAGCAACUCUUAAGAGCCAAGAACGGGGAGGGAACGUCUACCCAACCACCUAUAGGAGCACCGUCAGUUCAUGUCCCGGGGGUAUCUCAGAACUUGGGGGCAGAUUCAGUGACGGGGCAGCAAUUUGCGCCUGCCAUUCCCAUUCAGCCCCCUCAAGCUCACAUCACUGUAGAUGGGCCUUCCGAUAAUAGGUCCACUGGAUUUAUGAACAAUGACAAGAUAUCAGCCUUGGAAGAAAGGUUAAGAGCAGUCGAGGGAAAUGACUGGUUUGACCCCAUACGAGCAUCUGAAAUAUGCUUGGUGCCAAACAUCACGGUACCAAAAGAUUUUAGGAUACCGGAGUUUAUAAGGUACACUGGGUUGGAAUGCCCAAACACUCACCUUCGAUCUUAUUGCAAUAAGAUGGCUGAGGCGAUUCAUGACGAUAAAUUACUGAUCUACUUUUUCCAAGACAGUCUGUCGGGGUCGGCGCUAAGUUGGUACAUGAGGCUGGAUAAUACCAGGAUUAAGAAAUGGAAGGAUUUAGUGGAGGCUUUCCUUAAGCAAUACAAGUUCAAUUUGGAAAUUGCUCCAGAUCGAACAAGCCUUAUGUCAAUGGAAAAGAGAAGCCAAGAGUCAGUAAAGGCUUAUGCGCAAAGAUGGAGGGACGAGGCCACUCAUGUGCAACCUCCUUUGAUAGAAACGGAGAUGGUGACCUUGUUUGCCAAUACCUUUAAAGCACCAUAUUAUGAGCACCUAAUGGGUAGCUCAUCUCAGCAUUUCUACGAUGCGGUACGCAUAGCUGAAAGAAUAGAGCAAGGGAUUAAAGCUGGACGUAUAGUUGAGCCAUUGGAGGCGAAGGGUUUUAUGGGAAGAAAAAUGGGAGGUCACAUUUACGACUUUGAAGGUGGGUCCGAGGGCAAUAUAGUGGAUUCACUCAACCCACAGAUACCUACCUCUCAUGUUGCCCACAUAAACUUUAACAAACCAUUUUCCUCUAAUCAAGUAAAUAACCAGUCAAACAACCAAAACAACUACCAAAGACCAAAUACAAGGUACAUCUCAGAACAACUACCGCCAUUACCCAUGCCUUUGAAGGAAAUGUAUGCCAAACUACUGAGCAUUGGACAAAUAGCUCCUAUCCCUACAUUACCACUACAACCACCAUUCCCCAUCUGGUAUAAGCCCGAGUUGACUUGCGAGUACCAUGCUGGUAUUCCCGGACAUUGUCUUGAAACGUGCUAUGCUUUCAAGAGCAUGUUGUUGAAGCUCAUCAAGAUAGGAUGGGUGUCGUUUGAAGACACACCCAAUAUCAAUUCAAAUCUAUUGCCUAGUCAUGACAAAAGUAAUAGGGGAUAAAGGGUUGGAAAACCUUGGUCAAGAAUCGUCAAUAAUGAAGAAGGCGAGAUCGAAAGAGAAGACAAGGAAACGCAAAUGGGGAAGGAAGAUGAAGCAUUGCCUCGGUUGACUUUCCAGAACGGGUUGACCCAAGAACUUCUCGUAGUUUUCAAAAUGUAAAACAACUUUAUUUGCCUUAGCAUGUUUUUGUCAUUUGCUUUUGUCAGUACUUUUAUUUUCUCUGUUGGGCAAUCAGGGCUCAUGUUUUCAGCCAGAUUUUAUGUUUGUCUUCGAGCCUACCUUUUUUUUAAUAAAUGAUGAGAUUAUGCACUUUUUGAACAAGUUUGAGUGGUUAUAUCAUAAAAUGGUUUAAUAUGAAAUUUAAGAAAAGCUAACCCUAAAGUACAUCCCUACCUCUGAUGAAUGAUUAAGUGGUCACUUUAUAAUCAUCUGUAAUAACAAUGUGCAUUUUGAAAAAGAACGAAAAAAAAAAUCAUCAUUAUCCCUUCAUGCACUAAAAAAGUUUAUCAUUGGCUGAAUGAAUUUAUUCUCUAUAAAAGCCCAGACUAGGAUCACACCCCUACACUGGGGGCAAAACGAGUUGUUUUUUUGAAAAGUUUUACGUGUUUAAAAUUGGUUGGAAGCCCAUAGAUUUGAAAACCAAGCUAAAGCAUUUGACAAAAGCAUGACAAAGAGGCAAAUACAAGUCAUACAUUUUGAGAAAAGGACUACUUGGAGAAAGUCGAAGACUUCUUCUCAAAGAUAUGAGAGGCAACACGAGAAAUGAAUCCAGCAUACGACUUCAAAAGCAAGCUCAUAUCAAGAGAGAGUUUCAUGAAAUAGAAGAAGAUGAUGGGGCCUAUGUUUCAAAACCAGGUACAAAUGCAUGCAUGGCAUCUAAUCAUAAAUCAUUGCAUAUAUGUUUUAUGGAUCAUUACAGGAGGAGACCUUAAUGCAUUCCAACAAAAUUGGAGAUGAAGAAAGAAUCAUUGAGUUGAUUCUAGAACAACGAGAAGAGAAGAUAAUAAUUUUCAAACCCUGCCAUCAGGAAGAACGACAUCGAGCAAUCGGUUAAAGGGAAUCGCCAGAUGGGAUUCCAGGUUGACCGAUUUACAAAAUAGAUUUUUUGGUUUUUGAUUAAAGAAGAUCGCCAGAAGGGAUCUCAUUAUUUCAGCUUCGGAAAAAGGAAUCGCCAGAUGGGAUUCCAAGUUGUUUGAGAUCGCCAGAAGGGAUCUCGUAUUUCGAUAUUGGUUAAAGGAGGUCGCCAGAAGGGACCUCAUAUUUCAUAUUGAAUAAAAGGAAUCGCCAGAUGGGAUUCCAAGUUGUUUGAGAUCGCCAGAAGGGAUCUCAUAUUUCAAUAUUGGUCAAAGGAGGUCGCCAGAAGGGACCUCGUAUUUCAGCUUUGAAUAAAAGAAAUCGCCAGAUGGGAUUCCAAGUUGAUGAAGGUCGCCAGAUGGGACCUCAUAUUUCAUGUUGGUUAAAAGGAAUCGCCAGAUUGGGAUUCCAAGUUGAUUAAAGGAGAUUGCCAGAAGGGAUCUCGUGUUUCGCUAUUUGGAGGUCGCUAGAUGGGACCUCGUAUUACAUGUUGGUUAAAAGGAAUCGCCAGAUGGGGUUCCAAGUUGUUUGGAUAAAGGAGAUCGCCAGAAGGGAUCUUGUAUUUUGAUGAAGGUCGCCAGAAGGAACUUCAUGUUUUAGCUUUAGUAAAAGGAAUUGCCCGAUGGGAUUCCAAGUUAUUUGAGAUCGCCAGAAAAGAUCUCGUACUUCGGCAUUCAUCAAGGAAGGUCGCUAGAAGGGACCUCGUAUUGAAACUAUUUCUUAGAAAAGCAUGGAGUUUACUAAGAAUUCUUCCCCUGGGUAGGUCACCCAUUAUAAUGAGACCGCACUUCACAUUAUUUUUCUUGGGUUCGUCACCCAUACAAUGAGACCAUCAUUUUUCCUGGGUUAGUCACCCAUACAAUGAGACCAUUAUUUUUCUUGGGUUCGUCACCCAUACAAUGAGACCAUUAUUUUUCCUGGGUUAGUCACCCAUACAAUGAGACCAUCAUUUUUCCUGGGUUAGUCACCCAUACAAUGAGACCAUUAUUUUUCCUGGGUUAGUCACCCAUACAAUGAGACCAUCAUUUUUCUUGGGUUCGUCACCCAUACAAUGAGACCAUCAUUUUUCCUGGGUUAGUCACCCAUACAAUGAGACCAUUAUUUUUCCUGGGUUAGUCACCCAUACAAUGAGACCAUCAUUUUUUCUUGGGUUAGUCACCCAUACAAUGAGACCAUUAUUUUUCCUGGGUUAGUCACCCAUACAAUGAGACCAUUAUUUUUCCUGGGUAGGUCACCCAUAAUAAUGAGACCACUCUUUUCCUUUUCCCAUUCGGGCAGGUCACCCGUCAUAAUGAGACCACACACGUGUUUUUGUAUUUGGGUAUGGGUAAAGGAAUCGCCAGAUGAGAUUCCAAGUUUUUGGGGUUAAAGGAGAUCACCAGAAGGGAUCUCGAGAUGACUAAAUUUUGAUCAUAGUUUUUGGGUUAAGGAGGAUUGCUGUAAGGACAAAGUUUCAGAGCAAUCGAGCUCCGACUAGAUCAGUUUCGGGAGCUCAGUUUUGGUUUAUCUUUAUAAAACUUACUGCGCAAAACCUUUGCUCCGUAAGCAUUAUAAAGAGGGGGCAUCUGUUGUAACCCAUUUUUGGGUCCCCACAAAAUAUAUAUAAAAAUAUAUAGCCAAAUGAGGUUAGAAAAAUAACAGGAGGCAGAAGCGCUCAGAAAAUGGUUGGAAAAUUGGUCAAUAAGGUUAAAAAUACAAAGAUGGAAUUUUUGAUAAUAUAUUCUUGAAGGAGGAGAGCCCUGUUGACAAGGAAAAUUUGAAAUUUGAGGAGAAAAGCCCAAAUUUGGAUGUUUAUGGACUUAAUUGGAUUUUUAAAUGAAUUUAUAGGAGAUUUGAUUGUAAGAAAAAUUGAUUUUUAAGUCAAUUUGGGCUUUAAUUAGAAGAAAUUUAAGUUCUAGGGCCAAAAUAUAUUUUUUAGGAAUUUAUUAGGUCAAAUCAGGGGCUUAAUUGCAUAAAUAUUGAAGUUUAAGGGCCAAUUGGGGACUUAAUUGAGAAAAUUCGAAACCAGGGACCAAAUUGAAAGAGGCGCGUAAAUGGAGGGGCGGAGACCGAAAUGACAGGGAUGCAAUUGAAANNNNNNNNNNNNNNNNNNNNNNNNNNNNNNNNNNNNNNNNNNNNNNNNNNNNNNNNNNNNNNNNNNNNNNNNNNNNNNNNNNNNNNNNNNNNNNNNNNNNCCCGUUUUGGCUUGGGCCAGGCGGAUCCUGGCCCAGCCCUGUCUUCUGGGCCGGGCCUGGCCCAGAAGAUAAUGUGUUUUUUGUUUUGGGCCGAGAUCGGCCCAACAAUUUUGGGCUGAGUCCGGCCCAGUCGGUUGGGCCAGACCAGCCCAGCCCAUUUAAUAUUAUAUAUUAUAUUAUAUAUAUUAUAUUUUGUAUUAUUUAUAUAGAUAUAUAUAUAUAUGAAAAAAUUACAAAAAUUCUUCAAAAAUUAUUUCAAAAAUAUGUGAUUUUCUGUAAUUUUAUUACUGUAUUUUGAUUAAUAUUGGUUGGUAUUUUAUACUGAAAAGAUACAAAUCCGGUAUUAACAUACCCGGUUUUCAUCAAAACAUCAAAGAUUUUCAAAAUAAAAAAUGUCUUUUGCUUUCAAAAAUUUUCUAAAAUAUCUUUGAAAAUAUUGUUGAUUUUUCUGCAUUUGCUUUAUCAAAGUAGAUUAAUAUUUGGUUGUAUUUUUAUACCGCAAGGAUACAAACCCAGUAUUAAAAAUACCCGAUUUGCGUCAAAACGUACAAAAUACAUAUUUAAAAAAUGUUUUGUUUUAAAAUACGGCCUAGUCUCUCCAAUAUAUAUAUAUAAAUAUUAUAACAUCAUAUUUUCACACAACAAAAGAAAUUUCAAAACAAUAUAUGUAUUAGCAUGCAUUUUGGCUUUAAUAACCAGUUUAUUCAAGCCAUGAGAACUAGGCCAAUAUUCCAAAAAUUCUAAAAAAUCUUUUUGUCCUCUGUUAGUAUAUGGGAUUACGAAUUUAUACGUAAAACGUAUUCCUGAAAUUAAAAAUAUGUUUUUUUACAUAGACGCUAGAACGGUUAGGUUUUACCCGAUAAGAUAAGGACCUCCUUAUUAAGGAGGACUUUUCUUGAACCAUAGACGGACCAACAACUAGGAAACACAACGAAAACACCUUAAAUUUUAUCAGACAAUUAAACGAUGCAGCUUACCUUAGGUAGGGCGUAUUUGGGGUGUUAAUACCUUCCCUUUACGCAACCAGUCCCCGUACCCGAUCUCUGAGACCAGUUAGGGUUCCUAGUGACCAAAAUACUAGGUGGCGACUCCCACACCAUUUUUCACUGCUAAGAGACAACGAAUUCCUUGUCUCCCUACGUUGACCAUAUAUAUAUCCCCCAUAUUACAUUUUUUGUGGGUGGACGAUCGCCGCGACGUCGCUCACGUGCGACAAGAUUCAAUGUCAAAACAUCGAUAACCAAGAUGAGAGGAACUGUAGCCAAAAAACACACAUGGAGAAGACCGAAAAUCCAAUUUAUGAUUAUUAUAUGGACGCAAAAAAGGAAAACAGAGACAUCCAAAAGUACGCAAAAAAUGAUAAGCAAGAGGCCGUUGAAACAAACAAUCAAAUGAGAUAAACCGAAGUGUCAAAAGCAUAAUUCCAAAAGCAAAAUGGAGCUUUACAUUGUCCUAGAAGAGUAAGGCUGGUUUUCACAAUAUGCCUAUGAUGUCUUUCUACGGUUCCAUUUUGUUCGUGAGUGUGAGGACAUAUCAGACGGUGAUGAAUACCAAUGGUCUGAAAGAAAGUGGAGAGUUUGCGAUAUUCACCGCCCCAAUCAGUUUGAACAGAUUUUAUUUUUAAUGAAAAUUGAUGUUCGACAAGAGUUUGAAAUUGAUGAAAAACAGAAUAAACAUCAGAUUUUGCAACAAGUGACUUCCACAAAUAGUGCCUUCUCUUUUGCUGGAAUUUGGAAAGGUAUUGUCCCUCCUAAGGUAGAGAUCUUUUGCUGGAUGGCUAUCAUUAACAGAAUCAACACCCAGUGUAUGUUGGUUCUAAGAGGUAUUUUGGGUAGCUCAUAGUCUAAUUGCCCUAUAUGCCUAGUAGAGGAAGAGUUGGUGGACCAUAGCCUGCUGCACUGCCAUAAUCAUUGGCUCAUUUGGUCCAAAAUCAUUAAGUGGUGGGGUUUAGUUUGGUGCUGCCCAAAGAGCUUCUCAGAUUUGUGGUCUCAGUGGACUUCCCUGGUACAUGGUCACUUUUAGAGGAAAGCGUGGAUGAUGUUGUUCUUCUCAGUGGCAUGGUCUCUUUGGCUUCUUUGAAAUGAUCUGAUUUUCCAACAGAAGACACCUAACUAUGAUUCAAUAUUCUUUCUUAUUAUCACCCGUCUAUGCCUACGGCUAAAAGCUAUCCAUUCUGAUUUCCCAUACUCCCCUACAGAUCUGAUCAGAUCGGCAGAUGGCCUGCUUCGGUGGUCCAAUGCUCACUCUUUCAGAAUUAAUAAUAUGUGGUCUCCUCCUAUGAUUAAUAGCCUCAAAUGGAACGUAGAUGGUUCUUCUUUUGGUAAGCCAGGCCCCUCUGGAAUAGGUGGUGUGCUGCAAAAUCACCAUGGCCAUCUUCUUGGUAUGUUCUCUGUUCCAGUUGGGAUUUUAGACUCUAAUAUUGCUGAGUUAAGGGCUAUUGUCAAAGCCAUUGAACUAUCAACAUCUAAUUGUCUCCUCCACCAUCAACAUUUCAUCAUAGAAUCUGACUCUGCCAAUGUUAUUAGCUGGAUGCAUAAGCCUCACAUCCGCCCCUGGAAGCAUCACAAUCUUUUCUCCUCUAUCAAUAGACUGAAUGCAUAUUUUGGCUCAAUCACCUUCUCCCAUAUCUUUCGUGAAAGUAAUUGCAUGGCUAAACAAGGAGUGCGGAGAUCAAGUGAAUUUGUUGCCUGGUUUUGACUCCACCAUUAAUAUUGUGGCCUUGCUUAUGUGUCUUUUGCUGUUAUGCUGUUGAGUUUAUUUUUGUUCUGUUUUGUAGAGGACUGCUUAGCUAUGAGUUCAUUCAGAUGGAUAUUCUCUGGUUUUCUUUGCUUUUACUUAUCUUAGACUGUGUUCUAUCUUCUUUAUGGCCUUUCGUCAUAUUAAGAUAUUGUACAGCUUCUAUACUAAUCUCGCCAGACUUUGGCGUUUAAAUGAUAUAAGUAAUCUUUCAAAAAAAACAAGAAAAGCAAGUGAUAUUUGAUUUAAUUUGAGCGGUAGCUAGCGCGCUACCUAGUAUAAUACAUCGCUGUCAUAGCAUGCAGAAAAGAGCUAGCAUAUAUAAAAAUAGUUUAAUUUAAAAUUCAUAUCAUUUUUAUCCAAACAAAGUGUUGAUAAACCAAUCAAUAGUUGAAUUGCUGACUGACAGUUGACCAUUUCACAAUUUAUGUCUAAAUGGUCGGUGGAUAUAUAGCUGGAAGCAAAUGACUGAUUCAAAACACUUAUCAUCUACCUUUGGUGCAUAAAUUGUUCUAACCUCACUCUAUCUUAAUCACAUGUCUUUUAUCGAUCUAUUAAACGUCAACACAAACGAUGAACGUCCGAUAAUAUUUAUUUAUUAUAUAUAAAAAGAAAUGUUAGAAUGUGAUGGAUGAAAGAUAUAUGUCGAGGGCGAAAAUAGUGCGUAUCCGUGCAUGCACUUAAAUUGCCGUAAGAACAUACCCUUUCGUAGGGCACGAAAUUGGAGUAGUAAUUAAUGAAUGCUCCAUCACUCACUGAAAAGGGCCAAAUCUUGGAGAUUAAUUUAUAAAUUGAUUCACCUGAUGAGUGAGUUAUGAUUUUACAUAUAAAUAUUAAAAAAAUAAUUCCAUUUUAACUUUUAAUAAGAAAAAAAUCAUGAUUUAAAAUAAAAUUAUUUUAAAUUAUCUCCACAAGGACAGCCAUAAGUAGCCUAAUUAAAUAGAAAGGGGAUCCCUGUCAUGGCGGUGGUUCCUUUUAUCACAGCAGACGGGGCCCUUUUACCCUUUUGUCGGGUCUUCCAAGAUUGAUUGCUGCUGGGGAUUAUUUAAUCCAUCUCUCGUUCCAAGUCUCAAUCUAGUAAGGAUGUUUUCGGAUGAUUUGACAGUAACGCUUGCACCUUUGAGCAACAAUAAGGGACAAUUUCCCUCGCGCAGGCCCCACAAUUAUACGGAGCUGGUGAAGCCUAUCAGAAUUCUCACGCAGGUAAGAACAUGGACCGGCCAAUAUGAACAAAUAUAUAGUCGGCCAAGCAAUUAUCUUUUCCUCUGCAGAAAUGAUUCUUAAUUUUGCUUUUAAGGUUUGACGGUUACACGGUUACACGUCCUGAUCUGAUGGAAUCUUGGAAACCGUACCCAAAUGGACCUACUUCAAUCAUGAAAACAUUAGCAACAAAUCUCCAAUAGCAUAUUGGAAAAGUGAUACAUGCCACUUCAAUGUUAGGCGUUCAUUAUAAUAAAAUUAUUUUGAAAUAUUUUUGUAUUUUUUUUAUUUAGACAUGCUAUCCAUUAUAAUGAGAUUCUUUUGAAAAACAAUCCUAAUAUUUUUUACUUGGACAGAUCACUUAUCACAAUAAGAUCAUUUUGAAAAAAAAUCUUAGUAUUUUUUCUUGGACAGAUCACCCAUCACAAUAAAAUCAUUUUAAAAAUUUAUUGUAUUUUUUAUCUAGGCAGAUCACUCAUUAUAAUGAGACUAUUUUAAAAAAUCUUUGUUUUUUUACCUAAACAGGUCACCUAUUAUAAUGACAUCACUUUGAAAAAUCUUGGUAUUUUUCCACCUGGAAAGGUCCCUUAUACUAAGACCAUUUUAAAAAAUCUUUGCAUUUGGACAAGUUACCAAUUACAAUGAGACCACUUUAAAUUUUUUUGCAUUUUUUACAUAGGCACGUCACCUAUUAUAGUAAGACCACUUUGAAAUCCUUUGCAUUUUUCACUUGAGCAGGUCGCUCAUUACAAUAAGAUCACUCGAAAAAUCUUUUUUAUUUUUCCACCUGGAUAGAUCACUCAUUACAAUGAGACAACAUUUGGGAAAAAAAAAAAGCAUUUAUAUUUUUCAUCUGGGUAGGUCACCCAUGACAAUUUAACUAUUCUAAAAUCUUUGAAUUUUAUAAAUAAGCAGGUUGCCUGGUACAACCAUACCACUUCAAAAGGUCUUUUACAAAGAUCAUUUUUUUCUUUACAAAUCAUAUCCCUUUUUCAUCUUGUGCGCUUUUGAACCCUCACUUCAAACAUUUUUAGAAAGGUUGACCAUAUCUUGAUCUAGUGAAUCUGUUAUCUCUCAUUCCUUCGUCUUUUUUACAAAGCUUACCAUCUCAGUUCUUUUACGAGACUUUUUGUCGUAAGCAAUGUAAAGAAGGGGAAACUGUCAUAACUCGUUUGUGGGUUAUUUCUCAAAUUCAUCUUUUUUCUUUCCAAAAUAAAAAAAAAUAAUAAUAGUAAAAAGACUGAUAUUUUGACAAAAAGCAAUCUGGGAGGAUUUCAAAUGUAGAAAAAAUCAAGUUGCAAUUUUUGAUGAAAUCGAGAGCCUAAUUGUACCCUAUUUUACCCAAAACUGGAGAGACAAUGCACAUUCAAGGUCUUUGUCAAGGCACUUACAUGGAUCCCUUCAAUAAGAAUUCAUUUGGGUGCACGAGCCCAUAAUAAAUUGAAAAAGUCAUAUUUAUUCACACGAGUAAAUUUUUACCCGGAGCCAUAGAUAGACUACCGGUUAGAAACCCAUCAAAACCUUUAAACGACAUUCAAAACCACAAUGCAGAUUACCUCAGGUAGGGUGUGCUAGGGGUGCUAUUACCUUCCCUCACCACAAUCAGUCCCUUAAUCUUGAAUCUUUGAUAAAACCAAUAUACUCGGAUUUCCUAGCGAGAUUGAACCCAACAACUAGAUGGAGACUCCUUUGACCCCCGAUGCCACGCAUCCAUAUACGACAGGGUGCGACUCCCAUGACCCCCGAUACCGUGUGUUAACGUGCAAUAGAAUGAUGACUCCUUCGACCCCCCUGACACCACGCGUCCAUGUGCAACAAUUACUACAAUGUUUUUUUCUCAUCAAUAGAUUGUAGAGUCAGAUUCUUAUAAUGCUAUCAAUUGGAUUAGAGGAACUAAUGAUAUGUGUAUUUGGCGCUUGCAAGGUGCGUUUAAUGUUAUUUUCAAUACACGCAAAAAGUUCUCUGGUGUUGAUUUUCAACAUGUUCAUUGAGAGAAGAAUGAAGUUGUAGUCUGGCCAAGCAAGCAGUUUUUGGAGAUAUUGAUCCAGUAGCCUGGCUUUAGCUUUAUUCAGUUUUAUUUUUAAUGUAUGUGAUUACGUGUCUUUUGUUUUGUUGUAAGUUUCUGUUAAGUCAUGUUAUUAAUAACUAUAACAGUGCUUAAUAAAUCAUGUUAUUAAUAACUAUAACAGUGCUUAAUAAAUCAUUAGUAUUUCAUAUAUAAAAAAGUGGCUAUUAAAUGGUUCAGUACAUGGACCGGCACACAAAUGAACCCUUGAAAUUAUAAAGUUCGAAUGCUACUACCACACUUGUUCAAAAAUUUGUAUUUAAUAAGUAUUUCUUCCUAAGUUUAAAAUUUAUAAUUAUAUAACAACAAGGCUUUCUAACAACAAGGCCUUCUAAUGAAACAAAAAAAAAAUCUCAGUAAAUUUUUUUCUAACAACAACUUCGAUACGCAACAACAAUCUCAGUAAAUUUAUAAUUAUAUAACAACAAGGCUUUCUAACAACAACUUCGAUACGCAAAGGGUAUGAAGCUCGACUAAACUCUCGCAUGUAUGAAGCUCGACUACGGAAGCAAAUGUUUGACCGAAAGUGAUUCAAAACACUUAUCAUCUUUCGUGCAUAAAUUGUACUAACUUCAUUCUCUCUUUAUUCAAUGCCAUUUAUCGACCAAUUAAUCGUCCACAGAAGAAAAACCAAACGAUAAUAUUUAUUAUAUAUAUAAAAAAUGAAUGUUGAUCCUUCACUCACUGAAAAGGGCCACGUAGAUAAUAUCUUGGAGAUGGUUACCAACUAGCAUUUCUAUCCCAAAACCCUAAGACCAAUUCGACAGAAAAGAAAUUGCUUUUGAAAAUCAUUAAUUGUUGAUAAUAUAUCGUCAGUUAAAACUAUGGAUAUUUUUCUUACUGAAAGUAUUGACUAACAAAUCACGGGAAUUCAGAGAAUUCAAUUGUUUCUAGAACAAUUAAUUAUAUGUCGAAUAAGUUUAUACAUCAAUAAAUAUAGAGUGAAACACAACAUCACGCAACAAGCUAGCUGGCUUACCAUAAGAUCACUGCUGAGUCUCUAUAAAUACUUGCUACCCCUGUCACUACAAAUACAUAAAACCUUCUUUAACCUAAUUAUUUCAAAGCAUUAGUUUUCACUAGCCAUGGAAAUCUUCACAAAGAAACUCACUCCUAUUGAUUUUGAUAGAGGAUUGGUGCUACCACCCUGUUCUAACCUAGAACCCCUGCAACAUUUUCAAGGGACCAUAGAAUUGUCCACCAUAGUUGAGUCAGCUGCAGGAACCAGUUUACCGGACCCAGUGACAAUUCACUGCUCAACCAUAAGAGGAAGCCUUGUAUUUAAAAGAGGUUGGUAUGAUAUUGCUCGCUAUGUUGGCCUCAAAAGUGGAGAUACUGUGACUUUCUAUCAGGAGGUUAACGGAGGAGCACAGUUCAAAUUGAAAGUGAGAAAUUUUCGUUAAAGUAAAGAAGAAAUGUGAUGGAAACAGUGUCUUCCAUACAUGCAUGAACGUCCGAGUGCACGUCCUUCUGUUUCUUCUUUGUUCUAUCUAUCUUCGUGUCUAGUUUCUGUCCGGUGUCAGCAGUUGAGAAAACUUUUCUCAAAAUUAUCUCCUGCAAUCUUCGUGUGUAGUUUCCUCAUUUCCUUGCAUGUGUGAGGAAAUUAUGAAUAAUUAAUUUCUUCUUUAGAUGAAAGAGUUUGUCUGUGAUUGUAAUAUGUAUUUUGAGCUUUAAUUUUGUGAUUUUUUGGUAAUAAAAUUAUUAUGUGUUGUGAAUUACUUUAAAAACUUCAAUGAGAUGUGAUUUGAUUCAUCAGCUAAUUAAACUGAAAUGAUAUGAGAAGCAAAUCAUUUUUCAGAGUAAUUUAAUUAUGUUUUUCCAAAAGAAGAAGAAAUAGUGCAUGAGGUAGCGUUAUUGAAGCUUAACUUUCAACCAAUUUAAUUUUGAAUGAUGGAAUCAUUAAAAAAUAUUAAUAAAAAAAGUUUGCAAAAGCACAAAAAAAUAGCAAAAAAAAAAAAGAAUGAAGAUAAAAUUUGAGAGAAAAAACCUAAGGAGGAUGAAAUUAUAAAAAAAAUAAAAAUGAUUAAAAAAAUAAAUAGCAAUUAAAAGAACGAGGACAAAAUUUGAAAGAUUAAAAAUCAUAAGCAGUGAAAUUGAAAAAUAUUUGUAAUUUGAUAAAUUAUUUAAAAAAUAGUAGAGGGUGAUAUUAAAAAAAAAACUAUAGAGGGCUAACCCAAUAGAAUCAAACCACAAAAAAAAAAAAAAAUAUAAAAUAAGAAAACAUCAGCUUUAAAAAAAGAGAAAAAAAAACCUACAAACUCGAGUAAAUCUUCUAAACUUGGUCUAAUCUCUAAAACUAAAUGAAGAAGAUAAGAUGAGAAGCCCAAGCUCGAUGUUAGGGGGCAUAACGAAUCAUUUUGCAAGUCAAUCCUAAGGUCUAGAAACACAUGGACCAAAAGGAGGUCUGGUAGCAAGCACUAGUGAUCCUUAGUUGUGAAAUCCCUUAAACACUUUUUUAACCUACAAAUAUCAUUUUUCUUCGUAACCAAAAGCCGAAGCUAAAGUUACAUGCCCAAUCAAGCUCUUUCUAAUAAAAGGCAGGCAAUUUGGAUCGGUAAGCAAUGUUUUCCAAUGUGAAAGAAACCGCCUAUUUUUUAUACACAUAAAACAAAUGCUUUGAAGACUACUUCUCUAAAACCAUCAAAUUAAAAGUUGAACCCUACUAACCAACAAAACACGAAACAAAAGGUCACUUCAUUUUUUUUCCCAAAACAACAAAACAAAGAUUUUCAAUAAAUAUGAAAACCUAUCCAUAGGAAUCGCUUGAAUUCUUUUUGGAAUAAGUUUGCUUGAAACUAAUGUCAAAAUGAUUUUUGUGUUUGGAAUGGCUUUGAAAUUCCAGAAAUUUUCCUAUAAAAAUAAUUCAUUAUAAAUAACCAAAUCUUAUUCCGUAUAGCAUUGUCCCUAAAAAAAACUUGAAACUAAACACCUGUGGACAUGAUCAGUUUGAGGGGCAAUCCAAGAAACAUGAUAGGGUUGGCUUCACGAUUCCCUUUCUAAGAAAAUAGAGAAUGUGAAGCAAAACUGAUGAUCUUUGAGAUAAAGGUUUUUAGGCUAAAAGGUAUGUUGAUAUCAUUUGAGAAUUGCCCUUCCUAAAGGUUAAGAUUGUUGCUUCCUAAUUUUUUACUCCAUUUUUGAAGUAUUUCAAGAAAAACAAAAAAUAGCAAAAAAACCUAAAAAAUAUGUUAUUGAUGUCCUUGCGCCACCUACAACGUCUUUUUCUAUGUGUUUAGUUGUUAACGUGCUUUUUAAAUCGACGUUGAUGUCGCUCUUUUUCAAAAAAAUACAAAAUACAAAAAUAAGAAAAAUCAAAAUCUACAAGUGACCAAAUAUGAAAAGAAUGAAGUUGAGGGACCAAUUUGUUUUAAGGAUUGCUUGGUCACCAAGUUUGCUUGGAGACCAAGAAAUUAAAAAUAACAAAUUUUUUUUUUAUCUAAAAGUAAGUGGUGGUUACACACAUAUGGAGGAGGCAAAAAUUAAGGAGAAACUUGAGGGAAACCAAAACAAUUCACACAUACUCUCCCACACCUACACGACACAAAAAACAAACUCUAAACCUAUUAUACCCAGACCAGCCACCAGCCAGACAAGAGGCAAAGAAAAAGUAAAAAACUUGCCAAAGAUGACCAUAGGUCCCCUAUCCAGCCUUGGAUCAUCCACCAUUGUCAAUGACCUUAGCUAGACACAGCAACCACUAAACUAACCACCAUCUUCCCCAGCAACCUGCAUCCAUUCUAGUCGACCAACACCUUUAAGCCACCACACCUUCGGUGGUAACCUACACCCACGGUGGUAACCUACACCGACAACCUUCUAUCCCACCGAGAACAAGAACAACCAUUUGUCCUAAAAUCUCAUAUAACCAGCCACCCUCACUCUAUACCAACAACAGCCAACACAACAUCUCCCAUAACCCACUCUCUCCCAUCGAAUCAACCACCUAUAAACUCACCCAACUAACCCAGCUCCACCAUCAGCCACGACUAGCCUUCCAAUCGACAACCUUAUGUCCCUCUCUCAACCUCAACACCACCAGUGGUGGUGGGUUUCCCCAAGUUAGCCACCAAUCCACCCUCAAACUUCACAAAACAGCUCUGAAGCACCUCUCAUCUCCUAUCUCUAGCCUUAAUCUUUCAAUAUGAAAAACAAUGAAAAUGGACAUAGGAGGGUAGUAGUGGGUUUGUUUGAGGUUGGGGAGGAGGAUUGUCCAAUCUAUUCAGAUCUGUCGAAAGAAAACACAUGUUCAUGAAAAUAGACAUGACGAGAGACUUAAAUGUGUUGGGAUGCAAUGUCAAAACAAUAGUAACCUAGGUGAGAUGAACUAUAACCGAAAAACACACAUUGAGAGGAACAAAAAUCUAAUUUAUGAUUAUGAUAGGGGCACAUAAAUGCAAAGCAGAGACAUCCCAAAGUACACAAAAAAUAAUAAUCCAGAUACCAUUGAAGUAGACAAUCAAAAGGAGAUUUAUUUGUGAGGACAAGAGUAGGCAUGCGAUUGAUAAAAUAAAUAGAAGUUUCAAAAGCUUAAUUCCAAAAUCUUAAUGGUGCUUUACACUGUCCUAGAAGAGUAAGUCUGGUUUCCAUAAUAUGCCUAUGACGACGUUCUAUUGUGCCAUUUUGUUCAUGAGUGUGAGGACAAAUCAGACGGUGAUGAAUACCAAUGGUCUGAAAGAAAAUGGAUAAUUUUUUGUAUUCACCGCCCCAAUCAAUUUGAACAGAUUUAAUUUUUAGCGAAAAUUGAUGCUCAAUGAGAGUAUGAAAUUGAUGAAAAACAAAGUAAACAUCAGACUUGGCAACGAGAGGGUAAUACCAUAUAUAUUUUAUGUAUGCUGAUUAGUACUUAAAAGUGCAUUUUUAUCAAGGUUGUAUAUCAUCAUAUUGCACUUAAAGUAUCAUUAAAUUCCCCAACUUAAGCAUGUUUUAUAAUAACAAGUCUGAUAAUAUAAGAUAUCUUUAAUUUAUGGUAAAUGCUCAUUUCAAAUACAGGCAUGUUUCACAAUUCAAAGGAUUGAUUGAUUUGUUUAACUAUUGGAAUUGAAAAGACAAAGAGAGGGCUAAGCUUAAAGAAGAGAUGCUGGUUCAAUUCAAACUGAAAUACCAUUCGGUUAUUGGAUCAUAACUGGAGCUGUAGAACUUGGAUCUAGGUCUGGUUUAUAUGGAUGGAAAGCUAAGACACAUGCCUAAAACUUUUAUGAAGAGUCCAAGAUUCAAAACGACCGUUUUGAAGUUCAAAUUGUAGCAACAAAAGAGAAGUCGGAAUCUAUCAUGUAGCCUAGACACUGUUUAGUGUUCAGCCCAUAUCUCGAGUUCUAGAAGUCUAAAUGAACUCAUUCUUAUUUUGUUGGAAAGCGGAGACAAAUGCCCAGAACUUUGAUGAAGACUAUCUAUUCAAAUUAUGACGUUAGCAAUGACGUUUUGUUCAGACAAGAAGAUAAUGGUUGUCACCAAGUCAAGAGGUGGCCACCCGCUCAAUAAUUAGUCAUCAAAUCAAUAGUUCCGAAUUUUUGCCUAUAAAAGGAGGCAUUUGCCAUACAUUUAGACAUCUUGGUGUUUAGAUCAAGAUCACUAUCUCUCUUUGUAUUUUGUAAUGUUCAAGUUUUAUUUUAUGUUAUACUAAUCUCUUGUUUAUGCUUUUCAUUUCCUUUACUAUACUUAGUUAACUUAUAUCAUGUUUAUGUUCUUAUAUUGUUUAUUUAUGUUUUUUUUCUUCAUUAUGUUUAGCUAAGUUAAUUUAUCAAGGUGAAAAGGGUACACUAAUGGUGUAAGAAUAAGUAUAAUAUAAACUCAACAUGGACUUUAAUGUCUGAUACUAACAUGUUUUGUAUUUGUUAUCUUACUCAUUCUUAAUACCUUGCUUGUUAAAUGGUUAAUCUAGAUUUGUGUUGUACAACCCUUGGUACAACAAAUACUUGGAACUUUCAUAGCCUACUGUAUGGUAUAACCAACACUUGUGCUAUGAAAGGAACUUGAUUUUUUAUUAACAUAAGUUACACCAUGAAUACCUGAUCACAUUUACAAGUAUUGGCAUUACUUAAAUAAGAUAAUUAAUAAAAUCAUGUUAAUAAUUUAUAAUCCGAUUGGAACCUCCUUUGUGUGUGGUUUCUAGUUGAGUACUAAAAGGAGUUUAUACUAUACUUAUUUGAAAUACCAUUAGUGGAUCCUCUAACCUUGACAAUUGUUUCAUCUUUGAUUAAUAAUCACAUCAAUAUCACAUCUCAAAAGUUCUCUUCAACUCUGUCGUACCCUCCCGAGAGCUCGACGUCGCAGCGACCCAUCCACGUAGCCGUGAUUGAUUUUGGGGUCUUUCUGUUGUGAAAAAGGGAGUCGCCACCUAGUAUUAAGGUCACUAGGAAACCUAACUGGUCUUUCAGAGAUUCUAAGGCAAGGGACUGGUUGCGUAAAGGGAAGGUUUUAGCACCCCUAGUACGCCCCACCUAAAGUAAGCUGCUUGGUGUUUGAUUUGCCUUAUAACUGUCAUGGUGUUGAUGUUCUCUAAUCCCAUCCGUUUCCUAGGAUAAGUCUGCUCUGAUGAACGAAAUCUAGGGUGCUUUAAAAACCUAUUUUUAUCUCAGUGUUUUAUACUCUCACGGCUCGCAAACCGUGGAGUAAAAAAAUUUGAAAUGUCCUCGAUUAUAAUCAAGGCUUCUUUCAAGGAUGUGUGCGGAUUUAUUAUUCCUAGAAAAUUAUUUUGGAUAUUUACCACUCCGGGUUUCUUUAUCCAAAUAUUAACAGUGAAUAAUAACAAAUUAUCCCCAAUAAUAUUUGGGAUAUUCGUCCUUUAAGGAUUUCUUUAUCCAAACAUUAGUGCUGAAUAAUAACAAAUUAUCCCCAAUAAUAUUUUGGAUAUUCGUCCUUUAGGGAUUUCUUUAUCCAAACAUUAGUGGUGAAUAAUAGAUGAAUUCCCCAAAAAUAAGAUUUUUAUAUUUUUUGGAAUAUUGGCCAAUACCCUUUGGAGUUUUACAAACAUGUUGUAAAAUUCAGAAAUGCAAGAAAAAUGAUUUUUGUUGUGUUUAAGAAAUCCAUGCGAAAACACAUUUUCAAAACUUCAAAUAUUUGUUUUUUAUAUAAAAAACGUAAAAACAAUGUUAGGGUGUUUCCUUUAUGCAGAUGCACCCGCCUCUGUUUUCCUUCCUCCUUUGCUUCUGUUUGGUUCUUCUUCUCUUGAUCGCGGGUGUUUCCUUCUGUCAGCUGUUCGCCCUCCUCAAUGUACAACGGUUUCCCUCAAUGGUGGCGCGGCGUGUGGGAGAAAGAUGAUGAGCUGAGGAAGGAGGGUGGUGGCGUGGGGGAAAAUGGUGGGCUGUUGUUGAGAGGGAAAGGCUGUUGGAGGCUUGGGGGUUCUGUGACCAAAAUCUCCAAAACCAGGGAAGCCGCUGGUGGCUGGCUUAGACUUGAAGAUGAAGGGAUGAAAAAGAGAUGGAAAGGCAGAGGGGCUGGUGUGUUCUUUGGUCGGAUGAGGGGAAGAAGGAAAACGAAGGGAAAAAGCUGGACUCGGGGAGAAGGGACUGUUGGUGCUGUGGUCGGGUCUCUCUCCCUGUGUUUUUCCUUCGUCCCCUGUGUCUUUCUCCCUCUCUUUUUUUUCCGUCCCCCCUCCUUCUCUGUUUUUCUUCCCCUUUUAUAGGCAAGGAAAGCCUUGCGGUGAUAAUGGUAUCCGGGACAAGCCAUAAAACAUGCCCCAUAAUUUCAGCAAUUUACUACAAACCAUAUCCCUGUUUUAAUGCUGAAAAUGGCUUUCUUUUAAGGAGACAAUAAAUAGUGCUUGACGCCGUUUCAAAAUUUCAAAAAAUUAAUAUUUUAGUGUUUUGACAAUUUUGUAAUCAAGCCGAAUUGUAAUUGGAUCCCUUGAUUUUAGCGCAUCUUCUGGUUUGGUCCUUGGUUUUGGAUCGUGUCAAAUAAGUCCCUAAUUGGCCAUUAAACUUCAACAUGUAUGCAAUUAAGCCCCCGAUUUAGCCCAAUCAACUCUCAAAAAUCAUAAUUUGUCCCAGAACUUUAAUUUCUUCCAAUUAUAACCUAAUUUGACUUAAAAAUCAAUUUUCUUUACAAUCAAACCCCCUAUAAAUUCAAUUAAACCUUCAAUAAAAUCCAAUUGAGUCCAUAAACAUCCAAUUUUGAACUUUUCUCUUCAAAUUAAAUUUUCUUUUCCAACACGACCCUCAUCAUUCAAGUAUAUACUUAAAAAAAAAUCACUCUUUGUAUUUUGAACCUCCUUAAUCAAUUUUCUGAUCCUUUUCUGAGUGCUCCAAACUCCUUAUUAUUUUUCUAAUUUCUUCCGGCUAUAUAUUUUUAUAUUUUUUCCUUUUAUUUCUAUUUGGGGGGGGGAACCCAAAAAUGGGUUACAAUAGAAGCCCCCUCUUUAUAAUACUUACAGAGCAAUGGUUUUGCGUCGUAAGUUUUAUGAAGAUAAAUAAAACUGAACUUCCAAAACUAAUCUUGUCGAAGCUUGAUCGAUCUGAAACUUUGUCUUUACAGUAAUUUCCCUUCAACCCGAAACAAUGAUCAAAACUUAGUCAUCUUGAGAUCCCAAUCUGGCGAUCCCCUGACCUCUAACUUCGAUUAGAUUAACCUGGCAUUCCACCUGAGAUCCCUUCUGGCGAUCUCUUUUAACUAAAAAUCCAUAUUUGUAUUUUGGCCAACCUGAAAUCCCAUCUGGCGAUUUCCUUUAGUCAAAGCUGAUAUCUGUGUUGCGGUUGGGCUAACCUGAGGUCCCUUCUGGCGACCUCCUUUAACCAGAACCAAAAUCUUGUGUGUGGUUGGGCUAACCUGAGAUCCCAUCUGGCAAUCUCCUUUAACCAAAGUUAAAUUCUGUGUGUGGUUAGGUUAACCUGAGAUCCCAUCUGGCGAUCUCCUUUAACCAGAACCAAUACAAAAAUAUGUGUGUAGUCUUAUUAUGACGGGUGACCUACCCAAAAUGAAAGAUGGUCUCAUUAUGACGGGUGACCUACCCAAGAAGGGAAGAUUGGUCUCAUUCUUAUGGGUGACCUACCAAGGGGAAGAAUGGCCUCAUUAUAAUGGGUGACCUACCCAGGUAAAAAAAAAAAAUGGAGAAUGGUCUCAUUCUAAUGGGUGACCUACCCAGAAAAAAUGGUCUCAUUGUGAUGGGUGACCUACCCAAGCGGAAAAGGGGAAGAGUGGUCUCAUUCUUAUGGGUGACCUACCCAGGGGGAAGAAUGGCCUCAUUAUAAUGGGUGACCUACCCAGGUAAAAAAAAAAAAUAGAGAAUGGUCUCAUUCUAAUGGGUGACCUACCCAGAAAAAAUGGUCUCAUUAUGAUGGGUGACCUACCCGUUUUGAAUUUCAAAAGAAAACAUCUUACCUCGAGGAAAUGAAACAGUGCUGGUUCACAAUUCAUAUUCUUUUCUGUAGCUACGUUGACUUGAGACUCUGUCUCUUAGUGAUUCCCAAAAAACUUGGAACUAUUUUGGCUUUCGUCCCACCUUUCCUGCCAGGUUAGUGUUAUGACAAUAUAGCAUGCAUGUUUUUGUUACCUAUCUUUGGAAACAUAGGUCCCCCUUUCGUUGUAAACUUCUUCGAGCUCUUGUUUCCAUUUGUUUGUCCAACCUUUUCUUUUGAAUCGGAAUAUGCUCCGCACACUAUACUUCAUAUCCUCUUGGUGAAGAGAUCUCUGGUUCCUUAAGGGGCCCUUUCUUGCUCCAUUGAGUAUUGUCCUUUAUUAUUAUUUUAAAAUGAAAACUCAAAAGAUUUGUCUUUGUUCAUGAAAACUGAAACUUUCAAUGUAAUUGGGAAAUCUCAUAAAAGAUGCUUUUAGAAGUUUUUAUGAUAUACCCAUUUGGGCUUUGGUUCACUAUGGACCCCUAUGUGCACUUUGUACAUUUCUUGCCCCCAGUGUGGUGUGCAUAAAUAUGCCAAGUUUAGAUUUGAUUUGGUUCCCUCCAAUUGAUGGAGUCGUUUCCUUAGUCUUGUGUAAGAAAAGAGUUUGUUUAAGUAAAAGAUUUCAAAUGCUAUGAGAUCAUGCUUUUUAUGAAGAAAGGUUUUUUACAGAGAAAAUUCAUGGCCAAACUUUAUUUUAUUGAUUGGGAGAUUACGAAAUACAUCAAGCGUAAUAUUUCCUUACAGAGUCAGAAUUCACUGGCCUAACUAGAUCUUCUCCAUCCAUUCUAGAUAACAGCAAAGCUCCUCCCGAGAAUGCUUUCUUCACCACGUAAGGGCCCUCAUAGUUUGGCGCCCAUUUACUCUGAUCUUCCCCUGGUAAAGGCAAUAUUUUUUUCAGUACAAGAUCUCCUUCGUGGAAUCCUCGAGGUCGAACCUUUUUGUCAUAUGAUUUGGCCAUCCUUCUUUGGUAAAGUUGAUGAUGACAGAUUGCGGCUAUCCUUUUUUCACUUAUCAGAUUCAGCUGUUCAUAUCUAACUUUUGCCCAUUCUACCUCUUCCAGCUCAGAGUUUACCAGUACUCUCAAUGAGGGGAUUUCCACUUCUAAAGGCAUAACCGCCUCCAUUCCAUAUACCAACGUGUACGGGGUGGCUCCUGUUGAGGUUCGGACUGCGGUGCGAUACGCAUGAAGGGCAAAUGGCAACAUCUCAUGCCAAUCCUUAUAGGUGACUACCAUAUUCUGAAUAAUCUUUUUGACAUUCUUGUUAGCAGCUUCUACCGCACCAUUCAUCUUUGGUCUAUACGGCGAGGAGUUGGAAUGCUUGAUUUUCCAUUUAGCGCAAAGUUCUAUUAUCAUCUUGCCAUUGAAAUUCUGGGCAUUAUCAGUUAUAAUCUUUUCUGGUGGACCAUAUCGACAAAUCAAAUCUCUCUCAAUAAAUUUCUUCACUACUUUUUGCGUCACAUGAGCAAAUGACCCGGCUUCUACCCAUUUUGUAAAGUAGUCGAUAGCCACGAGAAUAAACCUAUGACCAUUGCUGGCUUUUGGGUUUACGGGUCCAAUCACAUCAAUUCCCCACAUCGCGAAGGGCCAUGGAGAUGUCAAGUUAAAUAGAGGAGCUAGAGGGGCGUUGAUUUUGUCACUGUAUACUUGGCACUUAUGACAUUUUCGGACAUAGUCGAUGCAAUCCUUUUCUAAUGUCAUCCAGAAGUAACCGACUCUUUGUAUCUUCCUAGCCAUUACGUGUCCAUUAGCAUGGGUUGAGCAAAUCCCUUCAUGGACUUCUCGUAACGCGCUUUGUGCCUCAAAUUCAUCCAAACAUCUCAACAAAGUCCCGUCGGAUGAUUUUUUAUACAAAAUCUCCCCAUCAAGAUAAAAAUCCAUUGCCAACCUCCUCAAUGUCUUCUUGUCGAUUUUGGAUGCCCCCAUGGGAUAUGCCUGGUUUUGGAUGAAAUUCUUGACAUCAUAGUACCAAGGGUUUCCAUCCACUUCUCUUUCGACUGAGCAACAAUGAGCUGGGUUAUUUCUGAUAUUGAUGUGUACUGGUUGUACCUUGUGCCCAAAGUCUAUUCUGGCCAUAGAUGCUAGUGUAGCCAAAGCAUCUGCAAACUGGUUCCCUUCCCUUCCUAGAUGGGUGAACUCUAUUUCCUCAAAUUCUCCAGCCAGUUUAGACAGGUAUUCUUGGUAAGGCCUUAACUUCUCUUCCUUGGUUUGCCAUUCUCCUUUUACUUGGCAAAUGAUCAGCAUUGAGUCUCCAUACACAUCUAUCUUUCUGAUGUUUAGCUCCAAUGCAGCCUCUAAACCGAGAAUGCAAGCUUCAUACUCAGCUGUGUUGUUGGUGCACCUGAACUGUAGCUUAACUGAAACCGAGUACUGCUUCUUAUCUAGAGAGAUUAUCACCGCACCCGCUCCGUUACCACAUACAUUUACAGCACCAUCAAAGUACAUAAUCCACCAAUCUGAUUUCUCUUCCUCGAUUGCAAGCACAUCUUCAUCGGGAAAUUCAAAGUCUAAUGAUUCAUAAUCUUCCAUAGCAUGGUCAACUAGGUGAUCGGUAAUAAUACUUCCUUUUACGGCUUUCCUUGUCAUAUAUACUAUGUCAUACUCAACCAAUAGAACUUGCCAUCUUGCAAUUCGGCUCGAUAAAUAGGGCUUUUCACAAAUGUACCUCAACGGGUCUAAUUUGGAAAUAACCACGUAGUGUGAUACAACAUAUACUGACGUAAUCUCUUNNNNNNNNNNNNNNNNNNNNNNNNNNNNNNNNNNNNNNNNNNNNNNNNNNNNNNNNNNNNNNNNNNNNNNNNNNNNNNNNNNNNNNNNNNNNNNNNNNNNNNNNNNNNNNNNNNNNNNNNNNNNNNNNNNNNNNNNNNNNNNNNNNNNNNNNNNNNNNNNNNNNNNNNNNNNNNNNNNNNNNNNNNNNNNNNNNNNNNNNNNNNNNNNNNNNNNNNNNNNNNNNNNNNNNNNNNNNNNNNNNNNNNNNNNNNNAAAUUCCCGGGUUUUCCGCAGUAAGUAGCAACCCGGUUAGGCACAAGUCAUGGUUAGUUGGGAUAUGAACCGAGCAAUGUAAUUCAACCUUCCUAAGAAACCUCUCACAUCCUUCUCAGUCUUGGGAGGUGGCAUAGAUUGAAUAGCCUUUACUUUGUCGGGAUCCACUUCUAUCCCUUUGUCACUCACCAUAAAUCCCAACAACUUCCCAGAUUUCACCCCGAAUGAACACUUCGCCGGGUUAAGUCUCAACUUAUAUUUCCUUAGUCUUUCAAACAAUUUCUUCAAUAUUUGGACAUGAUUCUCUCCCUCUCUAGAUUUAGCAAUCAUGUCAUCCACGUAUACUUCAAUCUCUUUGUGCAUCAUGUCAUGAAACAAAGUCACCAUAGCCCUUUGAUAGGUGGCCCCAGCAUUCUUUAAACCAAAUGGCAUGACUUUGUAGCAAAAUGUUCCCCAUGGUGUUACAAAGGUUGUCUUCUCUUUAUCCUCUUGCGCCAUUUUUAUUUGAUUGUAGCCCGAAAAUCCAUCCAUAAAGGAAUAUGUGGAGCUGCGUGCUGCAUUAUCAACUAACAUAUCUAUGUGUGGUAGAGGGAAAUUAUCUUUAGGGCUAGCCCGGUUUAAGUCCCUAAAGUCCACACAAACUCUGAUUUUACCUUCCUUUUUGGGUACCACCACUAUGUUUGACACCCAUUGUGGAUACUUGACUACUUCCAAAAAACCAGUGUUCCAUUGUUUUUCAAUUUCUGCUUUUACUUUGAUUAAGACCUCCGGAUGAGUUCUCCUCAACUUCUGUUUAAUCGGUUUGCAUCCUUCCACCAGUGGUAUCCUAUGUACUACGAUAUCCGUAUCCAAACCAGGCAUAUCCUCGUAGGACCAAGCAAAGACAUCUACGUAAUCUCGGAGUAGUGCAAUCAAUUCUUCCUUCUCUUCAGGGGUGAUCAAAGUUCCUAUUUUCAGCUCUCUCUUGAUUUCUUCAUUACCCACAUUUAUGGUUUCAAGUUCCUCUUUAGCGGGCCUCCAAGCCUGUUCAUGUUGUUCUAUUAAUUUUGUGAAUUCCUCUAUGUUUUUCUCCUCCCAUUCCUCAUCUUCUACAGCUACUAUGUAUUCUUUAAAGUUUGGCCAUUCAUUCUCAAUGUAAAGUGCAGGUGUUGUUGUGGAGGAUCCGCUUUCAGGGUUCCUGAAAGCGGGAAGUGAUGUGUAAAUGCACAGUAAGACAUCAAGAUGAAUUUUGAAAAUGCAUGAUCUCAUUAAAAGGAAAAGAUUGGCUCAAAAAUAAAAAUAAAAUCCAAUUGACAUCUUGAGCUUCGAUUGUCAAUGAUAAGAAACAAAAUAGAAAAGGGCAAACAACAUAGAUAAAAUUAUAAUCCAAUAAAAUCAUUGUUGAUUACAUUUUGAAAACCAAUGGAGCUUCUUGGGUCUCCCAAUUCUGGAACGUUUCUCUUUCGGCCAGCUUUCGAACGAAAGUCCUGACGGUGACUUCUUCCAAAGUGUGGAUGGUUAAUUGUGGCAGCUCUUCAUCCUUUCUUCCAGAUUCAAUUUUCUCCACAAUGUUCUUGACUUGGUCUUCCUCCAGAGUGUUUAUGUUCAUUGAAAAAAACUUCUGAAAGAGGUUUCCGUGUCCCUUAUCAGGUUGCAUCACGUAUGCGGCCUUUGGAAAAGAAAUCCUGAUUGGAGGGAUGACUAGGCUUUCUUCUUCAGGCUUCCUUCCUUCAAUCCUAGCCAUUCUUUUCUCCCUUCUUGCAUCAGUAGCUCGCUUGUAAUCCUCUUUCUUGGGCUUAUAUCCAAGCCCAAACCUCUGUUCUGCAGCUUUCAGCUUGAUUAUAUCAAUCCAUUCAAGUUUUCCUUUCUCGAUGUCAUAUGGGCAAGGAAUCUUGUGCUUCAAAAAGCUUUUAGCGGCCAUUUUCGUGGCCUCCGAGAGUUCUGGUUUCCUCACCACAGUGUUCUCGGGUACCCACUCGGUAUUCACAACUUCAAAUGCAUGAAGGUUUCCAUCCUUACAAUCUUCGGCUUCAAUGAAUGGAAUCGCCACAUUUCUUACCAUUGAUAUAGUCUCCUCAGCCUUAACAGUAACCAGAACACCAUUGGCAAUGUACUUCAAACAUUGAUGCAGCGAGGAGGUGACAGCUCCCGCAGAAUGUAUCCAUGGCCUUCCUAACAACAUACUAUAGGAAGGGUGGAUAUCCAUCACUUGAAGGGUUACUAGAAAGACUUGUGGACCCACAGCUAGUUCGACCUCAAUUGUCCCUAUCACUUGCCUGGGCGAGCCAUCGUACGCUCUAGCCGUCAUCACACUGGGUUGCAUAUGUGAGUGAUCUACUAGCAUUUCAUCCAGCAUGUGCCUUGGUAACACAUUAAGGGCUGAGCCGUUAUCGAUGAGAACUUUACUAAUGAGACAAUCUUUGCAUCGAACCGUGACAUAUAAGGGCUUGUUAUGUCCCGUUCCUUUAGCGUCAAGUUCAUCUUCCGUGAAAUAUAAGUAAUUGGCAGCAUGGAUCCUCCCUAUUAGAUGCUCCAUAGUUUUUUGUUCAAUAUCUUGGGGUACGUAGGCCUCAUUCAGUACUUUUUGCAAAGCAUUACGAUGCGGCUCGAAGCUAAGUAUUAAUGACAUGAUGGAGAUCUUGGCAGGGGUCUUCUUCAAUUGAUCCACUAUACAAUACUCACUAUGCUUCAUCAAUUUCAGGAACUCAUUUGUUUCUUCCUCAGUCACAGGUUUAUUUACCUCAAGCUCUCUAUCGAGGUCCCAUACCUCCUUGUCUUUAGCCUUUCUUUGCUUCUCUAGUUCUUCAGGUGUGAAACAACGACCACUCCGAGUUAGCCCACUUAUCUCAUUUUGAAAUAAUGACAAAGGAGUUUCGAUAUUCGAGGUAUAACCAUAAUCUCCAGGCAUCGCUCCAUAGUCUACUUUGUUUGCCAUCGGGGGCUUAGUUAAUACCAAUUUCGAGAGCCCAUUAGUUGUUGAUUGGAUUCUACAUUUCUCUCGAUUCUCUAUCAUCUCUAUCUCUUUAUUGUCGUUUACGGCCUCAAUCCUUAGCUCUCCUAGAGUUAGCAUUCUUGCAACCUUUUGAUGAAAUUUAAUGCAUUCGUCAAUGUGAUGCCCUUUCUUUAUAUGGAAGGGGCAAAAGUUACUUUCCCAUAUGCAGCAUUCAGUUGAUUUUUCCAAAUGUCCAGACUGCACCAACAUAAAGUAUAGUUUUGUCAUGGUCACUUUUAACACCCUCUCUUUGCUACCAAUCUCCAUGGUAUUCACUCCACCACUACUAGCGAUAUGUUUGGGUAAAGGGUUUGAAUUCACAUUAGGUGAAUCCUCGAAAGUGACCCAUCCAACUUUGAUCAGCUGCAACACCUUCCUUUUAAAAGCAAAGCAAGCCUCAAUGUUAUGACCUGCGUGACUAACAUGGUAUUCACAAGUCACCUUGGGGUUGUACCAGGUAGGGAAAGGUGGUUGCAUAGGUGGUAUGGGUAGGGGAGCUAUCCGCCCAAUACUCAACAGCGUGGCAUACAACUCUUUUAAGGUUAUUGGUAAAGGUGGUAAUUGUUCUUCCGAUGGUCGGUUGUAAUUGCUUUGGUUAUUUGCUGGGAAUUUUGUUUGAUUGGGUUGGUUUGGGAUGGAGGGUUUGGCAAAAUUGAUACUGGUGACUUGGGUGGUAGGUGUUUGGUAGUUUUUGCUUCUCCCUUUGUAUCCGCCUUCUAGGUUAUUCACCUCAUUUUCUUUCUUUUUCCCAAUGAAACCUCUCUUCUCUAUAGGUUCUGCAAUUCUCCCACUUCGGAUUCCUUGUUCAAUCCUCUCAGCAAUCCGCACAACAUCAUAGAAAUGUUGUGCUGAACUACCCAGAAGGUGUUCAUAGUAUGGAGCCCUAAAAGUAUUAGCAAACAGUGUCACCAUCUCCGUCUCUAUUAGUGGAGGUUGUACAUUGAUAGCUUGGUCACGCCACCUUUGAGCAUAAACCCUUACGGACUCUUGAUUUCCUUUCUCCAUGGUAAUCAGACUGGUCCUAUCAGGAGCAAUCUCAAGAUUAAACUUGUAUUGCUUUAAGAAAGCAUCUGCCAAGUCUGUCCACUUCUUGAUCCUAAUAUUGUCCAGCCUCAUAUACCAACUGAGGGCCGAUCCUGUCAGGCUAUCCUGGAAGAAGUAAAUUAACAUUUUAUCAUCGUGGAUAACUUCUGCCAUUUUGUUAUAGUAGGAACGGAGAUGGGUCUUUGGGCAUUCCAUCCCGGUAUACUUAACAAACUCUGGCACUCUAAACUUCUUUGGAAUAACAAUGUUAGGCACUAAACAUACUUCAGCAGCCCUAACUGGGUCAAAUAAAUCAUUUCCUUCAACUGCCCUUAGCCUCUCUUCUAGUACAGUCCACUUAUCAUACCCUUCAUGAUUAGAGAGUUUGACGUCAUGUGGGUCCUCAUUUGUUAAAUCCAUUGUAAUAGGGAUUUGGAUGGGCCGAGUGGGAUUAGGAUGCUGCUUAUGUGGUGUAUUUGCCCCCACGUUUAUAGGUGCGACAGGGAUUUGAGCUGCUGGUGGUGCUUCAUCAAGUUGAGUAGACGUUCCCUCUCCAUCUUUGGCUCUCAAUAUUUGUUCUAGCAUACUGGUCAGGUGCGCCACAUCCUUCCGAACUCCUUCAAGCUCUCUUUGGUAUUGAGCUUCUGGUUGUGACCUUUCUUCGUUUUCCAUCCUUUUUCUUUGUCGAGUGUUGUGGAUUCUGGGAGGGGGACCUAUGUUUCUUAAUCUGGAAAUGCGUGCAUAGAUGUAUGAGAAAAUGCAUGAUUGAGAAAUGCUUGUAUAUUGGGUAUGGAUGCACCCUUCUUGUGAACGAAUAAUAGCCACCACCUUAUAAACAUAGGUUCUUUUGUCACAUUGCUAGGAGUACUGCCUUUCAAGUCGUUUGCUUGAAUCAUAUUCACCAAGAGACAGAUUUUGCAUAAGAAGAUGGGUCAACGCCCUUUUCAUUAAUGCUUGAUAAGUUUAUUACAUUUAUAAAUGAAAAAGGAAAUACAACAUAUUAAUCCCUUUCCUCCAUAAACUCUCUAGCCAAAGGUAGGAAGGCAAAACCACGAUUCUCAAUCUUCCCUAGAAAGGCAUCGGUUUCAGCUAGGCUUCGGCGAUAGCGAAUGAUGUCCCCUCCCACUUUUCACGCAUUGAUUCUAAUAAUCCGAGCAUGUGCAGCAGCUUCGUCUAUUUGCUCAUCUGUUUUGGUCAUCUUUUCUAUGAGCAACAUAUGGGUUCUGUUCAAAGCAACAUUGUUAGCGUUGAUUUGAUCCUUGUAUUUUUCCAUUACUGCUAGCUUAUUGUCCAAAUACUUUUUAUCCUUUUCGCGCUUCUUGUCAAGUUUUUAUCCUCACAACUUUUUAUCUCAUUCUUCUUAACCGCUAACUCUGCUUUAAUAGCCUUAAAACCUUUCCUUUUACUCUCUUCCUUUACAAUCUCCAUCAAACGGUUUUCCAACUCUAUAUAUUUCUUGUUCAAUCCUCAUACUUCCCAAUCCUAUCCAUCAGUUCGAAUUGAACUUGUGCAAAUUUUUCUUGGGUAUAUUUUGUGCUUCCUUGGCAAUCUUUAAAGUCAACCUCUAUUGCUUCAAGUUCAAAGCAACUUUGCAUCCAAUCCAAACUCAUCCCUUCUAGCUCCUUCUCACUUUUGUCCUAGCAAUCUUCUCUUCACUUAGCUUUAACUCAAGCUUUGUUAUUCUCGCGUCUCUAGAUUGUGUUUGUUCAUCUAGAAAUGCUCUUCUUUUAUCUUCUUCCAGCAAUCAUUUCUUCCAACAUUGCCUUGUCUUCUCAACUCCUCUUCAUUAUUGUCCCUUUUUCUCUUGAUAGGCUCUUCUAUAAUUUGGGGAGAUUUGACUCCUACACAAGGCAUGGCUGAAGCAGCUAAGUCUCUCCAUCUUGCAUAUCCUUCACUUGCACUUGGAUCCUUCAAUCCUUCUAUCUCAACCAAAACCAGAUGCUUCCAAUCUUGUUUGAUGAUCUCCAAAGCUUCUUGUGCAAUGGGAUCUUUGAACAAACCAAAGAAUUGAGCAAUUCCCAUAGUCCUUGGAACAAAUUGCAUGACCCCAAGUUGCCUUACGACCAGGGCAGGAGUAUAACUCACAUAGCCUGUAAUCCCCACCAAUGGCACCCAACGUCUCUGUCCACAACUCAUUAGGACUUUCACUGUCGUUACCCAUGGGGAUCUCCACUUGAAAUCACUAUUAGGCAAACCUUCUAAUUUGUCAACCCAACCUUGGUUGUCUAGAUCUCCCCAUUCUUCUUCUUCUACCAACUUCAGGGGUUUUUGGGUGAACCACAAAAAAUUAUUGAAGACAGGUUUUUUUGUUUCGAUAUGGCUAACCAUCCAGAAAUACAACAACUGCGUGCAACAUCUCAUUGCUCCCUUUCCGGUCCUCCUACAAUGAUUAAGCGUCAAGAUGGUUUCAGCUAAAAUAGCAGCCACUGGAUUGAUUUGUGUAUUCUCAUACUCUACAUAAGCAGCAGCGGCCUCCAAACUCACUAAACCCGUCUGACUUGGGAACAACACAAGACCAAAUAUGCCCAAGGCAAUUAAUCUUUCUUUUUCUAAUCCUGACUUCUUUUCCAGUUCAAUUUCUAGCAUCCUCCAUUUCAGACCGGUAGCAUUCUUUUCCAAAAAAACUUUUCCAAGUUGGAAAAUCUGAGCAGUUUUGACAGUUCGGGGAUGAUCUUGUCAGAUCUCUAAGGCGAAUAAAUCCGAUACAGAUUGUUUGGAAACUCAGUCAAAAUCCCAUAUUCCUCCAUAGUGGGACAUAGGUCUAUGCUUCCAAAAGAAAAACACCGGAGUCUGGAUCCCAAAAAUGAACUAAAGCUCGCACAACUGGGUUUAAAACCUCUACCCUUGCAAUUUCCAUCAAACGUCCGUAUUUAUUAAAAAAUGCAUCCUUAUCCACAUUCUGAAAGUGAGUCGUUAACUUGUUCACCUCAUUCAUAAUGCAAUUCAGGUUCUUGAUUGGUGAUAGUUUCUUAGCAUCGCUUCUAAGGCAGUCUCCUUCAGUCAAUUGUAACAGUUCAGAAUUUUUCCCAUAUUCUAUGAUGGAAAAUUUAGCAAUGGUGGCCAUUUCAUUCACAAGUUCUGCAAUUCAAAAUGCCGGGGGGUUAGACUUGUUUUGAUGCAAAAGAUAUUAUGGAUCAUACACCCUAAGGAUAGGUUCUAGUUCCUUUACAUGAGACAUAGGGUAGGUUUACUACUUGGUCUCUAAAAAGGGGUCUCUUGCUGUCCCAAUGAUCGCCCUCGUAAAGGCAAUAUGAGGGUUCAGCAGAUAGUGGGAUGGCACAUGUACCAAUCACUAUCAGUCUAAACACUCAGCAAAGAGUUGGGGUUUACACAAACUUAAACCUUGACUCAAGUCAUAAGGCAAGCUGCUAGUCCCCCACCUAACUUAAAGUUUAAUGUGUGUGCUCUCAACAAGAUCGUAAUAAUAAUAAAGUGAUGCAUGACUAUAUCAUGUAUGACAGAAUGUAAAGAUGCAUGCUAAAUGUAUGACAGAAUGUAAAGAUGCAUGCUAAAGCUUUUUAAACAAAGUAUCAUUCGUAUAAGAAAACAAAGUAUCACAGCAUAAACAAACCAAUUAUCAAGCCUAGUCCUAAGUCCCCAGUGGAGUCGCCAUCCUGUCGUACCCUCCUGAGAGCUCGACGUCGCAGCGACCCAUCCACGUAGCCGUGAUUGAUUUUGGGGUCUUUCUGUUGUGAAAAAGGGAGUCGCCACCUAGUAUUAAGGUCACUAGGAAACCUAACUGGUCUUUCAGAGAUUCUAAGGCAAGGGACUGGUUGCGUAAAGGGAAGGUUUUAGCACCCCUAGUACGCCCUACCUAAAGUAAGCUGCUUGGUGUUUGAUUUGCCUUAUAACUGUCAUGGUGUUGAUGUUCUCUAAUCCCAUCCGUUUCCUAGGAUAAGUCUGCUCUGAUGAACGAAAUCUAGGGUGCUUUAAAAACCUAUUUUUGUCUUAGUGUUUUAUACUCUCACGGCUCGCAAACCGUGGAGUAAAAAAAUUUGAAAUGUCCUCGAUUAUAAUCAAGGCUUCUUUCAAGGAUGUGUGCGGAUUUAUUAUUCCUAUAAAAUUAUUUUGGAUAUUUACCACUCCGGGUUUCUUUAUCCAAAUAUUAACAGUGAAUAAUAACAAAUUAUCCCCAAUAAUAUUUUGGAUAUUCGUCCUUUAAGGAUUUCUUUAUCCAAACAUUAGUGGUGAAUAAUAACAAAUUAUCCCCAAUAAUAUUUUGGAUAUUCGUCCUUUAAGGAUUUCUUUAUCCAAACAUUAGUGGUGAAUAAUAGAUGAAUUCCCCAAUAAUAUUUUGGAUAUUCGUCCUUUAGGGAUUUCUUUAUCCAAACAUUAGUGGUGAAUAAUAGAUGAAUUCCCCAAAAAUAAGAUUUUUAUAUUUUUUGGAAUAUUGGCCAAUACCCUUUGGAGUUUUACAAACAUGUUGUAAAAUCCAGAAAUGCAAGAAAAAUGAUUUUUGUUGUGUUUAAGAAAUCCAUGCGAAAACACAUUUUUGAAACUUCAAAUAUUUGUUUUUUUGAUGUCUUGACGAAAACAACGUUAGGGUAUGGCCGUANNNNNNNNNNNNNNNNNNNNNNNNNNNNNNNNNNNNNNNNNNNNNNNNNNNNNNNNNNNNNNNNNNNNNNNNNNNNNNNNNNNNNNNNNNNNNNNNNNNNNNNNNNNNNNNNNNNNNNNNNNNNNNNNNNNNNNNNNNNNNNNNNNNNNNNNNNNNNNNNNNNNNNNNNNNNNNNNNNNNNNNNNNNNNNNNNNNNNNNNNNNNNNNNNNNNNNNNNNNNNNNNNNNNNNNNNNNNNNNNNNNNNNNNNNNNNNNNNNNNNNNNNNNNNNNNNNNNNNNNNNNNNNNNNNNNNNNNNNNNNNNNNNNNNNNNNNNNNNNNNNNNNNNNNNNNNNNNNNNNNNNNNNNNNNNNNNNNNNNNNNNNNNNNNNNNNNNNNNNNNNNNNNNNNNNNNNNNNNNNNNNNNNNNNNNNNNNNNNNNNNNNNNNNNNNNNNNNNNNNNNNNNNNNNNNNNNNNNNNNNNNNNNNNNNNNNNNNNNNNNNNNNNNNNNNNNNNNNNNNNNNNNNNNNNNNNNNNNNNNNNNNNNNNNNNNNNNNNNNNNNNNNNNNNNNNNNNNNNNNNNNNNNNNNNNNNNNNNNNNNNNNNNNNNNNNNNNNNNNNNNNNNNNNNNNNNNNNNNNNNNNNNNNNNNNNNNNNNNNNNNNNNNNNNNNNNNNNNNNNNNNNNNNNNNNNNNNNNNNNNNNNNNNNNNNNNNNNNNNNNNNNNNNNNNNNNNNNNNNNNNNNNNNNNNNNNNNNNNNNNNNNNNNNNNNNNNNNNNNNNNNNNNNNNNNNNNNNNNNNNNNNNNNNNNNNNNNNNNNNNNNNNNNNNNNNNNNNNCCCUUCUCUGUUUUUCUCCCCUUUUAUAGGCAAGGAAAGCCUGCGGGUGAUAAUGGUAUCCGGGACAAGCCAUAAAACAUGCCCCAUAAUUUCAGCAAUUUACUGCAAACCAUAUCCCUGUUUUAAUGCUGAAAAUGGCUUUCUUUUAAGGAGACAAUAAAUAGUGCUUGACGCCGUUUCAAAAUUUCAAAAAAUUAAUAUUUUAGUGUUUUGACAAGUUUGUAAUCAAGCCGAAUUGUAAUUGGAUCCCUUGAUUUUAGCGCAUCUUCUAGUUUGGUCCUUGGUUUUGGAUCGUGUCAAAUAAGUCCCUAAUUGGCCAUUAAACUUCAACAUGUAUGCAAUUAAGCCCCCGAUUUAGCCCAAUCAACUCUGAAAAAUCAUAAUUUGUCCCAGAACUUUAAUUUCUUCCAAUUAAAACCUAAUUUGACUUAAAAAUCAAUUUUCUUUGCAAUCAAACCCCCUAUAAAUUCAAUUAAACCUUCAAUAAAAUCCAAUUGAGUCCAUAAACAUCCAAUUUUGAACUUUUCUCUUCAAAUUAAAUUUUCUUUUCCAACACGACCCUCAUCAUUCAAGUAUAUACUGAAAAAAAAUCACUCUUUGUAUUUUGAACCUCCUUAAUUAAUUUUCUGAUCCUUUUCUGAGUGCUCCAAACUCCUUAUUAUUUUUCUAAUUUCUUCCGGCUAUAUAUUUUUAUAUUUUUUCCUUUUAUUUCUAUUUGGGGGGGGGGAACCCAAAAAUGGGUUACAACAAACUCCUUUUCAUUUGUUGUUUAUAAUUUUAUAUAGUUCACCUCCCUAUGGUUCAACCCCGGUCUUGUCGAGUUAUUUAUUACUUCGACACUCCUGCACUUGGGAUAAAACAUCAAUCUUUUGAUCGUGUCAUAUGCAUCAACAGAGAUAACACAAUAACAAAAACCAUCAGAUGAAAAAAAGGGAGUAAGACCCCAAACAUCACGUAGGUUCUAAAGACAAACGCGACGACUUUCCUAAUGGACAAUUUGACUUUGAAAAUUAAGACGUUUGUUAUUACAAGUAAUCUUAUUUUGUGAAACUAGAAAUUUGAAAAUACAAGAAGUAGGAUGACCUAAUCGACGAUGUCAUAGAUCAGCAAAAGCAUACAUGCAAAGAGAUCAAUAAGCUUGAGGAACUGACAUGACCAAAGACCUGGUCAAAGCAUAGAGACCAUCUCUACUCUGACCGGAAAGGAGUACUACCUUAGUGUUUAGAUCCUUGACAUAAAAAAAUAGGUGAAAUUCAAAAUAAACAUUGUUAUCAAGAUAAAAUUUCUGAACAAAAAGCAGAGGUUUCGUAAUAUGUGGAACAUGAACAUUAGACAAAGUGAAAGUACGAUAUGGUGUAUGUAUUUUAUUAUAACCAAUAAUAAAUAUGGGAAGUCACUUACCAUUACCGAGUUAUGGUUCGGACCCUGUCAGAUUUGCAAGAUCAGGUGUGACGUGUUGAUUAGCACUAGUGUCCGGAAGCCAAUCGGUAGUACCUGCUGAGGAAGAAUUACUCAAACCUAGAAUCGGACUAGGUUGUUGUCCAUAUCCAAGGUUCUGAAGCUGAGGACAGUGAGGGGUGGUAUGAUUGAAAGCUUGGCAUAAUUGGCAACGUGUAUUAGCCCAUUGUGAGGGCGCAGGAUGCCCUCUAUUUCACUGCCAAUUGUCCUACCUCCCGUCAUUGCUAGAAGGUCCAUUGAAGCUGUAAAAAUAAGACCUGGAAGUAGCAGACUUGUUCCCUCUGUUGUUGCCAUUGUUGGGACGCCACCCUUCAUGAAAUUUGCCCAUAUUUCGGUGUCAAUUUCCAGAAGGCUAACGUUCAGCAACAAGAGCUGAAGGUGGUGUGGGCAAUAGAUGGGCAUUGAUGGCAACAAAUCCUAUAGAUUGAAGGGAGAUCUUGUGAAGAAAUUCACGCGUGAGAAGGUGACUAUGAAGAUUGGCAUACGAGAGAGGUUUUGCCUUGGUCACAAGGCUUGUUACUAAGUCCUUAAACUCACUACCAGAAAUUCGCUAAAUAGCAACGGAUUUACCGACGGAAUAUGUCUGUCGGUAAUUUGAGGUCGAAAUUACCGACGAACACUUUUCCGUCCGUACUUCAGUCGGUAACUACCGACGGAAAGUUUCCGACUGAAUUAUGGACGGAAAAGUUUCCGAAUUAAAAAAAAAGGCGGGUCGCUGACGUGGAGGUUUUGGGGGGUUAUUUUUUCCGACGGAAUCACCGACGGAUUCAAAACGACAUCUUGUACAGUGACGUGACCAGUUUGCCGUUUAAAUUGCCGACGGAAUCACCGAGGGAUUUGAAAUGGCAGAUCCGUAAGGUGACGUGUCAAUUUUUCCGUCAGAAUCACCAACGGCAUCACCGACGGAAAAUCCGUCGGUGAAAGUUAAUAUAUGUCAACUCUGCCGACCCUCUCCUCCCCUAUUUCUCCUUCUUCUUCCUAAUCCCAACUCUCCCCAUCUGCAAACAACCAGCCCCCCUCCCCCCAAACAAAAAUCUCCCUCAUAUCAGCACAACAAGUUAUAUUUCUUGAAGUUUUGUGGUCACAACAUCCGUGUUCUGAUUUACCGACGGAUUUUAUCAAUUUUUGUAAGUAAUUCUAUCUUUUAAAAUUUUAACAUUUAAUUAAAUGUCGAUUUUAUUGUUUUUUUAGUAUAUGUAUUUUGUUAGUAGAUGUACAUGUUUUAUUGUUAUUUCUCAAACAAACUUGUAGUACCUGUUAUGGUUUGUUUUAGAUUUUGUAAGAUUGUAUUUGUUUGUAAAUUGUUAAAACUUUAUGGAACUACCGAAGUACAUGUGUUGUUUUGAAAUAAUUAAUAGCUUGCUUAAUGGGUCCGUUUAAAGUUUUAUCAAUGGUAUUGCGGAGUGGUAAUUUUCAUAAAUUUAUAUAUUUUAAUUUGUAUGGACGUUGAUAAAUGAUAAUGAAUAUUUAAUAUUUAUGAGAAGUUGUGUUUGGUUUGUUGGAUAAUCUCGAGGUAAAGUAAUAUUUUUGCAAGUUUAUUUACCUAACUUAGUUAAUUAAUAUAUGAUGUCAUCAUAAUUUUAUAGAGGUUCGAUAUAAGUCAUGGAUGAUCGUUCAUGGAUGUAUCGAGAUUCAACCCAAGGAUUGCGGAGGAUGGAUUAUUGUAACGGGGUUCAGGGUUUUAUUAAUUUCACAAGAUCUAUUCCCAAAAAUUUUACUGGAGGCGGUAUUAGGUGUCCAUGCAGGAAGUGUCAGAAUUAAAGGUAUCUGCAUCAAGAUGUUGUAAUGAUGCAUCUUCUACACAAAGGGUUUAUGGAGAAUUACCAGUGUUGGUAUGCACAUGGAGAAGUAUUUGUUAGUAAGAGGAGAAUGGAAGAAACGGUGGUUGGGUCUACUUCUAGUGCUAGCAACGUGCAUGAAGCGGCAAAUGACAACACUAAUCCUUACAGAAAUAUGGUUAUGGAUGCAAUGAGAAUGAAUCAAGGUAAUGUCAGUCAAUGUCCAAUCGUAGAAGAAGAACCUAAUGCAAAUGCAGCUAGGUUUUUUGAUUUGUUGAAAGAUUCUGACGAACCAUUAUGGGAUGGCUGCACGAAUCACAGUAAAUUAUCGGCCGUAUCACAAGUGUUCACCAUCAAGUCAGAUCACGGGUUGAGUGAGGCCGGGUAUGACAAGAUUAUUGAAUGGGCAAGAAGCAUUUUACCUGAAGGGAACAGGCUGAAAGAGAACUUCUAUGCUGCGAAGUCCAUGAUGAAACCCUUCGGUUUAGGAUACCAGAAAAUUGACAUGUGCCCUAACUUCUGCAUGUUAUACUACCUUGAAAAUGUUGAGAUGACCGAGUGCAUGACAUGCGGGCAUUCCCGUUACAAACCUAGAACUGGCAGGGGAAAGACUCUAGUGGCAUAUAAAAAACUUAGAUACUUCCCGAUCACACCUAGACUGCAGAGGUUAUUCAUGUCACCAAGGACUGCUGAGAACAUGACAUGGCACCAAGCACAUGAUGCGGUUGAUGGAGUGAUGGUGCAUCCUUCUGAUGGCGAAGCGUGGAAACUCUUUAACAGUGUGCAUCCUCACUUUUCAACUGAAUCAAGGAAUGUGCGUCUUGGGUUGUGUACAGACGGAUUCAACCCAUUGGGGUCAUUUGCUGCUCCUUAUUCUUGUUAGCCUGUCAUACUCACAGUUUAUAACUUGCCACCGGGAAUGUGUAUGAGGCCGGAGUUCAUGUUUUUAUCUACUAUCAUACCCAGUCCAAGCAGCCCGGGGCGGAAUAUAGAUGUUUGUCUUCAACCGUUGAUUGAUGACUUGGCGCAGUUGUGGUCUUCCGGAGCUCUGACUUAUGAUAUAUCGAGGAAACAAAAUUUCUUUAUGAGGGCGGCUUUGAUAUGGACUAUCAAUGAUUUUCCAGCUUAUGGAAUGCUUUCUGGUUGGAGCACGCAUGGGAAACUCGCAUGUUCAUACUGCAUGGAAAACAACAAGGCAUUCACGCUAGCAAACGAAGGUCAAGCUUCUUUUUUUUACUGUCACCGUUGCUUCUUGCCACUUAAUCACAGGUACAGAAAGAACAGAAAAGAUUUCUUUGUUGGCAGAGUUGAAAAAGAUGUUGCAUCCCCGCGUCUUUCUGGUGAAGAAUUGCAUGAUGUUGUCUCAGAGUACGGUGACAUUGUGUUUGGUCUUCAAUCAGGUAAGCAAAAGUUUCCUGGUUUUGGUUUGACCCAUAAUUGGGUAAAGCGAAGUAUCUUUUGGGAGCUUCCUUAUUGGAAGACCAAUCUGCUCCGCCAUAACCUUGACGUCAUGCACAUCGAAAAGAACAUGUUUGAGAACAUUUUCAACACCGUCAUGGAUGUGAAGGGGAAGACAAAGGACAACAUCAAGGCUAGAUUGGAUAUAGCUUUAUACUGUAACCGUAAAAAUAUGGAGUUGGUUUAUGAUGAGUCACGGGUCGCAAAACCAAGAGCAAGCUUCGUGUUAGAGAAAAACGCACAACUGCUAGUCUACAAAUGACUUAAGAGUCUGCGUUUUCCGGAUGGACAUGCAUCGAACAUAUCAAGGCUGGUUAAUAUAGAGGACUGCAGAUUGUAUGGAAUAAAGAGUCAUGACUGCCACGUGUUUAUGCAAACACUCAUCCCAUUAGCUUUUCGUGAUUUGUUGCCAAAGGGAAUAUGGGAUGCACUCACGGAGAUCAGUCAUUUCUUUAGAGAUAUAUGCUCCAGCAAGUUGAAUGUUGAUCACAUUGAGAGGCUUCAAACGAAUAUCGUCGAGACACUAUGCAAACUUGAGAUGAUAUUCCCUCCAUCAUUUUUUGACUCAAUGGAGCAUCUCCCUAUACAUCUACCGUUCGAGGCAAAAGCUGGAGGACCGGUCCAAUAUAGAUGGAUGUACCCAUUCGAACGGUUAGAUAUUACAGUUGCAAUGUAAUUCAUAUAUAAAAGUAUUUUAUAUGUUUUUCUUGAUUGAAAAUACUUGAUUAAUAUUUCAAUGCAGGUACUUGUUUAAUCUCAAGAAAAAGGUUAAGAACAAGGCGCAUGUUGAGGCUUCGAUAUGUGAGGCCUAUAUUGUUGAGGAGAUCUCAACAUUUAUCUCGUACUAUUUCGAACCUCAUCUGAGAACGAGAAUCAAUCGCGUUCCACGGCAUGAUGAUGGCGGUGAAGUGCCUUCCAGUGGGAACUUGUCAAUAUUCUCCAAUACUGGACGACCCACACCUUAAAAUGCCGUAAGAGGAAGAUAUUUGUCGGAAAUAGAGUUCAAACAAGCACACAACUAUGUUCUAUUUAGCUGUGAUGAGCUGAGACCUUUUAUUCAGUAAGUUUAUACUAAUUAAACUUUGUUAGUAAUAUACUGUUAAUUAUAUAUUGUAAUAUCAUACACUCAUUAUCACUUGUAGGCAACAUUGACAAUAUUUGCUCUCCAAUAACUCACAGCUGACCGAAUCCCAGAUCUUUCAAUUACAAGAUGAACAGUUUGCCACGUGGUUCAGAACACAUGUAAGCAUUAUCACAAACUCAUUCUAACUUGCAAAAUUAUUGUACGUAUGCAUGUCAUUACGAGAUUCUCGUUCAUUUACUGUUUAUUGAUGUACAUUACAUACAAGGUUUAUCAAAUGGGAAGGAGUGCACCUAAGUCAUUGUCUUCACUAAGUCUGGGCCUGAAAGAAAAUGUAAGUGCUACAACGGGUAUUUUGUCAAUGGAUAUGUUUUCCAUACUGAAGAAUACGGGCAAGGAAGAAAGACAUACAACAACGGUGUUUGUGUUAAGGGAUCCACUAGUAGUGAGUUAGAAGUUGACUACUAUGGUAGAUUAGAAGAGGUCGUCGAACUGCAAUAUCAUAACGAGCAGAAUAAAGUGUUUUUAUUCAAAUGCUAUUGGUAUGACACGACUGACAGAGGAAUCAGAGUUGAUCCGCACUAUGGUCUGGUCGAAAUCAACUCAAAAGCUAGACUCCGCAACGUAAAUGAUAUCUUUGUUUUCGCAAAGCAAUUUCAACAAGUUUAUUACACAUACACCCCUUCAUGUAGAAAGGAUCGAUCAAGAGUGGAUUGGUUGUCCGUUUUAAAAACAAAACCCCGGGGUCGUGUCGAGGUUGUUCAGGAUGAGAACGAAGACACAAGUGUGCGAGAUGAAGUCUUUUAAGUUAGUGAGUUGGUUGAACCAUAUCGAGUUGCUCCUUCGAUUGAAUUGGAAGAAAAUUCAAAUUUUCAUGUUUUCGAUGAUAGUCUUGUUGAUGUUGACGCAGAGGAGUUGAAUUUUGUUUUGAGCUCUAGCGGACAAGCAAAUGUCGAUGAAGAAGAUGAUAUCCAUAUAGAAGAUUGCGAUGAAGGUGAUGACAAUUCAAUUGAUGACGAAGAAGAAGAAAAUUCUGACUAACUACCAAAAUAAUGCCCUGUGUAAAACCCUUUUUUCAUGUAAUUUAGAUUAUGAAUGAUAUAUUUUGUAACACGAAAUAUUUAUUACUUGAAAUAAUUACUUGAAAUGCCACAAUCACGAAAUAAUUACUUGAAAUAAUUAUAGAUCAUGGAUGAUAUAUUUUGUAACACGAAAUAAUUACUUGAAAUGCCACAAUCACCGACGUCCAUACCGACGGAAUAAGUCCGUCGGCAUUUCACAGAGAGUUUGAAAAUAAUUACUUGAAAUGCCACAAUCACCGAUGUCUAUACCGACAGAUAUAAGUCCGUCAGCAUUUCACAGAGAGUUUGAAAAUAAUUACUUGAAAUGCCACAAUCACCUACCCUAAUACCGACGGAUAUAAAUCUGUCGGCAUUUCAUAGAGACUUCGAAAAUAAUUACUUGAAAUGCCAUAGUCACUGACGUUAAUACCGACGGAUAUAAGUCCAUCGGUAAGUUGUCGGUGGGUCAAGUUUACCGACAAAAUUACCGACGGACCGCGCGAAUUCCAAAGGGUUGUGCAUUAAAUGCAUCUCUGACCGCGUCAUCUUGCCGACGAAAUUACCGACGGAACACGAAAAAUAUGGAGGGUCAUUAAAAUUUUUGGUGCGAAAUUCAAAAUUUACCGACGGAUUUUUGACACUUCACCGACGGAAUAAAUUAAAAUAAUAAUUAAUUUUAUAGCCGACGGUGAAUCCGUCGGUAAAACUGCCAUAUAAGUUCCCCCGACCGCCGCUUCAGCUCAUUUUUUCUUCUCCUCAGUUUUUCACCGAUUCUUUUCCUCUCCAUUCUUCAAAGGUUUCACCAGCAAUCUCUAGCAACUUUUCUCAUGAAUCUCCAUCAGUUUAAAAGGUAUGUGUUUCUUCUAUUUCAUUUUACUUUAAGGGUUUUUUUUUGCUAUUUUUUUUUGCUAUGUUUUUUGUUUUGGUGUAUUUUUUAUAAUGUAGAUAAAGUCUAUAGUUUUUUUUAAUUUAUUGAAUAUUUUUUAUUGUUGUAUUGGCAUAAUUAUUAUUAGUUAAUUUGUUGAAUAUUUAUUGUUAAUGUUGAAUUUACCAUAGAAUUAGUAAUUGAAUAUGUUGGAAUAAUUAUUAAUUUUACUCUAUUAUUGCAUGAUUUGUGUUUAAUUUUUUCCAUUUAUUUUGAUUGUUAUUCUAGAUUUUUUUUUUAAUUUAUUGUUUUGUUUUAUUGGCAUAAUUAUUGAAUAAUGUUUUGAAUUGUAAUUGUUAAUGUUGAAUUUACCUUAGUAUUAGUAAUUGAAUAUUUUGGAAUAAUUGUUAAUUUUACUUUAUUAUUGCAUGAUUUAUGUUUAAUGUUUUCCAUUAAUUUUAAUUGUUAGUCUAUAGUUUGUUUUUUUAUUUAUUGAAUAUAUUUUAUUGUUGUAUUGGCAUAAUUAUUGAAUAAUUUGUUGAAUUGUAAUUCUUAAUGUUGAAUUUACCUUAGGAUUAGUAAUUGAAUAUGUUGGAAUAAUUAGUAUAGAUUGGGUCAAUUGGUUGUGGCUUUUGUUAAUAUGUGCAGGUUUGUGGAUUUGGGUAGUAUCUGGUAUAGGAGAGGUGCUGUCGAAUUUUUUUUUAACAUUUGAAUUUAAUUAUAUAAUUAUUUGUAUAAAAUUGUGAAGAUGCGCAGAAUGAAAACCAGAGCUGGUCGCUCACGUACGGUCGCAGCUAGUUCGUCUAGCAGCGAUGAUGAUAUUUCCUUAGGUGCCUCUCAAGAAGAGGCACCUACACCACCUGCGCCGUCAACCGAUGUUGUCUCUUCCAGCGCUACUUCACAGCGCAAAGGCAGGGUGCCUUCGCAGCGGAAUCAAUUUACCCGCAAGUACGAGGCACAGUGGAAGGACGACCUUUCAAUGUAAGUUUGUUAAGGUUUUAUUUUUUAAAAAACAAAUUACAACAUAAUUUAUGAAGUAAUCACUAUUUAAUUUAUUUCAUUUAUUUUCAGGUUCACAAACAUUGAGGCCGCCCGAGUAAUAUCAUCGGUGUUUAAAUCGUCGAUGGAGAUUCCAUUGUUUCAAUGGAGUCAGAUAUCCAAGCAUCCUGAAUGGAUGCCUCAAAUCAAUGCAUGGUUUGAUAGAUUUCAGGUUGGUGUUAAUUUAUAAUUUUCAGCUUAUUUCUAAUAAAUUAUAAAUAUAAUUGUAAAUAAAUUAUUAUUUUUAUUUAAACUUGUUUAUUUAUACACAACACAAAUUCUGUUGGGACAGUGAGCAUAUCACUAUUGUGAGGAGGGUGUGGGAAAAUCACGCGGCAACUAGGUAAGAUCGAAAACAGUACAAGAUUUUUUUUAGACAAAAAUUUAUGUUUCGAAAUGUAAUUUUUGGUUGUGUGAAGUAAGUUACAUGAUUUUUGGUACGAAGCACAAAAAAGGGCAAAAAAAACUGCGAGGGAUAGGGGUUUCCAAGGCUGGAACGAUGUUGCGGUUUGGAGGGAUUUCAAACCGAUAUACAUCCCGGAAGAUAUAUGGCCGCACUAUCUUGAGCACGUGACGUCUGAGCGGUUCACACGAAGCUCACAGUCCGGUGCUGGCAACCGGAAUCGGCCAAUUCAUGGCUCGGUGACAACGCACACUGGCGGCUCUGUUCCGUUUGCUGCACAUGCGAAACGGAUGGUAAGAUUAAUUUAAAUGAAAUAUAUCAUUAAAUUAAGUUGUUGUUAAUAUAUCUUUUUUCAUUAUAGGCUGCGUCUCUUGGACGUGAGCCGAGCCCGAUGGAGCUGUUUGUGGAGACGCACGUGUGGAGUCAAGACCGCCAAAAGGGGGCGCAAUAGUUUGUUGAUAAUCGUGCUCAACAUUUCGUGGUAUGUUUGUUCAACCAUUUUAUUUUGUAAGUUAUUAUGUUUAUUGAAUUGAAUAUGAUGAUUACUUUUUUUAUUUUCAGGAGACCUAUAAUAACCGGUUGAGGGAGAGAUACGGGGAUGAUAUUUUGACCCAUCCGGAAUUUGAUCCGGAUUUGUGGAUGGAGGUUGGAUCAUCAGGUGGACCCGAUAAAAAUCGGGUUUACGGGCUCUCCAACACUACGGCCGACAACUUGCGGUCGACCCGUAGUGUUUCAACCGUUGGGAGCUCCCAAUCAAUAUCAAGCUCCCAAUCUAAGGAGUUCGUGGCCUUGCAGCAACACACGGCUCAGCUCACCGACAAAUACGACCACCUAUCAGCGGAGUACGCACAACUCAAAGCGUCUCAUGCACAACAAAGAGCGGAGUCUGAGCAAAUCAAAGCGUCUCAAGCACAACAAAAAACAGCUUAUGAACAACAAAAAGCGGCUUAUGAACAGCUUCGCGAAAUGGUCAUGAACAUGGCAACACAUGGUGGAACAUGUGCGCCUAAUCCUUUUUUGCCGUAUAACCACCAGCCUCCUCCUCCAGGAUCUCCUCCUCCUCCUCCAGCUCCACCUUUAUAUUAAUUUGUAAUAAACAUUAUUUACCUUUAAAACUUCAUUUAAUAUUUUUUUUGAAACAUAUUCAGUUUGUAAUGAAUAUUAUUUAACUUUGAUUUUUUUUGUUUUAUGUCUAAUAUAAAUUUUAUUUGCAUAAUUGGUUUUUAUUACCAUUAAUUUAUAUAGUUUUAUAUUAUAUAUUCUAAAUAAUUUUUUAAAAACAAAUUUAGAAAAAACUAUUACCAAGGGUUUUACCGACGGAAUUAAUCCGUCGGCAUCUGACAGUAGCAUUCACCGACGCAUUUACAGACAGAUAUAUUCGGUCGGUAUUUUAAACACUCACCGACAGCCUUACCGACGGACUUAAUCCGUCGGCAUUUGACAGUAGCUGCCACACUUAUCGACGAAUUUACAGACGAAUAUAUUCGGUCGGUAUUUCAUACACUCACCGAUAGAUUUACCAAUGGUAAGUAGUCGUCGGUAAAUCACGAUAUCACCGACGAAAUAAAAAUCCGUCGGUAUAUUUCAAGCGGGAAUCAAUUUUUUUUAGCGCGCAAAUUCCGUUUGUAAAACCAUCGGCAAAUGAUUUUUUUGUUUUUCCGACCGAUAUAGCGACGGAAUGGGGAAUCACCGACGAAAGGAAAGCCGACGGACGUAAUCCGUCGGUGAUGACGUCUGUAAAUAAAUCACCGAUGAACUGCUAAUCACACACCGACAGAAUAUGUUCGUCGGUAAAACUGUGAAAUCUUGUAGUGACUCUCCCCGAAGACCACGAAACACAUACAAAUUAAAAUCUUCCCGCGAAAUAGGUUGGCCAGCAGCGCCCAACUCAUCAAAUGAUGCCUUAGAUUUUUGCAUAAACUGAGUUACCGACUCAUCACCUUGUCGAAGAUCUUGAAAGGAGGCAUGAAGUUGCAUAAUACGAGAAUUGGACGAGGAAGCUAUAACUUGCUCAAGUGUGCGCCAAAUAGAGCUCGAAGUUUGGCAGUCAACAACAAGAUGGAGAACAUCCAUGGAUAGCGAAGAUAGCAAGGCACUUAGAAUGAGUUGGUCCUACUGUUUCCAACGAAGAAAAGAAUGUUUUACCUGAAGAGAAUUACCAUCAGCAACAAAUACAUGUGGAGGAGGACAAGAAUUUGAGCCAUCCACAAACCCAAAAACUCCUUAGCUUAUUAGAUAUGGCUUCAUCUGCAUUUGCCAAUAAACGUAAUUGGUGUUUAUUAAUUUGAGAGAGAUGACUUGGUAAGUGUGGGAAAGGAAAACAAUGGUAGGGGCAACAACAGAGGAAGGCUGCAACAGAGGAGUGUUGUUCGGGUUGACAAGAGCUUGGCCAGCAUCUAUUGGCAGUGGUCACAGCAAGACAGAAGCAGAGGAAGACACUGGUGAUGCGGUAGAGGAGGAAACCAACAUCGGCGGUGCUGCAGAGGGGGAGGCAACAGUCGGCUAAGAGGAAGAGUCCAUUGGAGAGGGAGAGAAAGUGUUUUAAGUUAUUUAGAGCUUUGAUACCAAGUUGAGAAUAAUAGAAUGGCUUGAUUUAUCUCUUAGCCAACCUUUCCUAUUUAUAUGCCAUAACUAUAGGAACUAUAACAUUGGAAUAAUCCUAUAAUAAUUCCUAUUUAUAUAUGUACAUUCUAUAAUAAGCAUUGAUACACCUCCAACUCAAUAUCUCACUUCAAGCUUUCUUGCAUGAACUUUUAUAUUCAAGCUUUCUAGCAUGAACUUUUAUAUUCUAGUUGUUGAAAGUAGGCAAUGGAAGUGCUCAUGGAUAAGAAAUUUAGCCAAACUGAUAUUUAUUCUUAAAGUAGUUCUAUGAUAAAAUAUAUUGUAUCAUAGUUUUAAUAAUUAAAUGGACAUGAUAUUAAAUCUUUCUAUUCAUAUUCUUUCUAUUAGGAAAUUAUAUAAAUCAUAUUUUAGAGCGUUUUGACAUAGUUGAGAAUAACAGAAUGACUUGGGUUUGCCUUAGCCAACCUUUCCUAUUUAUAUAUGUAGGGCAGAACACGGCAGUAACCGUCGGGAUUACAACAUUGGAAUAAUUCUACAUUAAUUUCCUAUUCAGAGAUAUACAUGUUAUACAUUCUAUAAUAUUCCCCCUCAAGCUGAGGGUGGAGGAUCGACUCGAAGCUUAAACCUGAAAGCAGUAAAGGAUGCAGCGGAAAGUGGUUUGGUGAAGACAUCAGCAAGUUGAUCCCGAGAAGGGAUAAAGCGAAUAUGAAUUUCCUUCUUCGCAACCCGGUCGCGGACAAAAUGAUAAUCUACCUCAACAUGCUUAGUACGAGCAUGAAAGAUAGGAUUCGCUGAGAGAUAGGUUGCACCAAGAUUACCACACUAAAUGGUAGGAGCAGAGACAGAGGGAACCUGUAGAUCUGUUAACAAAUAUUGAAGCCAGAUGACCUCAGCAGUACCAUCUGCUAAGGCUUUAUACUCAGCCUCAGUGGAGGAGCGGGCAACUGUACGUUGCUUGCCGGAUUUCCAUGAAAUCGGUGUCUGACCAAAGAAAACAAGAUAGCCACCCGUAGACUUGUGUUCAUCAAUACUACCAGCCCAAUCUGCAUCUGUAAAACCAUGAAGAGCAAAAGAGGUACCUCGAGUGAUAUGAAAACCAUAGGAUGUCGUUCCUUUAAGGUAGCAGAGGAUGCGUUUAACAGCAGCCUAAUGGGAAUCUGUAGGAGCAUGCAUGAACUGACAAACUCUGUUAACAGGAAAGCAGAUAUCUGGGUGAGUGAAUGUAAGAUACUGAAGAGCAACCAUGAUUUGACGAAAUCUUGUGGGAUCAGAGAAUGGAUGAUCCGGCUGUAUAACAAGUUUGGAAAGAGAGACUGGAGUAUUAACGGGUUUGCAAAAUGUCAUACCAGCCCGAGUGAGGAUGUCAAGAAUAUAUUUGUGUUGGCGCAACAUCAGACCCAUACCUAUAGACUGAACUUCAAUACCCAGAAAGUAGUGAACAUCACCUAAGUCACGAAGCUUGAAUUCUGAGCUUAGUAAUAGGAUUAGUCGAUGAAGCAUGGCAGAGUUGCUGCCCAUAAGCAGAAUAUCAUCAACAUAGACCAGGAGAUAAAAGAUAUUAGUACCAUCAGAUAAGAUAAACAAGGAGGUGUCAACCUUGGAGGCAAGGAAACCAAUGGAGAGUAAAAAAUCACUCAGAUGGGUGUACCAUGCCCGUGAUGCCUGUUUUAAACCAUAUAAUGACUUGUGCAAUCUGCACACAUGAGAUGGAAGAGUAGGGUCAACAAAACCUAGAUGUUGUUUCAUGUAGACAUCUUCAAUAAGAACACCAUUGAGAAAGGCAAUAUGAAUAUCAAGCUGAUGAAUCUUCCAAUUACGUGAAACCGCAAUGAAAAAGACUAAUCUGACGGUGGCUGCUUAAUAACUGGGCUGAAAGUUUCAGAAUAAUCAAUGCCUUCCUGUUGAGUAAAGCCUCUAGCAACUAGACGGGCUUUAUAACGUUAAAUGCUGCCAUCAAUAUGACGUUUGAUCCGAUAUAUCCAUCGGCUGCCAACAACAUUCAUCGAAGGAUGAAAGGGCACUAGGGACCAAGUGUGAUUGGAAUGCAAAGCCUUGAUCUCAUCACACAUAGCAUCAUGCCAAGCAACAUAUUUAUCUGCAUCAGAGAAGGCAAUAGGUUGAGAGGAAGGAGAGAGCAAUACCCGGGUGGCAGCUGUAUCAGCUGCAGCAGAGGCCACCAUAUUUGCGGUUUGGGGCUGCCGCGGUCUAAGGACCAUAGGGUGGCGGCUAAGCAACGGUGGCGACGCAGAAGAGGUAGGUGUCACGAAGGUGUCGUGCUGCAGUGGAUAAGCGGAGAGAUCAACCACUAGAUUCAAACCAGGUGAAGAAGCCGGGGAAGAAGCUGCCGCAAGCAGAGGGCUGGCAACAGAGAUAGAGUCUGUAAAAGUCGGGUGACUGGCAAAAUAAGGGGAAGCAGAGGAGGAACCAGAGGGUGUCCCAGUACUAGCAGAGACAUUGUGCUGGAGUGCAGGGAAAACUGAUCUACAACCUGUACCUGCAACAAAAUGGUGAGAUAAAGAUGCAUGUGGUGAUUGGCAAGGGAAAGGUGGAGGCUGUGGUGUUUUGGUAGGAGGUGAAUGCAGGGCAGAGGCAAAGGCGAGAUGGGGUGUGUUAUGAUCGGUGAACAAUGGGGAGUGGGUCAGAUUUGGGAGGAUGGUAGCAAGGGAUGGUGUGUGGUUUUGAGCCGAGACCUGUGUAAUAUGUUCAGAAUUAUCAAACGGAAAAACAUGUUCAUGAAAACGAACAUGACGGGAGAUAUACAUGCGAUGAGAUUCAAUGUCAAAACAUCGAUAACCAAGAUGAGAGGAACUGUAGCCAAAAUACACACAUGGAGAAGACCGAAAAUCCAAUUUAUGAUUAUUAUAGGGACGCAAAAAAGGAAAACAGAGACAUCCAAAAGUACGCAAAAAAUGAUAAGCAGGAGGCCGUUGAAACAAACAAUCAAAUGGAGAUUGAUUUGCAAGAACAAGAGUAGGCAUGCGAUUGAUGAGAUAAACCGAAGUGUUAAAAGCAUAAUUCCAAAAGCGGAAUGGAGCUUUACAUUGUCCUAGAAGAGUAAGGCCGGUUUCCACAAUAUGCCUAUGAUGUCUUUCUACGGUUCCAUUUUGUUCGUGAGUGUGAGGACAUAUCAGACGGUGAUGAAUACCAAUGGUCUGAAAGAAAGUGGAGAGUUUGCGAUAUUCACCGCCCCAAUCAGUUUGAACAGAUUUUAUUUUUAAUGAAAAUUGAUGUUCGACAACAGUUUGAAAUUGAUGAAAAACAGAAUAAACAUCAAAUUUUGCAACAAGUGACUUCCACAAAUAGUGCCUUCUCUUUUGCUGGAAUUUGGAAAGGUAUUGUCCCUCCUAAGGUAGAGAUCUUUUGCUGGAUGGCUAUCAUUAACAGAAUCAACACCCGGUGUAUGUUGGUUCGAAGAGGUAUUUUGGGUAGCUCAUAGUCUAAUUGCCCUAUAUGCCUAGUGGAGGAAGAGUCGGUGGACCAUAUCCUGCUGCACUGCCAUAAGCUUUGGCUCAUUUGGUCCAAAAUCAUUAAGUGGUGGGGUUUAGUUUGGUGCUGCCCAAAGAGCUUCUCAGAUUUGUGGUCUCAGUGGACUUCCCUGGUACAUGGUCACUUUCAGAGGAGAGCAUGGAUGAUGUUGUUCUUCUCAGUGGCAUGGUCUCUUUGGCUUCUUUGAAAUGAUCUGAUUUUCCAACAGAAGACACCUGACUAUGAUUCAAUAUUCUUUCUUAUUAUCACCCGUCUAUGCCUACGGCUAAAAGCUAUCCAUUCUGAGUUCCCAUACUCCCCUACAGAUCUGAUCAGAUCGGCAGAUGGCCUGCUUCGGUGGUCCAAUGCUCACUCUUUUAUAAUUAAUAAUAUGUGGUCUCCUCCUAUGAUUAAUAGCCUCAAAUGGAACGUAGAUGGCUCUUUUCUUGGUAAGCCAGGCCCCUCUGGAAUAGGUGGUGUGCUGCAAAAUCACCAUGGCCAUCUUCUUGGUAUGUUCUCUGUUCCAGUUGGGAUUUUAGACUCUAAUAUUGCUGAGUUAAGGGAUAUUGUCAAAGCCAUUGAACUAUCAGCAUCUAAUUGUCUCCUCCACCAUCAACAUCUCAUCAUAGAAUCUGACUCUGCCAAUGUUAUUAACUGGAUGCAUAAGCCUCACAUCCGUCCCUAGAAGCAUCACAAUGUUUUCUCCUCUGUCAAUAGACUGGAUGCAUUUUGUGGCUCAAUCACCUUCUCCCAUAUCUUUCGUGAAAGUAAUUGCAUGGCUAAACAAGGAGUGCGGAGAUCAAGUGAAUUUGUUGCCUGGUUUUGACUCCACCAUUAAUAUUGUGGCCUUGCUUAUGUGUCUUCUGCUGUUAUGCUGUUGAGUUUAUUUUUGUUCUGUUUUGUAGGGGACUGCUUAGCUAUGAGUUCAUUCGGAUGGAUAUUCUCUGGUUUUCUUUGCUUUUACUUAUCUUAGACUGUGUUUUAUCUUCUUUAUGGUCUUUUGUCAUAGUAAGAUAUUGUGCAGCUUCUAUACUAAUCUCGCCAGACUUUGGCGUUUAAAUGAUAUAAGUAUCUUUCAAAAAAAAACAAGAAAAGCAAGUGAUAUUUGAUCAAAUUUCUCUCUUUGUUGUGCACGAUGCAUUAGGAAAAAGAAAAAAAAAUGGCAUCUUUAUAUAACCCCAUUAAUAAGUUAAUAGAUUAUUAUCAUAUAAAUCAAAUUUAAAACUUAAUUUUUUGAUGAUUAAUUAAUAUGAUAUUAGAGUAUUUUUAACUAGAAUGUACCAUCAAAUAAAUUUAUGCCCUUAUAAACAACGUGAAAAGAUUUAAUUUGAGCGGUAGCUAGCGCGCUACAUAGUAUAAUACAUCGCUGUCAUAGCAUGCAGAAAAGAGCUAGCAUAUAUAAAAAUAGUUUAAUUUAAAAUUCAUAUCAUUUUUAUCCAAACAAAGUGUUGAUAAACCAAUCAAUAGUUGAAUUGCUGACUGACAGUUGACCAUUUCACAAUUUAUGUCUAAAUGGUCGGUGAAUAUAUAGCUGGAAGCAAAUGACUGAUUCAAAACACUUAUCAUCUACCUUUGGUGCAUAAAUUGUUCUAACCUCACUCUAUCUUAAUUACAUGUCUUUUAUCGAUCUAUUAAACGUCAACACAAACGAUGAACGUCCAAUAAUAUUUAUUUAUUAUAUAUAAAAAAGAAUGUUAGAAUGUGAUGGAUUGAAGAUAUAUGUCGAGGGAGAAAAUAGUGCGUAUCCGUGCAUGCACUUAAAUUGCCGUAAGAACAUACCCUUUCGUAGGGCACGAAAUUGGAGUAGUAAUUAAUGAAUGCUCCAUCCCUCACUGAAAAGGGCCAAAUCUUGGAGAUGGUCACUACCAUCUCUAUCAGAAAAACGUGAGACAAUUGCUGAUAAGAGUUUGCUUUCGAAAGUCAUUAGUUGCUGAUAAUAUCUUGCUUGUUCAAACUAUAGAGAUUUUUCUUACUGAAAGUAUUGACCAACAAAAACAUUGGAAUUCAGAGAAUUAAAUUGUUUCUAGAACAAUUAUGUGAUAAAAAAAGAGUGAAACAAGACAAAUAUUAAUUAAUAGGAUAAUUAAAUACCAUGUUGCCACUUAGUAGAGCCAUGUUUUUGAAAUAAUAACCUAUCAAUUCUUUUAGUUAAUUAAAUCCAGUUAAUCUAAUAGAUUAAUUUAUAAAUUGAUUCACCUGAUGAGUGAGUUAUGAUUUUACAUAUAAAUAUUAAAAAAAUAAUUCCAUUUUAACUUUUAAUAAGAAAAAAAUCAUGAUUUAAAAUAAAAUUAUUUAAAAUUAUCUCCACAAGGACAGCCAAAAGUAGCCUAAUUAAAUAGAAAGGGGAUCCCUGUCAUGGCGGUGGUUCCUUUUAUCACAGCAGACGGGGCCCUUUUACCCUUUUGUCGGGUCUUCCAAGAUUGAUUGCUGCUGGGGAUUAUUUAAUCCAUCUCUCGUAUCCAAGUCUCAAUCUAGUAAGGAUGUUUUCGGAUGAUUUGACAGUAACGCUUGCACCUGUGAGCAACAAUAAGGGACAAUUUCCCUCGCGCAGGCCCCACAAUUAUACGGAGCUGGUGAAGCCUAUCAGAAUUCUCACGCAGGUAAGAACAUGGACCGGCCAAUAUGAACAAAUAUAUAGUCGUCCAUUUGGGUACGGUUUCCGAGAUUCCAUCAGAUCUGAUGCCAUCUGGUCACACAACCAUUUAAAUGACUGGAUUUACAGAUCAGAGUUCAUCUCUCUCUUUCUUCUCUAUCUUCACCGGAAAAACAUUCUCCGUCCAAGCAAGAUAGCCUCCUACCACGUUGCUUACAUCUUUGAAACCCUGCCCAAUUCAACAACAAUUCAGUUUUCUCACCCUUUCAACCUCUCUCACUCUUCAAUCCUUUGAAAAAGCAUCUAACCCCUUUAUUAACUUUUAUAAAUCAUGAGUUCAUUAUAACUUGGAUGGAUACUUGUAAAUCCCCAAUAGCAUAUUGGAAAAGUGAUAUAUGCCGCCACACAGCCAAAUCCUUUCUGCAGGUAAAUUAUACUUUUCAUCUAGAUAGGCAUUCAUUAUAAUAAAAUUAUUUUGAAAUAUUUUUUUAUUUUUUUAUUUAAACACGUUACCCAUUAUAAUAAAAUUAUUUUGAAAAACAAUCCUAACAUUUUUUACUUGGACAUGUCACCUAUCAUAAUAAAAUUAUUUUGAAAAAAUUCUUGGUAUUUUCCCCUUGGACAGAUCGUCCAUCACAAUAAAAACAUUUCAAAAAUUCAUUGUAUUUUUUAUCUGGGCAGAUCACUCAUUAUAAUGAGAUCAUUUUAAAAAUCUUUGUUUUUUUUACUUAAACAAGUCACCUAUUACAAUGAGAUCACUUUGAAAAAUCUUGAUAUUUUUCCACCUGGGAAGGUCCCUUAUAUUCAGACCAUUUUAAAAAAUCUUUGCAUUUGAUCAAGUCACCAAUUACAAUGACACCGCUUUAAAUUUGUUUUGCAUUUUUCACAUAGGCACACCUAUUAUAGUAAUAUCACUUUGAAAUCCUUUGUAUUUUUCACCUGGACAAGUCGCUCAUUACAAUAAGACCACUCAAAAAAUCUAUUUUUAUUUUUCCACCUGGAUAGAUCACUCAUUACAAAGAGAUAACAUUUGAAAAAAAAACCUUUGUAUUUUUCAUCUGGGUACGUCACCUAUGACAACAACUAUUCCAAAAUCUUUGAAUUCUACAAAUAAGCAGGUUGCCUGGUACAACCAUACCACUUCAAAAAAUCUUUUACAAAGAUCAUCUUUUUCUUUACAAUUCAUAUCCCUUUUUCAUCUUGUGCGUUUUUGAACCCUCACUUCAAACAUUUUUAGAAAGGUUGACCAUAUCUUGAUCUAGUAAAUCCGUUAUCUCUCAUUCCUUUGUCUUUUUUACAAAGCUCACCAUCUCAAUUCUCUUACGAGACUUUUUUGUCGCAAGCAAUGUAAAGAAGGGGAAACUAUCAUAACUCGUUUCUGGGUUAUUUCAAAUGUAAAAAAGGGGAAACAUUUUUACCCAUAUCUUGAUCAUAUCUAUCAUAAAGAAGGGGAAACAUUUUUAGAAAGGUUGACCAUAUCUUGAUCUAGUAAAUCCAUAUCUUUUUUCUUUCCAAAAUAAAAAUAAAUAAUAAUAGUAAAAAGACUAAUAUUUUGACAGAAAGCAAUCUGAGAGGAUUUCAAAUGUAAAAAAAAUCAAGCUGCAAUUUUGGAUGAAAUCGAGAUCCUAAUUGCACUCUAUUUUACCCAAAAUUGGAGAGACAAUGCACAUUCAAGGUCAAGUUACAUGAUUACUUGACAAAUAUGAAUAAAAAUUAAGCCUAAGAACAUAAUUAGAUUUUUAAUAGGCCAAUUUGAUUUAAUCAUGGGCCAAAUUAAAGUUUAAUUAUGUUUAAGAAUUAAUUUGGAUCCAAUUGAAGGAUUUAAUUAGGUGCAAUGACUUAAUUAUACUUUCAAUAGGUCAAGUUAAUUUUAUUAAGGGCUUAAUUGAUGAAACAUUAAGUUUGGGAGCCCAAUUUGAGCUUAAUUGAGAAGAUUGGAAUUUUAGAAGAUCAAAAUUAAUUUGUACAAAGUUAAUUGGUUCAAAUUAGGGGUAAAAUUACAAGAAAAUCAAAGUUUUUAAGUCACUUAAGGGCUAAAUUGAAGAAAUUCAUAGUCAUAGACCAUUUUGCAAAAGGCAUCAAACUAUGAGGACUCAAUUAUCAAGGGGAGAAAUCAGAAGCCAAAGUUGAGAAAAAACCAUUUUUCUGCCUAGUUUUUCUUUCCCCACUCUUCGCCACCACUUUGGCCACUUCCUUUGUCGUGCUUUAGCUGCCACCAGCCACGCUUCGGUCUUCCUUACAACACUAGGAACGACUCCAACAAUAAUUUGCCUCUAGCCAAGCAAAGUUGUGCCACCUCCUCCUUUUUUUUUCCCUUCCUUAUUAGGGUUGCUGGGCGGGCCAAUAACCAUGCGGGCUUGGGUUGGACCCAACCUAGAUGACUAGGCCAAGUCUAGCCCACCCUAAAAAAACAAGAAGAGAAGAAUAAGGUUUUAUUGGGCUGUAACUCGGAAUUGAGCUCCUUAUCAGGUUCUUCCUCUAAUUCCUCUCAUAGAAGUAAUCUAUGUGUUGAUCUGUCGAAAUUCCAGCUUCAGUAGAUACCGGCCAGUGUUGAUAACAACUCCUCCUAGCCGGCCCGCCUUCAUCCUAUGGUGUUUCGACCACGUCCACCAAAGGAUGCUAACUUCAGUGUUGCAACUUCCUCACGGGUUGCAACAUUACCUCAACAGGAGCCGUUGUCUUUUAAGGAUGCCAACAGGUAUUUGGUUUGGCAUAAUGUCACGCAGGAGGAAAUCCGGGCACUUCACUCUAAUCAUACUUAGUCAUUGGUGCCAUCUCAUCCGUCUAUGAAUGUGAUUGGUAGUAGGUGAGUUUACAAAAUUAAACGCCACGCCGAUGGUUGGAUUGACUAAUAUAAGGCACGGCUGGUUGCCCGCGGCUUCUCUCAACAAUAGGGGAUUGAUUAUUUGGAGACGUUUAGCCCGGUGGUUAAGCCUACAACGAUACGUCUUGUGCUCACUAUUGUUGUCUCGUAUGGUUGGAAUAUUCACCAAUUGGAUGUUCAUAAUGCUUUCUUGAAUGGCAUUCUUCAAGAGGAGGUAUACAUGGCACAACAAUCGGGGUUUGCUGAUUCUGCUUUGUCAUCUCAUGUGUGUCGUCUUCAUAAAUCUUUGUAUGGCUUGAAACAAGCACCUCGAGCUUGGUACAACAGGUUGAGCGAGUUCCUCCUUUCCAUUGGAUUUCAGGCAUCCAAGGUUGACACUUCUCUGUUUAUUCUCUCUCUUAAUGGUGCCAUGAUUUAUCUGCUUGUGUAUGCGGAUAAUAUUUUACUGACCAGGAGUAACUCAGCCUUGCUUCAUAGAUUGAUUACUUUACUGCAAACAUAAUUUAAGCUUCGGGAUUUGGGUUCUGUUCAUUUCUUCUUGGGCAUUGAAAUUAAACCUACAGCUAUGGGUAUCUUGUUAAGUCAACACAAGUAUGCACUCAAUAUUAUCCAAUGAGCAGGUAUGGCUUCCUGCAAACUGGUUGAUACUCCUCUGUCUACCUCCUCUAAACUAGAAAUUGUGCCUGGUACUCUUCACUCUGAUCCGACAUGGCAUCGACAGAUUGUUGGAGCACUGCAAUAUCUUACAUUUACUCGACCUGAUAUUUGCUAUGCAGUCAACAAAGUAUGUUAAUUUAUGCAUGCCCGUACUGAUGAUCAUUGGACUGCUGUUAAACGUAUCCUACGUUACCUGCAGGCUACAACAACCUAUGGUCUGCACAUUACUCGAGAGUCUCUUUUGACUCUUCAUGGUUUCACAAAUGCUGAUUGGGCAGGUAGUAUUGACGAUCAAAAAUCAACAGGUGGUUAUCUUGUAUACCUUGGUUCUACACCUAUCUCAUGGAAAUCCGGGAAACAACGCACUGUUGCUAGAUCUUCUACAGAAUCAGAAUACAAAGCCUUGGCUAAUGGUACUGCUGAAAUUUUAUGGAUUUGUUCUUUAUUGGUAGAACUUCGGAUUUCCACGUCGUCCAUGACUACGUUAUGGUAUGAUAACUUAGAGGCCACUUUCUUAUCUGCCAUCCGAUAUUCCACGCUCGUACUAAACAUGUUGAAGUUAAUUAUCAUUUUGUCCGUGAUCGUGUUGCUAAGAGAGAAAUUCAAGUACGAUUCAUCUCUUCAAAGGAUCAACUUGCGGAUGUUCUUACCAAGCCUCUCCCUCCAGUUUCAUUUACUUAUUUUAGAUCCAAGUUUCGGGUAGAAUCUCCACCGUCAACUUGACGGGGUGUAUUAAGGAAAGAGUCCACAUAUAUGUAAAUACAUUAUAUAUAGGGAUAGUUAUCAUGUGUAGUAUAUUCCACCAUUGUAUUGUAUACAACCCUAAAUGUAUAAAUACAAAGGGAUGGUUGGUUUAUCAAUCAUUCAUCACAAUUAUACAAAAGACUAUCUCUCUAAUCUUAACUGUCAUGUUUUUAAUAACUAUAACACUGCUUAAUAAAUCAUUAGUAUUUCAUUAAAAAAAAGUGGCUAUUAAAUGGUUCAGUACGUGGACCGGCACACAAAUGAACUCUUGAAAUUAUAAAGUUCGAAUGCUACUACCACACUUGUUUAAAACAAAAACAGACUCUAUAAAUCAACGAUCUCAUUUAAUUAGCCAUUACACAGAAAGAAUCAAUUAUAAACACUAAUAUAAUUAGAUGUGCUUUUCAUAGAUAUACAUAAAGGAUAGAUAGUUUAAAAUUUUGUAUUUAAUAAGUAAUUCUUCCGAAGUUUAAAAUUUAUAAUUAUAUAACGUAGAAGGCUCAACUCAACUCUCGCAUGACAUAUAUUCGUAUGUAUGAAGCUCAACUCAACUCUCGCAUGUAUGAAGCUCAACUAAACUCUCGCAUGUAUGAAGCUCAACUCAACUACGGCAACAAUCGUUUAGAGAUAGUCUUAUAUUUUUUCCGAUCUUGAAAUGGUCGAGGGAUAUAUAGCUGGAAGCAAAUGUUUGACCGAAAGUGAUUCAAAACACCUAUCACCUUUAGUGCAUAAAUUGUACUAACUUCAUCCUCACUUUAUCCAAUGCCAUUUAUCGACCAACAGAAGAAAAACCAAACGAUGAACGUCGCGUAAUAUUUAUUAAAAAAAAAAUUUGAAUGUUCGGAGAUUUUUCUUACUGAAAGUAUUGACUACCAAAUCAUGGGAAUUCAGAAAAUUCAAUUGUCUCUAGAACAAUUAAUUUUAUGUCGAAUAAGUUUAUACAUCAAUAAAUAUAGAGUGAAACACAACAUCACGCAACAAGCUACUGGCUUACCAUAAGAUCACUGCUGAGUUCUCUAUAAAUACUUGCUACCCCAGUCACUACAAAUACAUAAAACCUUCUCUAACCUAAUUAUUUCAAAGCAUUAGUUUUCACUAGCCAUGGAAAUCUUCACAAAGCAACUCACUCCUAUUGAUUUUGAUAGAGGAUUGGUGCUACCACCCCGUUCUAACCUAGAACCCCUGCAACAUUUUCAAGGGACCAUAGAAUUGUCCACCAUAGUUGAGUCAGCUGCAGGAACCCGUUUACCGGACCCAGUGACAAUUCACUGUUCUACCAUAAGAGGAAGCCUUGUAUUUAAAACAGGUUGGUAUGAUAUUGCUCGCUAUGUUGGCCUCAAAAGUGGAGAUACUGUGACUUUCUAUCAGGAGGUUAACGGAGGAGCACAGUUCAAAUUGAAAGUGAAAAAUGUUUGUUAAAGUAAAGAAGAAACGUGAUGGAAACAGUGUCUUCCAUACAUGCAUGAACGUCCGAGUGCUCGUCCUUCUGUUUCUUCUUUGUUCUGUCUCCUGCAAUCUUGGUGUCUAGCUUCUUUCCGAUGUCAGCAGUUGAGAAAACUUUUCUCAAAAUUAUCUCCUGCAAUCUUCGUGUCUUGUUUCCUCAAUUCCUUGCAUUUGUGAGGAAAUUAUGAAUAAUUAGUUUCUUCUUUAGAUGAAAGAGUUUGUCUGUGAUUGUAAUAUGUGUUUUGAGCUUUAAUUUUGUGAUUUUUGGUAACAAAAUUAUUUUGUGUUGUGAAUUACUUUAAAAACUUCAAUGAGAUGUGAUUUGAUUCAUCAGCUUAAACUGAAAUUAUAUAUUAAAGAAGCAAAUCAUUUUACUCUAAAUUAUAUAUUAAAGAAGAAGCAAAUCAUUUUUCAGAGUAAUUUAAUUAUGUUUUUCCAAAAGAAGAAGAAAUAGCGCAUGAGGUGACAUUGAAGCUUAACUCUCAGCUAAUUUAAUUUUGAAUGAUGAAAUUAUUAAAAAAUAUUGAUGAAAAAAGCUUGCAAAUGCACAACAAAAUAGCAAAAAAAUGAAUGGGGAUAAAAUUUGAGAGAGAAAACCUGAGGAUGAAAUUAAAAAAUAAAUAAAUAAUGAUUCAAAAAUAAUAAAUAACAAUUAAAAGAACGAUGACAAAAUUGAAAAGAUUAAAAAUCAUAGGGGGUGAAAUUGAAAAACAUUUGUAAUUUGAUAAAUUAUUUAUAGAUUAAAAAAUGGUAAAGGGUGAAAUUAAAAAAAAAAAACUAUAGAGGGAUAACCCAAUAGAAUCAAACCACAAAGAAAAGGAUAAAAAUAAGAAAACAUCAACUUUAAAAAAGAGAGAAAAAAAACCCUACAAAUCCGAGUAAAUCUUCUAAACUUGAUCUAAUCUCUAAAACCAAAUGAAAAAGAUAAGACGAGAAGCCCAAGCUCGACGAUAGGGGGCAUAAUGAAUCAUUUUACAAGUCAAUCCUAAGGUCUAGAAACACAUGGACCAAAAGGAGAUCUGCUAGCAAGCACUAGUGAUCCUUUCAUACAGUAAGGAAUAUAAUAUGUAUUGAUCUUCACUUCGUUCAAGAACUUUCUUCUAUCUUAGGUACUCCAAUGAGCUGUCAAAUGUCCUGAAAUAAGAAAAUUAACAACAUUAGCAAACAAAGGCAUUGUAGAGACAGAAAAUAAAGAUUCAUCAGGAAAGUAGUCAUUGAUUGGUGUGAUAUCAGAUCUCGAAUCUGUUGUCAAUGUUGACAAAUGAUCUGCAACAACAUUUUCGGUGCCUUUCUUGUCCUUGAUUAAUUGUGAUAUCGAAUUCUUGAAGUAACAAAAUCCAUCGUACCAAUAUAGCCUUAGAAUCCUUCUCAGAAAGAAGAUAUUUCAAUGCUGCAUGAUCACUAAAAACAACAACAGGUGAGCCAACAAGAUAAGAUCUGACCUUGUCACAUGCAAAUAAUACUGCAAGUAAUUCCUUUUCAGUGGUAGUGUAAUUCAUUUGAGCACUAUUUAAAGUUUUACUUGCAUAGUAAAUCACAUAGGGUUUCUUAUCUUUUCUUUGUCCUAAGACAGCACCUACGGCAUAAUUACUAGCAUCACACAUUAUUUGAAAAGAUAAUGACCAAUCAGGAGGUUGAAUGACUAGAGCAGAAGUAAGCAAGCUUUUAAGUUUAACAAAGGCUUUUUCACAUUGUUUAGUUCAUUCAAAAACAUUUUUCCUUGUUAGAAGGUUAUACAAUGGUUUAACUAUUACAUUAAAAUCUUUGAUGAACCUUCUGUAAAAACCAAUAUGUAUUAAGAAUGAUCUAAUAUCUUUAAUAGAUUUUGGUGUUGGCAAGUUAGCAAUUAACUUGAUUUUAGAUUUAUCAACCUCAAUUCCUUUCGAUGAAACAAUGUGACCAAGUACAAUAUCGUUUGUUACCAUAAAAUGAUAUUUUUCCCAAUUCAGUACAAGAUUCUUCUCUUCACACCUGCUCAAAACCUUUUCUAAGUUAAUCAAACAAUCAUCAAAUGAAUCGCCAAAAACAGAAAAAUCAUCCAUAAAAAUUUUAAGAAAACGUUCAACCAUAUCACUAAAUAUAUUGAGCAUGCAUCUUUGAAAUGUGGUUGGUGCAUUACAUAAUCCAAAAGGCAUUUUUUGAUAUGCAAAAGUACCAAACGAACAUGUGAAAGUGGUUUUCUCUUGAUCUUCAAAUGCAAUUUCAAUUUGAUUGUAACCUGAAUAGCCAUCUAGGAAACAAUAAAAUUUAUGACCUGCAACUCUUUCUAGGACUAAUAUAGUUAAGAUUAGAAAGAGUCUUUUGUAUAAUUGUUGUCGCACCCUCGCGAGCGGAGCGCGGCGUCGCGGCGACCCGAUUGGUUUCGGGGUCUUUUGUUUUUGUGAAUAAAAGAGUCGCCACCUAGUAUUAUGGUCACUAGGAAACCUAACUGGUCUUUCAGAGAUUCUAAAGGCAAGGGACUGGUUGCGUAAAGGGAAGGUAUUAGCACCCCUAGUACGCCCUACCUAAGGUAAGUUGCUUGGUGUUUGGUUUGUCUUAUAAUUGCUAUGGUGUUGGUGUUUUCUAAUCCCAUCAGUUUUCUAGGUUUUGAUUCAAACUAAAAUUAUUAGGAUAGAAAUCCAAGGAAGUUUCAUGUGCUUUAAAAGCUCAUUUUCCCCUUAGUUUUUCAAGAGUUUGCGACUCGUAAAUCGCAAGGAGGAGGGACAAAAAUUUAGAAAUCUAGGGUGCUUUAAAAACCUAUUUUUUGUCUUAGUGUUUUAUACUCUCACAUCUCGUAAACCGUGGAAUAAAAAAUUGAAAUGUCCUCGAUUAUAAUCAAGGCUUCUUUCAAGGAUUUGUGCGGAUUUAUUACUCCCAAUAAUAUUUUGGAUAUUCGUCCUUUAAGGAUUUCUUUAUCCAAACAUUAGCGGUGAAUAAUAGAUGAAUUCCUCCCAAAAUAAGAUUUUUGUAUUUUUUUUGGAAUAUUGGCCAAUACCCUUUGGAGUUUUACAAACAUGUUGUAAAAUCCAGAAAUGCAAGAAAAUAAUUUUUGUGUUUAAGAAAUCCAUGCGGAAACACAUUUUCAAAACUUCAAAUAUUUGUUUUUUUAGAGGAAAUUCAAAAAAAGAUGUUAGGGUAUUGGCCGUAUGCAACACACAAGAAAACAAAUUUUGAUAUAUAUGUAUAUUUGCCGCAGUUGCGUCGAAAACCGAGUAUUCUAAAUACGAGAUUGGUAUAUAUUUUUUUACAACAAAAAAAAUUCAGACUUUAAAAUAAAUAUUCCAGAAAAUAAAUCUCUUUCUCUUUCUUUUAUUUUAUUCAAAACAAAAAAAGAAUUAGGUCCGGCCGGGUCACUUGCCUCAGCAGGGGACCCGGCAAGACACAAAAUUUAGACAAACUGUCCAAGUGAAUUAUAAUUCACUUGAACAGUAACCAAAAAAGAUUGCACAGUAACAUAUAAUUAAAAUGCAAAGCAAAGAGAAUGCAUGGACUUACCUGGCGCUGAAACAGGCGAAGGAGAUGGCACUGCAGUUGCUGCACCCGGUCGUAUAAAAAUAACAAAGGAGGAGAGAUUGGGGCUUAUACCUGCAGUUCCUGUUUGCAGAAAAUGAAACCAGGGACCAAAAAUAUCACAGCUCACGCGUGUUUCCUUGAAUACCGUCGCCUGCCUCUCUUGCGUGUUCCUUCAAACUGCAGCUCCUGUUUGCAGAAAAUAAAACCCAAGGCCGAAAGACACAGCUCACGCGUGCCUCCUUGGCUGCUGGUAAAUGACAGACGAAAAUAGAGAUGCUGAAACGGACGAAAUAUUUCAGCUAUGUGCUGGUAAAUGACUGGUUUCCCCGUCGCCUGCCUCUCCUGCGUUUUCCUUCUCUUUCUUUUGCUGUUUCCUUCUCUGCUCUUUUCUCUCUGUUUUUCUCUUAUUUUUCUGCCCUCUCUUUUCUAUUUUUCUGCUCUCUUUCUGUCGCCCCUUGCUAGGUCAUUAGAGGGGUUUAUAUAUAGUCUAACAUAUCUCUAUUUAGGAAAGAUUUAAUGCAUUAAUUCUAGGACGUAAAUCCCUACUGAUUUGCAGUAAAAAAAACGCAAAAGGAAGCUGCAAUAUUCUGAUUUUGUGCUGGUGCUUUACGUCUGAUUUCUUUCCAGUUUUAGAGGAGGGUGUGGCUCUUUUCUUUCCUUCCAUAGGGCCAGCUGCUCCCUUUGAAAUGAGGCAACAAAACAUGGUCUUCAGCUCCAAAAAUCAGGCUGAUGAGAAAGGAAAACAUCAGAGAAAAAAGGAAAGAAAUCAGCUGGAGGGUGCAGCUGCAAGGUCUUAUUUUCCUUAUUCGGUGUGGUAAAAAUCCUGUCAUUUAUGAUGAUCCAGCCCCCCUCUCCAGCAUUCAAUGUCCUUCUUCAAUUCAAUCCCUCAAUUUAGCACAUUUCGAUUCAGUCCUUGGUCCAAAAAAAAUCCUUCGAAUCAGUCCCGCGAACUUGGGCAAAAAUCCUUCUCGCGGUCAGGAAUCCCUACUUUCAACACCAGAUAUUCAAACGAGAAUAUCUUGAGCUUCUGAUAUUGAAAUCAAGUGAUUCAAAAGCCCAAAUUCAUCUACGCGUCUAGGACUACAACUUUGAUGAAGGAGUCGAAGUGAGAAAAAAAUCUUUUUACAAAACAGAAACUGGCAGUAAUCUAGUUGGUCAAAAAGGUUCUUGAUCUGACAAAACUGAGCCAUCCAAAUCUGACUGAGAAUCUGCUCUAAGAAAAAUGAUCCUUAGGACCUAAUAAAGGUGUACGUAAAUUUUUCAACAUGUAAUGAGUGAUAGGAUAUACCUAGGAUGGUCAGAUAUCGUACGAAACUGAGUCAGAAUCGGAGCCUAAGUUGGAACCAAAAAAAUUAUGACAGCAGCAGAACUAUUUUUUUGGUGCAAAUUCUGAGGGAUUUAUUCAACCUUAAAGACCAGAUAAAAAAGAACGAAUUUAGCAUUAUGAAGACUCCUGAUCAACCUAAGAAAACCUGAUGAUUUUGGUAGUAAAGGGGAAGGAUAAAAAGAGCAGAAAACAGCUCAAACAAGGUUUCAAAACACAAAAUAUUUCUUUCUGUGCUUUUGUCAAUCUUCUGGCGAAUAUGAGCUAAACUCCUAUACUCUGUUUAAAAGAGGUAUACACCGUCUCUAGCACGUGGGGUCCGAAAAUAAGUAACAACAAUUGUGAUGAAUGAUUGAUAAACCAACCAUCCCUUUGUAUUUAUGCCUUUAGGGUUGUAUACAAUACAAUGGUGGAAUGUACUACACAUGAUAACUAUCCCUAUAUAUAAUGUAUUUACAUAUAUGUGGACUCUUUCCUUAAUACACCCCGUCAAGCUGAAGGUGGAGAUUCCACCCGAAGCUUGGAUCUAAAAUAAGCAAAUGAGACUGGAGGGAGAGGCUUGGUAAGAACAUCCGCGAGUUGAUCCUUUGAAGAGAUGAACCGUACCUGAAUUUCUAUCUUAGCAACGCGAUCACGGACAAAAUGAUAAUCAACUUCAACAUGUUUAGUACGGGCAUGGAACACCGGAUUGGCAGAUAAGAAAGUGGCCCCUAAGUUAUCACACCAUAACGUAGUCAUGGACGAAAUGGAAAUCCGAAGUUCUGCCAAUAAAGAACGAAUCCAUAAAAUUUCAGCAGUACCAUCAGCCAAGGCUUUGUAUUCUGCUUCUGUAGAAGAUCUAGCAACAGUGCGUUGUUUCCCGGAUUUCCAUGAGAUAGGUGUAGAACCAAGGUAUACAAGAUAACCACCUGUUGAUUUUCGAUCGUCAAUACUACCUGCCCAAUUAGCAUUUGUGAAACCAUGAAGAGUCAAAAGAGAGUCUCGAGUAAUGUGCAGACCAUAGGUUGCUGUAGCCUGCAGGUAACGUAUGAUACGUUUAACAGCAGCCCAAUGAUCAUCAGUAGGGGCAUGCAUAAACUGACAUACUUUGUUGACUGCAUAACAAAUAUCAGGUCGAGUGAAAGUAAGAUAUUAUAGUGCUCCAACAAUCUGUCGAUACCGUGUCGGAUCAGAGUGAAGAGUACCAGGCACAAUUCCUAGUUUAGAGGAGGUAGACAGAGGAGUAUCAACCGGUUUGCAGGAAGCCAUACCUGCUCGUUGGAUAAUAUCGAGUGCAUACUUGUGUUGACUUAACAAGAUACCCAUAGCUGUAGGUUUAACUUCAAUGCCUAAGAAGAAAUGAACAUAACCCAUAUCCCGAAGCUUAAAUUCUGUUUGCAGUAAAGUAAUCAAUCUAUGAAGCAAGGCUGAGUUACUCCCAGUCAGUAAAAUAUCAUCCACAUACAUAAGCAGAUAAAUCAUGGCACCAUUGAGAGAGAGAAUAAACAGAGAAGUGUCAACCUUGGAUGCCUGAAAUCCAAUGGAAAGGAGGAACUCGCUCAACCUGUUGUACCAAGCUCGAGGUGCUUGUUUCAAGCCAUACAAAGAUUUAUAAAGACGACACACAUGAGAUGACAUAGCAGAAUCAGCAAACCCCGGUGGUUGUGCCAUGUAUACCUCCUCUUGAAGAAUGCCAUUCAAGAAAGCAUUAUGAACAUCCAACUGGUGAAUAUUCCAACCAUACGAGACAGCAAUAGUGAGCACAAGACGUACCGUUGUAGGCUUAACCACUGGGCUAAACGUCUCCAAAUAAUCAAUCCCCUCUUGCUGAGAGAAGCCGCGGGCAACCAACCGUGCUUUAUAUCGGUCAAUCCGACCAUCGGCGUGGCGUUACCAAUCACAUUCAUAGACGGAUGAGAGGGCACCAAUGACCAAGUAUGAUUAGAGUGAAGUGCCCGGAUUUCCUCCUGCAUGGCAUUAUGCCAAACCAAAUACCUGUUGGCAUCCUUAAAGGACAGCGGCUCCUGUUGAGGUAACGUUGCAACCCGUGAGGAAGUUGCAACACUGAAGUUAGCAUCCUUUGGUGGACGUGGUCGAAGUACCAUAGGAUGGAGACGUGUCGGCUGGGAGGAGUUGUUAUCAACAUUGGCCGGUAUCUGCUGAAGCUGGAAUUUCGACAGAUCAACACAUAGAUUAAUUCUAUGAGAGGAAUCAGAGGAAGAACCUGAUGAGGAGCUCAAUAUAUGUGCAGGCCGUGGGGUAGAACCAGCUGUAGAAUCUGCUGGAGUCACUGCCAGAACAGGGGAACCAGCAGGAGAAGAACCAGGGGAGCUAACAGGAGCGAUCUGAACCUGUACUGCAUGCGAGGGUGGCAAAUCUGAACCUGUACCUACAACAUGAUCAUGAUAAUAACAUGCAGAUAAUGGUAAGGGAGCCAAAUGAGAUGUAGGUGGUGUGGGGGGUAACGGUGGAAGGGCUGAAGAUGGUGGCUUUGGAUGAUAUAAAGUAACCGGUAUAGUGGCGGCAAUAGGAUGUGUAGGUGGGACUGCAAUCUGUUCAGAUUUACCAAGAGGAAAAACAUGUUCAUGAAACCGGACAUGACGAGCAAGAUAAAUACGUUUGGAUGUCAAGUCAAGACAUCGAUAACCUAAAUGAGAGUUACUAUAUCCUAGAAAAACACAAGCAGAUGAACGAAAAUCUAACUUAUGAGUAUUGUAUGGAUGGAGGAAUGGAAAACAAAGACACCCAAACGUACGAAGAAAAGCAUAAUCAGGAGAUGAUUUUAAAAGACAUUCGAAAGGACUCUUAUAAUUAAGAACCGGAGUUGGCAUGCGAUUAAUCAAAUAAACAGAGCUUUCAAAGGCAUAGCUCCAAUAUUUAAGGGGAGCGUGACAUUGCCCAAGAAGGGUAAGUCCAGUUUCGACAAUAUGUCUAUGACGACGUUCAACCAUGCCAUUUUGUUCAUGGGUGUGCGGGCAGAUCACACGGUGAUGAAUACCUAUUGUUUUAAAAUAUGUAUUGAGUUUUCGGUAUUCACCACCCCAAUCUGUUUGAACAGAUUUUAUUUUUAAAGAAAAUUGGCGCUCAACGAGCGCUUGAAACUGAUGAAAAAUAUGAAAAACAUCAAACUUAGCAACCAUCGAAUAAAACCAGAUAAACUUUGUAUGGGCAUCCACAAAAAUAACAAAAUAGCGAAAACCGUCUGAUGACAACAUAGGGGAGGGACCUCAGACAUCACUAAAAAUUAAAUCAAGAGGAGCUAGAGUUUGAUGACCCGUAGUUUUUAGAGUCAGACGACACGACUUGCCCAAAGGACACGCAGGACAAUUGAAAUUAAAACAUUUUUUUCGUACAUGACACUUUUUUAUUUUUCACCAACAAAUGCAGAAUGCGUGGGCUUGGAUGCCCAAGUCGACGAUGCCAGAUAUCAGCGGAAGUAGAGAGACAUGUAGAUGAGAAAGCCUGAGGCAAUGACAUGGCAGACGACUCGGACAAAACAUAUAGACCAUCUCUACUCUGACCGGAAAGAAGCACUUCCUUUGUCAUGAGGUCCUUAAUAUAAAAGAAACAGGAAUGAAAUUCAAAAAACACAUUAUUCUCAAGGCAAAAUUUUUGAACAGAUAGCAGAGGUUUUUUAAUGGCAGGAACAUGUAAAAUAUUGGAUAAAGUAAAGGUGCGUUUUGGGGAAUGAAUUUUAGAGUGAGCAAUAUUAGAAAUAACAAGGCCCUUACCAUCACCAACAUGCAGAUGAUCAUUACCAAGGUAAGGUUCUGAAUUCGUCAUACUCGCAAUGUCUGGCGUUACAUGAUGAUUUGCGCCCGUAUCAGGAAACCAUGUGAUAGGAGAUGUUGCAGGAGCAUUAUUAAAAGUGAGAUUGGCAUUGGCUUGAAGAGGAUGAUUAGCCAACUGAGAGCACUGUUGGGCAGUAUGCCCAUACUCAUAACACAGCUGACAUUUUACACUGCGAUUAUACCCACCAAAGCGAUUACCUUGCUGCCCAAAUUGUCCUGAUAGCCGAGAGGGAGAUCCAGAAAACUGUCCUGAGGAGAAUCGAUGUCCUUGUUGCCCAAAUUGCUGACCUGAGGUAUAACUGUUGUUUCCAUUAUUUCCACGAUAACCAUUGUUGCGAUUAUUAUUAUUUCUCCAACCCCCACGAAACCUGCCUCGUCUAGCAUUAUUGAAGCCCGAGUGAUUCUACACAAAGAAAGCAGUUGGUUGCUGCAGUGGGGUUGGUAACAGAGGUGUUGUUACUGCUGGUUGGAGAGCAGCUUUGUGAAGAAAUUCAUGUGUAAGUAGACUGCUAUGGAGAUCAGUGUAGGAGAUGGGGUCAGCCUUGGUAGACAAGCUGGUGACAAGAUCUUUAAAUUCGCUACGUAACCCCCGAAACACAUAUAGGUUGAAUUCUGCCAAGGAGAUUGGUCUACCAGCCGCAACAAGUUCAUCAAACAAUGCUUUUGCCUUCUGCAAGUAGGUGCUGGCAAAAUCAUCUUGCUGGCGUAGCUCUUGGAAGGAACCGUGAAGCUGCAUGAUCCUGGAAUUUGAAGGAGACGCAAGAGCUGUUUCCAGCGUUCUCCAUAUAUCAUGGGAGGUGCUACAAUCCACCACUAAGUGUAGAACUUCCACCGAGAGAGAAGAUAAGAGGGCACUCAUGAUUAGGUGAUCUUGCUGCUUCCAUGUCAAGUAGGCAGGAUUGACAGAGGAUGAAGAUACUGCAGCAGAUUCCAGAUGAGGAGGAGGACAUGUUGAUGUGCCAUCAACAAAAGAGUAUACGCCUUGGCCCAAGAGGAACGACUUCAUCUGCAUCCUCCAAUACAAAAAGUUGGUAUUGGAGAGUUUUAAAGACAUUACCUGUUGCGUGUUAGGAAGAGAUAUGAUGGCAGCAGCAGGGGACACACCAUAGGUGGCUGUCGGCGCCAUAAUGGAGAAAGAAGAUUGGGGUGCAGAUGCAGCAGAAUAAUGAAGUUCUUGAUUGUCCAUAGGAGGAAGAAGAUUGGCAGAACACGUUCUUGAUAUUUGCUGGAAGAAGAGAAUCGGAUGUAAGGGAGAAGUAUGAAAGAAAGCUGCUGGGAAAGGAGACUGCUGGACGAUAGAAGGCUGCUGGAUGUUUGUUUUUGCUCUGAUACCAAGUUAAGAUUAGAAAGAGUCUUUUGUAUAAUUGUGAUGAAUGAUUGAUAAACCAACCAUCCCUUUGUAUUUAUACCUUUAGGGUUGUAUACAAUACAAUGGUGGAAUGUACUACACAUGAUAACUAUCCCUAUAUAUAAUGUAUUUACAUAUAUGUGGACUCUUUCCUUAAUAAAUAUGACACUGAACUUUGAUAUUUCUUUAAUUAAGCCCCUAAUUUCAUUGAUGAAACUAAUUCAGAGUUUAAUUAAAUCCCUAAACUUAUCAAUUCUAUCAUUUUUUGGCCAAAUUGACAUCCAAGUUUAUAAUUUCCUCCUUACUAGUCCAUGAACCUUCAAUUUGUGUUGUUUUGACUUAAUUCUCAAAUUAUUUUUCAUUUGUUUUAUUAUUAUUAUUUAUAACCACUUAACCUAAAAUAUUAAGAUGUGAUUAAGUUGAGCCUCUAGUGCAUAAAUAUUAUGUUAACCCAAUUGAUACUUCGUCAAAAAGCCUUUGAUAACCUUUUAAAGAAUCACUCAACAUAAACAAUUAGGUGAGUUACUUAUUUGAUUAUUUUAUGAGAACAAUUAUUUUGAAUAUGUGUUAUCAAUAAUAACCAAAACUCUGCCUUCGCUUUGGUGUCUAUAAGGUCCAAAAUUUUCGAGUCUAAUAUCUGACCAGCUUUUUAUGGAUAUGGCUUGGAAGAGUUGGCCAACCUAGAAGAAAUUAAAGGACAAUCUCUCUUGGUUUUCUUUCUCUUGUUUUUUCUUUUUUUUUCUUUUUUUUUUCUUUUUUCAUGGCAGGCCAGUAGUCAUGCCGUUGUCUGUUUGUAUGCUGUUCGUGUUAGGAUUAUUUUAGACCAUUGGAAGAACACACCGUUGAUUAUUAGACUAUGACAAAGUCAUUGUCACCUUUCCUGAAACAAGCUAAUAUUGGCGAGUUCGAUACGCAGAGGGUGGCUAUAGCCUGCGUGACAUGGCAAUUAAAUAUCUUCGCCACACAAAUAAACUCUCGCAUGUAUGAAGCUCGACUGCGGCAACUUUCGUUUAGAGAUAGUCUGAUAUAUAAAAAUAGCUUUAUUGAAAAUUCAUAUUAUUUUUAAAAAUAAAGUGAUUCAAAACACAUAUCACCUUUAGUGCAUAAAUUGUACCAACUUCAUUCUCUCUUUAUUCAAUGCCAUUUCUCGACCAAUUAAUCAUCAACAGAAGAAAACCAAACCAUGAACGUCGCGUAAUAUUUAUUAUAAAAAAAAAAAAAUUGAAUGCUAUAGCAAAGGGUGGCCAUAGCCUGCGUGACAUUCGUGUAUGAAGCUCAACUAAACUCUCGCAUGUAUGAAGCUCAACUCAACUACGGCAACAUUCGUUUAGAGAUAGUCUUAUAUUUUUUCCGAUCUUGAAAUGGUCGAGGGAUAUAUAUAUAGCUGGAAGCAAAUGUUUGACCGAAAGUGAUUAAAAACACUUAUCAUCUUUCGUGCAUAAAUUGAACUAACUUCAUUCUCACUUUAUUCAAUGCCAUUUAUCGACCAAUUAAUCGUCCACAGAAGAAAAACCAAACAAUGAACGUUGAUCCUUCACUCACUGAAAAGGGCCACGUAGAUAAUAUCUUGGAGAUGGUUACUAGCUAGCAUUUCUAUCCCAAAACCCUAAGACCAAUUCGACAGAAAAGAAAUUGCUUUUUGAAAAUCAUUAAUUGUUGAUAAUAUAUCGUCAGUUCAAACUAUGGAUAUUUUUCUUACUGAAAGUAUUGACUAACAAAUCACGGGAAUUCAGAGAAUUCAAUUGUUUCUAGAACAAUUAAUUAUAUGUCGAAUAAGUUUAUACAUCAAUAAAUAUAGAGUGAAACACAACAUCACGCAACAAGCUAGCUGGCUUACCAUAAGAUCACUGCUGAGUCUCUAUAAAUACUUGCUACCCCUGUCACUACAAAUACAUAAAACCUUCUUUAACCUAAUUAUUUCAAAGCAUUAGUUUUCACUAGCCAUGGAAAUCUUCACAAAGAAACUCACUCCUAUUGAUUUUGAUAGAGGAUUGGAGCUACCUGAUAAACCACGAAGGUCUAAUAGGGUGCCUAUCAAGAAUCCAAGAUAUGAGGGUUGAGCUGGGACACGUAUUAUGAGGAUUCAGCUGUGGGCAAUUGCUGAAUUUGUUUAAUUUGUUUUUUUUGAAUUGGUCAAUAAAGUUAGAAGGAAUAAGUCAAUUAGUGGGGGCUAUUUCUCUGUCAACUAGCCGUUCCACGUCCUUCUAAUUAGCGAAGUAGUUAAGUUUUUAUUUGUAUUUAAAUCAUUGUUUCCAGCAAGUUGAGGACAAGAAAAGUAUUACAAGGUUUAUUCUCACCUUAAGCAGAGUAUUUUCUUAUUUUCUUAAAGGCUUUGACUGGGACCUAACAUUGGUAUCAGAGCUUUCACACUAUGACUACCAAUAAAGAGAGGAUCGAGAAUUUAGAAGCAGCUAUUGGGGGACUUCAAGACAAUUUCAACAAGAUGGAACUGGGUGUUACUGACAAAUUACAACAGCUAGAGGCUGCUAUUAGCAGAAUUUCUGAAGUACUGCUUCCAAGGCAAGAGCCGAACUCUAGCAAUGUCCAAGAACGCAGUGGACAAGCCUUUGGUGCGCGAUCUCGUGACACCACAGACGGUGGCCGCUCAAUGUUCUCCUCCAAAUUGGCUAAGCUCGAAUUUCCCAAGUAUUUUGGUACUGACCCAACUGAAUGGCUCACGCGUGUUGAUCAAUUUUUUGAAUACCAGGGCACUUUGGAAGCACAAAAAGUGUCUUUGGCUUCUUUUCAUUUGGAAGGCGAAGCAAAUCAAUGGUGGCAGUGGUUACGCAAGGCUUAUCAUGAGGACAAAAAGGAGGUAUCAUGGGAGAUUUUUGUGGAAGAAUUAUGGGCUCGUUUUGGUCCCACGGAUUGCGAAGAUUUUGAUGAGUCUUUAUCAAAAAUAAGGCAAACGGGAUCCUUACGGGAAUAUCAGAAAGAAUUUGAGAGGCUGGGAAACAGAGUGCAAGGGUGGACUCCGAAGGCUUUGGUGGGUACUUUUAUGGGUGGUCUCAAGCCUGAAAUUGCUGAUGGAAUUCGGAUGUUUAAGCCAAAGUCCUUGAAAGAAGCCAUCAGUUUGGCACGGAUGAGAGAUGAGCAGAUGAUUCGUCAAGAGAAACCACAUCGGCCACUCUACAGAACCUCUGAUCAUUCUGAUCGACCAUUCAAGCACACUGACGUCUCUAAUCGUCCAUUCACCAGGUCUGUUGGCGUCUCUUCACCUUUUAAAACCCGUCUGCAUCACCUAUGAAGCGAUUAACAUGGUCUGAGAUGCAACAAAGGCGUGCUCAAGGCCUUUGCUUCAAUUGUGAUGAAAGGUUUGUAUUGGGGCACAAAUGUAAGGGGCCGCAGCUGUUAUUGCUUGAAAGCAGUUAUGAAGAUGAUGAGAUUGAUAAUGAGGAACCUGAAAUUUCACUCCAUGCUCUCACGGGGUGGUCAACAGCUAGAACCAUGAGAGUCUCGGCCAAAGUGGGACAUCAUGAAUUGAUUGUGCUUAUUGACAGUGGGUCAACCCAUAAUUUCAUCAAUGAACGGGUAGCUGAAAUAUUGCAUUUACCGGUGGUGCCCACUGAACCCUUUGCUGUGAAAGUGGCUAACGGAGUUCCGCUAAGGUGUCAGGGGAGAUUUGACAAUGUGCAUGUCUUAUUGCAAGGUAUUCCAUUUACCUUAACUCUUUAUUGGGUUGGAUAUGGUGUUGGGAGUCCAGUGGCUAGAACAGUUGGGAACGGUGGGUUGUGAUUGGAAGAGGAUGACGAUGAAGUUUUCAUGGAUGAAUCAGCAUCAUCAAUUGGAAGGAAUUGGCAAUCAACCAAUUCAGCCGAUACAGGUUCAAGCACUGUCGAAGGAGCUGAAGCAGGGCAAUUCUAUUUUUGCUGUGUGUCUACAGCCGGCUGGGGAAGAAACACCACAGAUGAACCGACCUGAUAUGCAACAAUUGUUACAAGAAUUUGCGGACAUUCAUCAAGAACCACAACAGCUCCCUCCCCAAAGAGAAAUAGACCACCACAUCACCCUCAAAGAAGGAACUGAGCCCAUCAAUGUCCGGCCAUACAGGUAUGCCUAUUUUCAAAAAGCUGAGAUUGAAAAGCAAGUUCAUGACAUGUUAAAAUUGGGGCUAAUUAGAUCUAGCACAAGUCCAUUUUCUUCUCCUGUGUUGUUAGUNNNNNNNNNNNNNNNNNNNNNNNNNNNNNNNNNNNNNNNNNNNNNNNNNNNNNNNNNNNNNNNNNNNNNNNNNNNNNNNNNNNNNNNNNNNNNNNNNNNNNNNNNNNNNNNNNNNNNNNNNNNNNNNNNNNNNNNNNNNNNNNNNNNNNNNNNNNNNNNNNNNGUCCGGGUCCAAUCCCCUUAGGAAUAUCCACCCAAAAGCUGGCGUGUGGCACACACAAAUGGGUCAUUAUGGAGUAAUUUAGGUUAUGCCCGUUUAGGUUUAAUGUAAUGACUCCUUCCCACGAUUUCAGGGCGGUCAAUGAAUUUCCAUAUUUUCGUUCCUUUACGUUCGCAAAAUUUGUAUUUAGUUUUCUUUGAUGAUAUUCCUAAAUCUAUAGCCCCCCAAUUGGACCCAUGCAUAUUGAAACAUGUUAAACCACCUUUUGAAAUAUUAAGGCAUCAUCAGUUUUUCAUCAAAUUGAAUAAGUGUGUGUUUGGGCAACAAGAGGUGAAGUAUUUGGGGUCACAUUGUGACGUCCCAAGGUGUGAAGGCCGACAAGGGCAAAAUUCAAUCUAUGCUUAAUUGGCCCUGCCCAACUAAUGUUUCUGAAUUGCGAGGGUUCUUAGGCCUUACAGGUUACUACCGGAAGUUUGUUCGCAAUUAUGGAAUCAUUGCCCGACCACUCACAAAUCUUUUGAAGAAGGGGCUAUUUCGGUGGACAGAGGAGGCAGAUGCGGCAUUCCUUGCCUUGAAGCAAGCGAUGACUUCAACUCCUACGCUUGCUAUGCCUAAUUUUAAUGAACCUUUUGUCAUUGAAACUGAUGCUUCAGGUACUGGUAUUGGGGCGGUGUUAACUCAGCACGGGAGACCCAUUGCAUUCAUGAGCCGAGCAUUGGGGGUCACUAAACUGUCAUGGUCCACAUAUGCCAAAGAAAUGCUUGCCAUUGUUCAAGCUAUUCGGUUGUGGCGUCCGUACUUGCUGGGCAGGAAAUUUUUCAUACACACUGAUCAUUGCAGCCUCAAGUACUUGAUGGAGCAGCGCAUUGUCACCCCAGAACAGCAGAAAUGGGUGUCCAAAUUAGUAGGGUAUGACUACGAAAUCACUUAUAAGCCGGGAAAGGAGAAUUCUGCCGCUGAUGCCUUAUCAAGAGUAAUUGGCAGCCCUAGCCUUAAUGCACUAUUUGUUCCUCAAGCAUCUUUGUGGCAGACUCUCAAGGAGGAAGCCAACCAGCAUCCUUACAUGAUCCGUAUUGGCAAACUUGCUACUGCCAAUCCGGGAGCUCCCUAUAAAUGGUUGAAUGGUUUGGUGUGUUACAAUAACCGAGUAGUCAUUCCCCCUAAUUCAACUCUUGUCCAGCUUCUAUUACAGGAAUUCCAUGAUUCACCUUCUGGAGGUCAUUCGGGGGUGUUACGCACAUACAAAAGAAUGGCGCAACAAUUUUAUUGGCCAUCCAUGCAUAGAGUGGUUCAGCAAUAUGUUGCUUCUUGCACGGUUUGCCAAAAGAAUAAGGCUGAUACUUUAUCUCCAGCCGGGCUUCUACAACCGCUGCCAGUUCCUUGUCAAAUCUGGGACGAUAUUACCAUGGAUUUCAUUGAAGGGUUACCACCUUCUAAUGGUAAAAGCACCAUUUUUGUGGUCGUGGACCGUUUAAGCAAAUCUGCUCAUUUUUUGGCUUUAGCACAUCCUUACACGGCCAAAAUGGUUGCUGAGAAAUUUGUGGAGGGGAUUGUCAAGCUUCAUGGCAUGCCGAAGUCCAUUAUUAGUGAUCGGGAUCCUAUCUUCAUCAGUCAUUUUUGGCGUGAAUUCUUCAAGAUGUCAGGGACAAAGCUGCACAUGAGUUCCGCUUAUCAUCCCCAAACCGACGGUCAAUCGGAGGUGGUUAACAGGUGUGUUGAGCAGUAUCUUCGAUGUUUUGUUUCUCAACAACCUCGAAAGUGGUGUUCUUUUCUUGCAUGGGCUGAAUUUUGGUACAACACCACAUUCCAUUCCUCUAUCGGGAUGUCUCCUUUUCAAGCUCUCUAUGGCCGACCACCACCGAGCAUCCCGAAUUAUCAGAUUGGGGCCUCUUCAGUGCACGAGGUGGAUCAGACUAUGAUUUCUCGUACUUCUCUUUUACGUCAGCUCAAAAUUAAUCUGCAGGCUGCAAUUAAUCGAAUGAAGCAGGGGGCUGAUUCCAAAAGACGGGACGUGAACUUCCAAGUGGGGGAUUUAGUCUUUCUCAAACUACAUCCUUAUCGCCAACAAUCUCUGUUUCGGAGACCAGCUCAGAAGUUGGCCAGCCGUUUUUAUGGUCCUUAUAAGGUUGAGGAAAAGGUGGGAAAGGUUGCUUACAAGCUUCAGCUUCCUACAGAUGCUCGAAUACACCCUGUUUUUCAUGUUUCACUUCUCAAGAAGCAAGUUGGAGAGUCCACGGUCACCAGCGCAGAACUGCCUCCCAUUACUGAUGAUGGUGAGUUUGUUUUAAAACCUAUUGCUGUGUUGGAAACCCGAUGGGUGCGGAAAGGGUCUACUUUUGUUGAGGAACUCCUUGUCCAAUGGGAACACUUGUCAAAGGAGGAUGCUACGUGGGAAAAUGCACAGGAGCUGCGUGACAAGUUUCUGUCCUUCAACCUUGAGGACAAGGUUCUAAUUCAAGACAGGGGCAAUGAUAAACCACGAAGGUCUAAUAGGGUGCCUAUCAAGAAUCCAAGAUAUGAGGGUUGAGCUGGGACACGUAUUAUGAGGAUUCAGCUGUGGGCAAUUGCUGAAUUUGUUUAAUUUGUUUUUUUUGAAUUGGUCAAUAAAGUUAGAAGGAAUAAGUCAAUUAGUGGGGGCUAUUUCUCUGUCAACUAGCCGUUCCACGUCCUUCUAAUUAGCGAAGUAGUUAAGUUUUUAUUUGUAUUUAAAUCAUUGUUUCCAGCAAGUUGAGGACAAGAAAAGUAUUACAAGGUUUAUUCUCACCUUAAGCAGAGUAUUUUCUUAUUUUCUUAAAGGCUUUGACUGGGACCUAACACUACCACCCCGUUCUAACCUAGAACCCCUGCAACAUUUUCAAGGGACCAUAGAAUUGUCCACCAUAGUUGAGUCAGCUGCAGGAACCCGUUUACCGGAACCAGUGACAAUUCACUGCUCAACCAAAAGCGGAAGCCUUGUAUUUAAAACAGGUUGGUAUGCUAUUGCUCGCGAUGUUGGCCUCAAAAGUGGAGACACUGUGACUUUCUAUCAGGAGGUUAACGGAGGAGCACAGUUCAAAUUGAAAGUGAGAAAUGUUCGUUAAAGUAAAGAAGAAAUGUGAGGGAAACAGUGUCUUCCAUACAUGCAUGAACGUCCGAGUGCACGUCCUUUUUUUUCUUCUUUGUUCUGUCUCCUGCAAUCUUCGUGUCUAGUUUCUGUCCGGUGUCAGCAGUUGAGAAAACUUUUCUCAAAAUCAUCUCCUGCAAUCUUCGUCUCUGGUUUCCACAAUUCCUUGCAUGUGUGAGGAAAUUAUGAAUAAUUAGUUUCUUCUUUAGAUGAAAGAGUUUGUCUGUGAUUGUAAUGUGUUUUGAGCUUUAAUUUUGUGAUUUUUGGUAACAAAAUUAUUAUGUGUUGUGAAUUACUUUAAAAACUUCAAUGAGAUGUGAUUUGAUUCAUCAGCUUAAACUGAAAUUAUAUAUUAAAAUGGUCGAGGGAUAUAUAGCUGGAAGCAAGUAUUUGACUGAAAGUGAUUCAAAACCACUUAUCAUCUUUCGUGCAUAAAUUGUACUAACUUCAUUCUCUCUUUAUUCAAUGCCAUUUAUCGACCAAUUAAUCGUCAACAGAAGAAAACCAAACGAUGAACGUCGCAUAAUAUUUAUUAUAAAAAAAAAAUAAUUGAAUGCUUGGAGAUGGUUGCCAACUAGCAUUUCUAUCCCAAAACCCUAAGACCAAUUCGACAGAAAAGAAAUUGCUUUUGAAAAGUCAUUAAAUGUUGAUAAGAGUUUGAAAUUGAUGAAAAAUAGAAUAAACAUCAGAUUUUGCAACAAGUGACUUCCACAAAUAGUGCCUUCUCUUUUGCUGGAAUUUGGAAAGGUAUUGUCUCUCCUAAGGUAGAGAUCUUUUGUUGGAUGGCUAUCAUUAACCGAAUCAACACCCGGAGUAUGUUGGUUCGAAGAGAUAUUUUGGGUAGCUCAGAAUCUAAUUGCCCUAUAUGCCUAGUGGAGGAAGAGUCGGUGGACCAUAUCCUGCUGCACUGCCAUAAGCAUUGGCUCAUUUGGUCCAAAAUCAUUAAGUGGUGGGGUUUAGUUUGGUGCUGCCCAGAGAGCUUCUCAGAUUUGUGGUCGCAGUGGACUUCCCUGGUACAUUGUCACUUUCAGAGGAAGGCGUGGCUGAUGUUGUUCUUCUCAGUGGCAUGGUCUCUUUGGCUUCUUUGAAAUGAUCUAAUUUUCCAACAGAAGACACCUGACUAUGAUUCAAUAUUAUUUCUUUUUAUCACCCGUUUAUGCCUACGGCUAAAAGCUAUCCAUUCUGAUUUCCCAUACUCCCCUACAGAUCUGAUCAGAUCGGCAGAUGACCUGCUUUGGUGGUCCAAUGCUCACUCUUUCAGAAUUAUAAUAUGUGGUCUCCUCCUAUGAUUAAUAGCCUUAAAUGGAACGUAGAUGGCUCUUCUCUUGGUAAGCCAGGCCCCUCUGGAAUAGAUGGUGUGCUGCAAAAUCACCAUGGCCAUCUUCUUGGUAUGUUCUCUAUUCCAGUUGGGAUUUUAGACUCUAAUAUUGCUGAGUUAAGGGUUAUUGUCAAAGCCAUUGAACUAUCAGCAUCUAAUUGUCUCCUCCACCAUCAACAUCUCAUCAUAGAAUCUGACUCUGCCAAUGUUAUUAGCUGGAUGCAUAAGCCUCACAUCCGUCCCUGGAAGCAUCACAAUCUUUUCUCCUCUGUCAAUAGACUGAAUGCAUUUUUUGGCUCAAUCACCUUUGUCGCACGUGAAAUGUGUCGCGGCGAUCGCCCACCCACACUCAAUUGUGUGUGGGUCUGGAAAAUAUAGGGAGACAAGGAAUUCUUGUCUCUUAUCAGUGGAAAAAAUAGAAUGGGAGUCGCCACCUAGUAUUCUGGUCACUAGGAACCCUAACUGGUCUCAGAGAUCGGGUACGGAGACUGGUUGUGUAAAGGGAAGGUAUUAACACCCCAAAUACGCCCUACCUAAAGGUAAGCUGCAUUGUUUUAUUUGUCUGAUCAAAAUCUAAGGUUUGGUCGCGUUUUCUAAUUGUUGGUCCUGGCUGUCUAAGAUUCAAGAAAGCCCUCCUCAGUAAGGAGGUUCUUAUCUAUGGGGCAAGCCUAACCGUUCUAAUAUCUAUAAAAGAAAACUAUCUUUUUAAUAUUGGGAAUACGUUUUACAUAUAAAUUCAUAAUCCUUGAUAUUUAAAAGAAAAAAAUAUUUUUUGAUUUUUUUGAAAUAUUGGCCAAGUUCUCGUGACUUUAAUAAACUGGUUAUUAAAGCCGAAAUGCAUGCUAAAACAUUUUUUUUUUGAAGUUUUCUUUGUUGUAUGAAAAUAUGAUGUAAUUUUUUCUUUAAGAGACUUGGCCGUAUGCAUGAAAACAAAAACAUUUUUUUUUUCAAAGUUUUGACGAAAACCGGGUAUUUUAAUACCGGAUUUGUAUCUUUAUGGUAUAAAAAUACAAACCAAUAUUAAACAAAAUUCCAUAACAAAAUACACGGGGAAAUCACAAAUUUUUCCGAAAAUAUUUUUUUGAAAAUUUUUGGAACUGGGCCAGACCCGGCCCAAAAAAAAAAAACUGGGCCGAAUAAGCUACAGGGCUGGACUCAGCCCAGCCGCGUGGGCUGGGCUGAUGUUCCCACCCAAAAGAACAACAGGCCGGUUGCUGGUUACUGUGCUGAGAACAGUAACCAUUGAAUUAUAAUUAGGUGGUUACUGUGCUCUACACAGUAACCACCUAAUUAUAUUUCAUUUGCUGCAGAACGUGAAUUGCUCACGUUCUGCAUGCAAAUGAAGGCGAACCAAAAAAUGGACAGCAGAGGGGGAAGAGGGUUACCUGGAAUGAGCCUGGAUAGAUGGGCUGACGGUGGUGCUGGUGACCAAUUUGGCGGUGGUGUUGCUGCGGCCUUCUUCCUCCUCCCUGCUGUUUCGGUGCUGCUUUUUCUCUUUAUUUCCUUUGCUCCCUCUGUCAACAACGUUCUUCUCUCUCUGCAGCGGCUUCGUGGAGAUGCUGGUGGUGGCGGCCUGGGGGAGUGGCUUGGACGAUGGUCGGCCUUUCUUCCUCUUCUUCUCUGCGUUUUUCUUCAGCUCUGUUCGCCUUUGUUUCUGUUUCUUCCUUCUGCUUCUCACGGGGCUGUUGUCGACUGGGAGGGCAAUGGCAGCUGGCGGUGAUGCUGGUGGCGGUGGAGAGGAAUCCGACUAUGCCUCACGGUGGUUAUGAAGGUGGCAGUGGCUGGGAAGCCCGAUGACAGCAGCGGUUUUCUUCUUCUUCUUCCCCGUGCAGAGGCGCAGGUUGCUGCCUUUUCUUCAAUGGUGCAGCAACGGGUGGGAGGAAGAUGAUGAGCUGAGGAAGGCUGACUAUGGCGUGGGCAGUGCUGCUGUGUUUGUGCUCCUGGUGGCGUGGGUGUCGCGGCAGCCGGCUGUGGUCGCUCUUCCUCUUCUCUUUUCUGUCAUUGCUUCUUCUCUCUGUUUCUGUCACCUUGUUUCUCUCCAAACAAUUCUCUGUCUCUCUCUCUCGGUUUCCCCUUCUUUCUCUUUUUUUCUACUCCUUCUCUGUGUUGUCAUUCUCUCUUUUUUUACCCCCCUCAUUCGGCACCCCCUCCUCGAGUAUUUAUAGGCAAAGGAGGAGAGGUUCACCAUACCCUGUACAAGCACAGGGCAUGGUGGUCGGGGCAUGGGUCUUCUGCUUUUCGUCAUGGUGGGGGGCAUGGGUCUCCUGUUUCUCCAUUAAUGAGGGUAUGGGUUGUGUAAGUAGUUAGGCAAGUGGGGAGGUAGAGAAGGAGAGGGUGAGCGGGAAAAAGAUUUCAAAAAUCUUCUUCUCCCUUGUCUCUGCAUUUGCAGGGGAGAAAAGCUGCACAGUGCCGUUCAAAACGGCACCGUGCAGUUUUUUUUUUUUUUUUUUUGAAGAAAAGGAAAAAAGAUUUGGGGUGACCCAAAAAUGGGUUAUGACAGUUGCCCCCCUCUUUACAAUGCUUACGGAGCAAAGACUUUGCGUAGUAAGCUUGUAAAGAAAACAAAAGGAAAGAAAAUGAUCUGAUUAUCUUGGGCAACCUGCCCACACACGCUCACAGUAGUCUAUUUUCAGGGGCGACCAACCCACACACUCACACUGGUCUAUUUUCACGGGCGACCUGCCCACACACGCUCACACUGGUCUAUUUUCAUGGGCGACCUGCCCAAGUAGAAAAAGAAAGAGUGGUCUCAUUGUAAUGGGUGACCUACCCAGGUAAAGGAAUGGUCUCAUUGUAAUGGGUGACCUACCCAGAUAAAAAAAUAAAACAUGAAGAAUGGUCGAGUUGUAAUGGGUGACCUACCCAAAAAUGGGAAAAAGGAAGAGUGGUCGUGUUGUAAUGGGUGACCUACCCAAGUGGAGGAGUGGUCUCAUUGUAAUGGGUGACCUACCCAGAUAAAAAAAAAAAAACAUGGAGAAUGGUCGAGUUGUAAUGGGUGACCUACCCAAAAUAGGAAAAAGGUAGAGUGGUCGAGUUGUAAUGGGUGACCUACCCAAGUAGAGGAAUGGUCUCAUUGUAAUGGGUGACCUACCCAGAUAAAAACAUGGAGAAUGGUCGAGUUGUAAUGGGUGACCUGCCCAAAAUGGAAAAAAGGUAGAGUGGUCGAGUUGUAAUGGGUGACCUACCCAAGUGGAGGAAUGGUCUCAUUGUAAUGGGUGACCUACCCAGAUAAAAAAAACAUGGAGAAUGGUCGAGUUGUAAUGGGUGACCUACCCAAAAAUGGAAAAAAGGAAGAGUGGUCGUGUUGUAAUGGGUGACCUACCCAAGUGGAGAAAUGGUCUCAUUGUAAUGGGUGACCUACCCAGAUAAAAAAAACAUGGAGAAUGGUCGAGUUGUAAUGGGUGACCUACCCAAAAAAAGGAUGGUGAGGGCUCAAAGGCGCACUCGAAAGGAGGUAGGGUUAGAAAACGCACUACCUAAGAAACGGUGGCUCAAAGGCGCACUCGAAAGGAGGUAGGGUUAGAAAACGCACUACCUGAGAUGUGAGGGCACAAAGGCCUACUCAAAAGAGAAGGUGUGAGGGCUCAAAGGCGCACUCGAAAUGUGGUGUAACACCAAUCUGUUAAUGAUGAAAGCAAUGCAUUAUGAUUGAUAUGCAUGUAUACUUACCUGAGAAAUAUAGGUCCCCAUUUCUUCAUGGUGUCUUUAUUUUCUCAAAAGUUGGAGUGUUGGUAGUGAACUUCGAUGGCUUUUUCGCUCUCGCUUACUCGAGUCAUCUCUUGUGAUCUUAACUUCUGGGAAGGGCUUGAUAUCAUCAUACUUCUUUGUCCUCCACCCUUUAUCUCAAGGGUUGCCAAUUUUGCCCGGCAUUUUCUUAGAAGGGAAUCAUGAAGCCAGCCCUACCAGGAGUUUUUUUUUUAUUGCCCCCCAGCUUGAUCAUGCCCCCAAGUAUUCAAUUCGGGUUUGCGGAUGAGGCUAUGUGAAGGAAGGUUUGACAAGGAGUUGUUUUCAUGCAGAAAUUUUUGGAAUUUCAAAGUUAUUCCAUACACAGAAUUCAUUUUGACAUCGAUUCAAAGCAAACUCAUUCUGAAGAAAUUCAAGUGAUUCCUAUGGAGAGGUUUUCAGAAGUGAUGAAAACUUUUUAUUUUGAUUUUGGUGAAAAACAUGAAGUGACACUUGGUUGGUCAAAAAGGUUUAAGAUUUAAUUUGAGGGUUUCAAAGAACCAAUGUUCAAAGCAUUCAUUUUAUUUGCAUGAAUAAUGACUUGGUUUGCAUGAGAAAGCACUGCCUACCGAUCCAGAUUGCUUGCAUUUGAUCAAAAAGGGCUUGAUUAGGCAUGUAAUGUAGGUUUGAGCUCUUGGUUAUGAAGAACUGGAUAUUUGCAAGCUCAAAAGGUGUUUAAGGGAUUUCAAAACUAAGGAUCACUUGUGCUUGUUUCCUGACCUUUUGUCUUUUGAAUGUCUUUCCAAAAUUAUCUAUUGUGCCCCCCCAGUGUUGGGCUUGGGCUCUUUCUCUUUGUUUUUGUUUUCUUCAUUUGGUUGAGCAUCUCAUUUUUUCUUUUUUCUUUUUUUUAUGCUCAAAAUUUUUUUUGGAUCCUUUGGAUUUUUCUUCAUGCCCCCAAGCUUUGUUUGGGCACUUUCAAACGUUGAGGUUUUUUCUAUGUCUCUCGCACCUGCCCCCCAGUGUGGGGUGUGAUCCUAGUCGAGGUUAUUUCCAAAAAACGUUACCAGGCUCAAAAGGGGACUGCAAAGGAUAUAUUUCAGCCUUGUGAAAGGAUUAUCAAAGAUGGCCUUUCUUCAUCUCAAAUGCAUGCAUUUAGGAUCGGUAAGCCUUGCUUUCAUGCGAGUAUGCAAAAUGAUUUCUCAUUAUUCAUUCAAAUAAAACUCAACUUUUAGAGUCACUUCAUGGUGUUUUUGUUUUUGUUUUUUUUUUAGGUUUUCUCGGAGUAUGGUUACCUUUCUAAGGAAUCACUUGAAUUUCCAGAACUGUUUGUUUUGGACAAACACCGACAUGAUUUCUGUUUUUGUACUAAACUUGGAAUUCCCAAAAAAAAUCCUUGUGAACAUGUAUGAUCGAUGCAUAAUUUUGGAGGGAAAAAGGGAAACACAUCAGUGGUUUCGUGGGUGAAGAUUGAGCUUAGUGUGUUAUUUGCAUGAAAUGGCAACAAAAAUAAAGGUACAUCAUGAAUACAGGAAAACAUAUGAUCUUAUUUAACAAGAAAGGCUCAUUUGACAGAGAAAGUCUUGUGGCAUUAUGAGCCGAAUUACCAACAAGACUGAAACAAGUUAAAAUAGACAUGAUCAAACAAAAUGAAAUAAUAGGGUCGACUUCAUUCUUCCAAUUUGGUAAAUCUUCUCUUAGGCUAGCCUCACCCACAACAACUCUUGUAGAGGUCCCAUUGACGGCGGGGACAAAAACUGUGGUCAAAAUUUAAGUUCUUCAAAAUUGAGGCUACUUUUUUUCGCACCCUGCCUUGACCAUCGAUGCUUUCUGAGCAUUCUGCCUCUAGUGCCUUUACUGAUCCACAACUUCAAGCAUGAUUAGGUAGAGGGUUCGUGUUCACAUUAGGAGCGUCUUCCAAUUCUAUCCACCCUGCCUUGAUUAAUUGCAAAAGCUUUCUCUUGAAGGCGUUGCAAGUAUGAAUGCUAUGUCCAACAACACCAGCAUGAUAUUCGCAAGUGAGCUCUGGCUUGUACCAAUUAGGGUAAGGUGGCUGCACAGGCGUCAGAGGUUCGGGAGCUACCUGCCCGAUGCUUACUAGCUUCUGGUACAUCUCAUUCAAGGGUAGCGGUAAUGGAGGUAGUUGUUCUUGGACCUUUUGGUAAUUUCCAAUUUGGCUUUUGGCUUGAAAGUUUUGGGGCUCAGGUUUUUUGAUGUCGGCAACUUGGGAUGGAGUGUGGUAGUUUUGGGAUGAGGUUUUCCUACCCUUAUAGUCGUCUCCAAUAUGGUUGACAUCUUUCCUUUCGAAGCCUCUUUUCUCGGUGGGUGCAGAAAUUCUACCACUCUUGACGCCUUGCUCUAUACGCUCACACACUACCACAGCGUCAGUGAAUUGUUGUGCCGAACUACCCAUCACAUGCUCAUAAUAUGGUGCUUUGAGUGUGUUGGCAAAUAAAGUGACCAUCUCCUUAUCCAAAAGUGGAGGAUGGACUUGAGCAGCUGAUUCUCGCCAUCUUUAAGCAUAUUCCCGUAUGCUUUCUUUGUCCCUUUUCUCUAGAUUGGACAAGCUGGUUCUGUCGGGAGCAAUGUCCAUGUUGUACUUAUAUUGCUUGAUAAAAGCAUCCAUCAGGUCUUUCCAUCUCCGGAUCUUUGUGUUAUCCAAUCUCAUGUACCAGCUCAAUGUUGCCCCACUUAAGCUAUCUUGAAAAAAGUGCAUCAGUAGUUUUUCAUCAUGUACUACUUCUGCCAUUUUAUUGCAAUAGGAUUUGAGAUGAGUCAUGGGGCAUUGUGUUCCACUAUAUUUGAUGAACUCCGGAACACGAAACUUUUUCGGGACAACCACAUUUGGGACCAGACAAAUCUCUGCUGCCCGUACUGGAUCAUAUAAGUCUACCCCCUCAAUUACUCUGAUUCUGGCUUCUAGCGCCUCCAUCUUAUCUUGAUCAAUUCUAUCAGAUGACUUGGCCUUGUGGGACUCAUUAGCAAAUGUAUUCAUGACUGCAGGGGCUGGUGCAGGUGUUGCUGACUGCACAAAUGUUGGAUUAUGUUGAGGCUCUUGACCAUGUUCGCUCAUUCUUUCUUCGGGCUGUGCUAUUGUUGGAAUCUGAUUAAAGGUGACCGGUCGGUUAGAAGGACCUUCACCAGAGGUAUUUCUUAGUGUUUGCUCGAGUAAGCUAGUGAGGCGAGCCACACUUGUCUUCAGAGACUCCAACUCUUCUUGAAAAUGGGCGUCACGGUGAGCGCGCUCUUCAUCUUCCAUGUUUCUCGCUCGAAGUCGGGUGUUGUAGACUCUUUGGGGACCUAUAUUUCAACCUGGAGCAUGUAUGUAUGUUAUUUACAAUGAAUGGAUGUAUGUGUACAAUGCAAAUGUAUGUACAUGCGUAUUAGGGAGUUCAUACUCUAAGGAUAGGUUUGGGCCAUUACAUGAUGGGUGGCUUUCUACCUGGUCUCAAAAGGAACUCUUGUUGUCCCAGUGAUCACCCUCAUGAAGGCAAUAUGGGGGCUCAGUAGGUAGUGGGAUGGCAUAUGCACCAAUCAUUACCAGUCUAAGCACUCAGCGAAGAGUUGGGGUUUACACAAACUUAAACCUUGACUAAAAGUCGUAAGGUAAGCUGCUAGUCCCCCACUUAACCUAAAGUUUUUUCAGUAUAAAUCGCCUCAAAUGUGAAUGAUGCAUGAAAUAAUUUUAUACAAUGCAUGAACAAAUAUGUACAAAAUUAAAGCAUAUGAGCAAAUGAGAAUGAAAGUUAACAAUAACACAAAACCAAACAAUAAAAAACGAUGAUCAGACAAAAACAAAGCUUAGUCCACAAGGUUCCCAGUGGAGUCGCCAUUCUGUCGCACGUGAAAUGCGUCGCGGCGAUCGCCCACCCACACUCAAUUGUGUGUGGGUCUGGAAAAUAUGGGGAGACAAGGAAUUCUUGUCUCUUAUCAGUGGAAAAAAUAGAAUGGGAGUCGCCACCUAGUAUUCUGGUCACUAGGAACCCUAACUGGUCUCAGAGAUCGGGUACGGAGACUGGUUGUGUAAAGGGAAGGUAUUAACACCCCAAAUACGCCCUACCUAAGGUAAGCUGCAUUGUUUUAUUUGUCUGAUCAAAAUCUAAGGUUUGGUCGCGUUUUCUAAUUGUUGGUCCUGGCUGUCUAAGAUUCAAGAAAAGCCCUCCUCAGUAAGGAGGUUCUUAUCUUAUGGGGCAAAGCCUAACCGUUCUAAUAUCUAUAAAAGAAAACUAUCUUUUUAAUAUCGGGAAUACGUUUUACAUAUAAAUUCAUAAUCCUUGAUAUUUAAAAGAAAAAACUAUUUUUUGAUUUUUUUGAAAUAUUGGCCAAGUUCUCGUGACUUUAAUAAAACGGUUAUUAAAGCCGAAAUGCAUGCUAAAACAUUUUUUUUUUUUGAAGUUUUCUUUGUUGUAUGAAAAUAUGAUGUAAUUUUUUCUUUAAGAAACUUGGCCGUAUGCAUGAAAACAAAAACAUUUUUUUUUUCAAAGUUUUGACGAAAACCAGGUAUUUUAAUACCGGAUUUGUAUCUUUAUGGUAUAAAAAUACAAACCAAUAUUAAACAAAAUUCCAUAACAAAAUACACGGGGAAAUCACAAAUUUUUCAGAAAAUAUUUUUUUGAAAAUUUUUGGAACUGGGCCAGACCCGGCCCAAAAAAAAAAAAACUAGGCCGAAUAAGCUACAGGGCUGGGCUGAUGUUCCAACCUAAAAGAACAAAAGGCCGGUUGCUGGUUACUGUGCUGAGAACAGUAACCAUUAAAUUAUAAUUAGGUGGUUACUGUGCUCUACACAGUAACCACCUAAUUAUAUUUCAUUUGCUGCAGAACGUGAAUUGCUCACGUUCUGCAUGCAAAUGAAGGCGAACCAAAAAAUGGACAGCAGUGGGGGAGGAGGGUUACCUGGAAUGAGCCUGGAUAGAUGGGCUGACGGUGGUGCUGGUGACCAAUUUGGCGGUGGUGUUGCUGCGGCCUUCUUCCUCCUCCCUGCUGUUUCGGUGCUGCUUUUUCUCUUUGUUUCCUUUGCUCCCUCUGUCAACAACGUUCUUCUCUCUCUGCAGUGGCUUCGUGGAGAUGCUGGUGGUGGCGGCCUGGGGGAGUGGCUUGGACGGUGGUCGGCCUUUCUUCCUCUUCUUCUCUGCGUUUUUCUUCAGCUCUGUUCGCCUUUGUUUCCGUUUCUUCCUUCUGCUUCUCACGGGGCUGUUGUCGACUGGGAGGGCAAUGGCAGCUGGCGGUGAUGCUGGUGGCGGUGGAGAGGAAUCCGACUAUGCCUCACGGUGGUUAUGAAGGUGGCAGUGGCUGGGAAGCCCGAUGACAGCAGCGGUUUUCUUCUUCUUCUUCCCCGUGCGGAGGCGCAGGUUGCUUCCUUUUCUUCAAUGGUGCAGCAACGGGUGGGAGGAAGAUGAUGAGUUGAGGAAGGCUGACUAUGGCGUGGGCAGUGCUGCUGUGUUUGUGCUCCUAGUGGCGUGGGUGUCGCGGCAGCCGGCUGUGGUCGCUCUUCCUCUUCUCUUUUCUGUCGUUGCUUCUUCUCUCUGUUUCUGUCACCUUGUUUCUCUCCAAACAAUUCUCUGUCUCUCUCUCUCGGUUUCCCCUUCUUUCUCUUUUUUUCUACUCCUUCUCUGUGUUGUCGUUCUCUUUUUUUUUACCCCUCUCAUUCGGCACCCCCUCCUCGGGUAUUUAUAGGCAAAGGAGGAGAGGUUCACCAUACCCUGUACAAGCACAGGGCAUGGUGGUCGGGGCAUGGGUCUUCUGCUUUUCGUCAUGGUGGGGGGCAUGGGUCUCCUGUUUCUCCAUUAAUGAGGGUAUGGGUUGUGUAAGUAGUUAGGCAAGUGGGGAGGUAGAGAAGGAGAGGGUGAGCGGGAAAAAGAUUUCAAAAAUCUUCUUCUCCCUUGUCUCUGCAUUUGCAGGGGAGAAAAGCUGCACAGUGCCGUUCAAAACAGCACCGUGCAGUUUUUUUUUUUUUUUUUUUUUUGAAGAAAAGGAAAAAAGAUUUGGGGUGACCCAAAAAUGGGUUAUGACAACCUUCUCCCAUAUCUUUGGUGAAAGUAAUUGCAUGGCUAAACAAGGAGUGCGGAGAUCAAGUGAAUUUGUUUCCUCGUUUUGACUCCACCAUUAAUAUUAUGGCCUUGCUUAUGUGUCUUCUGUUGUUAUGCUGUUGAGUUUAUUUUUGUUCUGUUUUGUAGAGGACUGCUUAGCUAUGAGUUCAUUCGGAUGGAUAUUCUCUGGUUUUCUUUGCUUUUACUUAUCUUAGACUGUGUUCUAUCUUCUUUAUGGCCUUUUGCCAUAUUAAGAUAUUGUGCAGCUUCUGUACUAAUCUCGCCAGACUUUGGCGUUUAAAUGAUAUAAGUAUCUUUAAAAAAAAACAAGAAAAGCAAGUGAUAUUUGAUCAAAUUUCUCUCUUUGUUGUGCGCGAUGCAUUAGGAAAAAGAAAAAAAAGAUGGCAUCUUUAUAUAACCCCAUUAAUAAGUUAAUAGAUUAUUAUCAUAUAAAUCAAAUUUAAAACUUAAUUUUUUGAUGAUUAGUUAAUAUGAUAUUACAGUAAUUUUAACUAGAAUGUACCAUCAAAUAAAUUUAUGCCCUUAUAAACAACGUGAAAAGAUUUAAUUUGAGCAGUAGCUAGCGCGCUACCUAGUAUAAUACAUCGCUGUCAUAGCAUGCAGAAAAGAGCUAGCAUAUAUAAAAAUAGUUUAAUUUAAAAUUCAUAUCAUUUUUAUCCAAACAAAGUGUUGACAAACCAAUCAAUAGUUGAAUUGCUGACUGACAGUUGACCAUUUCACAAUUUAUGUCUAAAUGGUCGGUGGAUAUAUAGCUGGAAGCAAAUGACUGAUUCAAAACACUUAUCAUCUACCUUUGGUGCAUAAAUUGUUCUAACCUCACUCUAUCUUAAUCACAUGUCUUUUAUCGAUCUAUUAAACGUCAACACAAACGAUGAACGUCCAAUAAUAUUUAUUUAUUAUAUAUAAAAAAGAAUGUUAGAAUGUGAUGGAUUGAAGAUAUAUGUCGAGGGAGAAAAUAGUGCGUAUCCGUGCAUGCACUUAAAUUGCCGUAAGAACAUACCCUUUCGUAGGGCACGAAAUUGGAGUAGUAAUUAAUGAAUGCUCCAUCACUCACUGAAAAGGGCCAAAUCUUGGAGAUGGUCACUACCAUCUCUAUCAGAAAAACGUGAGACAAUUGCUGAUAAGAGUUUGCUUUCGAAAGUCAUUAGUUGCUGAUAAUAUCUUGCUUGUUCAAACUAUAGAGAUUUUUCUUACUGAAAGUAUUGACCAACAAAAACAUUGGAAUUCAGAGAAUUAAAUUGUUUCUAGAACAAUUAUGUGAUAAAAAGAGAGUGAAACAAGACAAAUAUUAAUUAAUAGGAUAAUUAUAUACCAUGUUGCCACUUAGUAGAGCCAUGUUUUUGAAAUAAUAACCUAUCAAUUCUUUUAGUUAAAUCCAGUUAAUCUAAUAGAUUAAUUUAUAAAUUGAUUCACCUGAUGAGUGAGUUAUGAUUUUACAUAUAAAUAUUAAAAAAUAAUUCCAUUUUAACUUUUAAUAAGAAAAAACUCAUAAUUUAAAAUAAUAUUAUUUUAAAUUAUCUCCCCAAGGACAGCCAUAAGUAGCGAAAUAAAAUAGAAAGGGGAUCCCUGUCAUGAUGGUGGUUCCUUUUAUCACAGCAGACGGGGCCCUUUUACCCUUUUGUCGGGUCUUCCAAGAUUGAUUGCUGCUGGGGAUUAUUUAAUCCAUCUCUCGUAUCCAAGUCUCAAUCUAGUAAGUAUGUUUUCCGAUGAUUUGACAGUAACGCUUGCACUUUUGAGCAACAAUAAGGGACAAUUUCCCUCACGCAGGCCCCACAAUUAUACGGAGCUGGUGAAGCCUAUCAGAAUUCUCACGCAGGUAAGAACAUGGACCGGCCAAUAUGAACAAAUAUAUAGUAGGCCAAGCAAUUAUCUUUUCCUCUGCAGAAAUGAUUCUUAAUAUUGCUUUUAAGGUUUGACGGUUACACGUGCAAAUGCUUCAUGUCCUGAUCUGAUGGAAUCUUGGAAACCGUACCCAAAUGGACCUACUUCAAUCAUGAAAAAUUAGCUACAAAUCUCCAAUAGCAUAUUGGAAAAGUGAUAUAUGCCACUUCAAUAUUAGGCAUUCAUUAUAAUAAAAUUAUUUUGAAAUAUUUUUUUAGUUUUUUAUUUAGACAUGCUAUACAUUUUUAGAAAGGUUGAGCAUAUCUUGAUCUAGUGAAUUUGUUAUCUCUCAUUCCUUUGUCUUUUUUACAAAGUUUACCAUCUCAGUUCUUUUACGAGACUUUUUGUCGUAAGCAAUGUAAAGAAGGGGAAACUGUCAUAACUUAUUUGUGGGUUAUUUCUCAAAUUCAUCUUUUUUCUUUCCAAAAUAAAAAUAAAUAAUAAUAGUAAAAAGACUGAUAUUUUGACAAAAAGCAAUCUGGGAGGAUUUCAAAUGUAGAAAAAAUCAAGUUGCAAUAAUAAUUGUACCCUAUUUACCCAAAACUGGAGAGACAAUGCACAUUCAAGGUCUUUGUCAAGGCACUUACAUGGAUCCCUUCAAUAAGAAUUCAUUUGGGUGCACGAGCCCAUAAUAAAUUGAAAAAGUCAUGUUUAUUCACACGAGUAAAUUUUUACCCGGAGCCAUAGAUAGACUACCGGUUAGAAACUCAUCAAAACCUUUAAACGACAUUCAAAAUCACAAUGCAGAUUACCUCAAGUAGGGUGUGCUAGGGGUGUUAUUACCUUCCCUCACCACAAUCAGUCCCUUAAUCUUGAAUCUUUGAUAAAACCAAUAUACCCGGAUUUCCUAGCGAGAUUAAACCCAACAACUAGAUGGAGACUCCUUUGACCCCCGAUGCCACGCAUCCAUAUGCGACAGGGUGCGACUCCCAUGACCCCCGAUACCGUGUGUUAACGUGCAAUAGAAUGAUGACUCCUUCGACCCCCCUGACACCACGCGUCCAUGUGCAACAAUUACUACAAUGUUUUUUUUCUCAUCAAUAGAUUGUAGAGUCAGAUUCUUAUAAUGCUAUCAAUUGCAUUAGAGGAACUAAUGAUAUGUGUAUUUGGCGCUUGCAAGGUGCGUUUAAUGUUAUUUUCAAUACACGCAAAAAGUUCUCUGGUGUUGAUUUUCAACAUGUUCAUUGAGAGAAGAAUGAAGUUGUAGUCUGGCCAAGCAAGCAUUUUUUGGAGAUAUUGAUCCAGUAGCCUGGCUUUAGCUUUAUUCAGUUUUAUUUUUAAUGUAUGUGAUUACGUGUCUUUUGUUUUGUUGUAAGUUUCUGUUAAGUCAUGUUAUUAAUAACUAUAACAGUGCUUAAUAAAUCAUGUUAUUAAUAACUAUAACAGUGCUUAAUAAAUCAUUAGUAUUUCAUAUAUAAAAAAGUGGCUAUUAAAUGGUUCAGUACAUGGACCGGCACACAAAUGAACCCUUGAAAUUAUAAAGUUCGAAUGCUACUACCACACUUGUUCAAAAAUUUGUAUUUAAUAAGUAUUUCUUCCUAAGUUUAAAAUUUAUAAUUAUAUAACAACAAGGCUUUCUAACAACAAGGCCUUCUAAUGAAACAAAAAAAAAUCUCAGUAAUAUGUUAAAUACUAUCAUAAAUACUAUCAUAAAUAACCACUUAAUCCAAAAAAAUAAGUAUUGAUUAAGUCAAAAAGCCUUUGAUAACCUUUUAAAGAAUCACUCAACAAAAACUGUUAGGUGAGUUACUUAUUUAUUUGAUUAUUUUAUUAGAAAAAUUAUUUUGUACAUAUGUGUUAUCAAUAAUCACCAAAACUCUCGCAUAAUUAUGGCGACUUCGAUACGCAAAGGGUAUGAAGCUCGACUAAACUCUCGCAUGUAUGAAGCUCGACUACGGCAACAUUCGUUUAGAGAUAGUCUUAUAUUUUUUCCGAUCUUGAAAUGGUCGAGGGAUAUAUAGCUGGAAGCAAAUGUUUGACCGAAAGUGAUUCAAAACACCUAUCUCCUGCAAUCUUCGUGUGUAGUUUCCUCAUUUCCUUGCAUGAGUGAGGAAAUUAUGAAUAAUUAAUUUCUUCUUUAGAUGAAAGAGUUUGUCGGUGAUUGUAAUAUGUGUUUGGAGCUUUAAUUUUGUGAUUUUUGGUAACAAAAUUAUUUUGUGUUGUGAAUUACUUUAAAAACUUCAAUGAGAUGUGAUUUGAUUCAUCAGCUUAAACUGAAAUUAUAUAUUAAAAAAGAAGCAAAUCAUUUUACUCUAAAUUAUAUAUUAAAGAAGAAGCAAAUCAUUUUUCAGAGUAAUUUAAUUAUGUUUUUUCCAAAAGAAGAAGAAAUAGCGCAUGAGGUAGUGCCAUUGAAGCUUAACUCUCAGCUAAUUUAAUUUUGAAUGAUAGAAUUGUUAAAAAAUAUUGAUGAAAAAAAGCUUGCAAAUGCACAACAAAAUAGCAAAAAAAUGAAUGGAGAUAAAAUUUGAGAGAGAAAACCUAAGGAGGAUGAAAUUAAAAAAUAAUUCAAAAAUAAUAAAUAACAAUUAAAAGAACGAUGACAAAUUGAAAAGAUUAAAAAUCAUAGGGGGUGUAAUUGAAAAACAUUUGUAAUUUGAUAAAUUAUUUAUAGAUUAAAAAAUGAUAAAGGGUGAAAUUAAAAAAAAAACUAUAGAGGGCUAACCCAAUAGAAUCAAUCCACAAAAAAAAGGAUAAAAAUAAGAAAACAUCAACUUUAAAAAAAAGAAAAAAAAAACCUACAAACCCGAGUAAAUCUUCUAAACUUGAUCUAAUCUCUAAAACCAAAUGAAAAAGAUAAGACGAGAAGCCCAAGCUCGACGAUAGGGGGCAUAACGAAUCAUUUUACAAGUCAAUCCUAAGGUCUAGAAACACAUGGAUGGACCAAAAGGAGGUCUGCUAGCAAGCACUAGUGAUCCUUUCAUACAAUAAGGAAUAUAAUAUGUAUUGAUCUUUACUUCGUUCAAGAACUUUCUUCUAUCUUGGGUACUCCAAUGAGCUGUCUCAACUACGGCAACAUUCGUUUAGAGAUAGUCUUAUAUUUUUUCCGAUCUUGAAAUGGUCAAGGGAUAUAUAGCUGGAAGCAAAUAUUUGACUGAAAGUGAUUCAAAACCACUUAUCAUCUUUCGUGCAUAAAUUGUACUAACUUCAUUCUCUCUUUAUUCAAUGCCAUUUAUCGACCAAUUAAUCGUCCACAGCAGAAAAACCGAACGAUGAACGGGCCACAUAGAUAAUAUUUAUUAUAAAAAAAAAUGAAUGUUGAUCCAUCACUCACUGAAAAGGGCCACAUAGAUAAUAUCUUGGAGAUGGUUGCUAAGUAGCAUUUCUAUCCCAAAACCCUAAGACCAAUUCGACAGAAAAGAAAUUGAAAUUGCUUUGGAAAAACAUUAAUUGUUGAUAAUAUAUCGUCAGUUCAAACUAUGGAUAUUUUUCUUGCUGAAGUUGUUGACUAACAAAUCAUGGGAAUUCAGAGAAUUCAACAAUUAAUUAUAUGUCGAAUAAGUUUAUACAUCAAUAAAUAAUAAAUACAGAUUGAAACACAACAUCACGCAACAAGCUAGCUGGCUUACCAUAAGAUCACUGCUGAGUUCUCUAUAAAUACUUGCCACCCCUGUCACUACAAAUACAUAAAACCUUCUUUAACCUAAUUAUUUCAUAGCAUUAGUUUUCACUAGCCAUGGAAAUCUUCACAAAGCAACUCACCCCUAUUGAUUUUGGGAGAGGAUUGGAGCUACCACCCCGUUCUAACCUAGAACCCCUGCAACAUCUUCAAGGGACCAUAGAAUUGUCUACCAUAGUUGAGUCAGCUGCAGGAACCCGUUUACCGGAACCAGUGACAAUUCACUGCUCAACCAUAAGAGGAAGCCUUGUAUUUAAAACAGGUUGGUUUGGCAUUGCUCGCGAUUUUGCCCUCAAAAGUGGAGAUACUGUGACUUUCUAUCAGGAGGUUAACGGAGGAGCGCAGUUCAAAUUGAGAGUGAGAAAUGUUUGUUAAAGUAAAGAAGAAAUGUGAUGGAAACAGUGUCUUCCAUACAUGCAUGAACGUCCGAGUGCACGUCCUUCUGUUUCUUCUUUGUUCUGUCUCCUGCAAUCUUCGUGUCUAGUUUCUGUCCGGUGUCAGCAGUUGAGAAAACUUUUCUCAAAAUUAUCUCCUGCAAUCUUCGUGUCUGGUUUCCUCAAUUCCUUGCAUGUGUUAGGAAAUUAUGAAUAAUUAGUUUCUUCUUUAGAUGAAAGAGUUUGUCUGUGAUUGUAAUGUGUUUUGAGCUUUAAUUUUGUGAUUUUUGGUAACAAAA